CAUAUUUACACAAUCAUUGAUCUGUCCUGCAACAAAUUUCUGGGAGAAAUUCCAAAGGUUACUGGAGAGCUUAUAUGGCUUGCAUUGCUCAACUUAUCUCAUAAUAGUCUAACAGGACCUAUCCCAUCAUUGCUGAGAAAUAUGAAAGAACUCCAAUCUUUAGAUUUGUCUUCAAAUCAACUGACAGGGGCUAUUCCACCUCAGUUAACUGCAUUGACAUAUCUAGAGGUCUUGAACCUCUCGGGAAACCAUCUUAGUGGAGAGAUUCCUCAGAAAGGACAGUUCAGCACAUUCAACAAUGAUUCUUAUCUAGGAAACUCCGCGUUAUGUGGAUCACCAUUGACGAAGAAAUGUGCAAACACAGCAUCACCUCCACAAGAAGUCGGAAAUGUUGAUGAAGAUGAUGCGGGUGAUGAAUUGACAUGGGAAGCAAUCUUGAUGGGAUAUGGAUGUGGACUAAUAUGUGGAUUGUCAUCCGCGUACAUUGUUCUCAAACUAGGAAAGCCUUGGUGGUUUGUGAGAUAUAUCGAAGUGCUGCAACUGAAGUUGAUGAAAAGAUAUGCAUGAAGAAUGGUACUGGCCAAUCAAGACCAACUUGAAAGUUGUUGGACAUUUCUGAACCAGUAGUGUACUAUUCUCUUUGUGGCUGCAUAAGUUUUUGGUAUUGUGUAAUAUUCUGUUUGGUCUUGAAUUUCAGGGGUAUUAAUAUAAACCUUGGUAUUGUGUAAUAUUCUGUUUGAUCAAUGUUUAUAUCAAUAAUUUUAUGCUACUCACGUACUGCAUCAUGCAGCUCUCAUAUUAUCUUCAUAUGUGUAUUAUUUGGAUAUCAAAGUUGCAGGGACAUAUGGAUAUGUGUUAACAGGGACCGCUCCCAAGUAGGGGUGAGCAAAAUCGAACCGGAACCGAAAAAUCGAACCGAACUGCGUAAAUUCAGUUCGGUUCGGUCCUAAUUUUCUGAAAAUUCGAUCCAUUCGGUCAGGACCGAAUACACCGAAAUAAAGUUCGGUCCGGUUCGAUCCGUAAAAAAAUAUUUCGGUCCGGACCGAAUAGACCGAACAGUCCAAAAUAUAUAUAAUUUAUAUUUAUAUUUAUAUUAUAUAUAUCUUAAAUGUUAUAAUUAUAAUAUCUAAUUUGUAAAUUUAAUUAUGAAAAAUGAUAUAAAAUUAUGUGUUAUAUCUUAUAUAUAUAUAUAGAGGGUUACUCCAGUGAGAACUUCUUAAAAUGAGAACCGUGAGAACUUCUUUAAUUUAUCAUAUUUUGAUUAAUCUAAACAUCAAACUAGUGGGUAUCCAAUAUAAAAAGUGUAUAUAAAACUAGUCUCUCCCUAACUAGUCAAAAAAAAAAUUCAAAAAAAAAUUUUAAAAAAAGAAAGUCCACUGCCACGUCAUCAGUGAUUUUUUUUAUUUUUUUUUUAAUUUUUUUUUUCGGCUAGCUAGGUGGAGAUCUUAAUUAUAUACAUUUUUUGUGAAGGUGCCCCUGGCGGGGCCCUUCAUAUAUGUACUUUUCAUAAAUUAUAAAUUAUUGUUUUAAAUAUAUCGAAAUGAUUUCUAUAGAAAUUUAAAUUGUAUGUUUAAAUAAUUUUUUUGAGUGACUUAUGAGUUAUAAAAAGGAUGAUAAUAAAAAUAAAUUUGAUAUGUUAUUUAUACGAGUAAUGAAAUUGAUUUUUGUUAAAAUUUAUAAUGAUGGAAUAAGUUAUUCAGAAAAAUAAAUCUUAUUUAUUUAGAGAUGACAUAUUUUAAUUUUAGAUCAAUUUUUUUCUCACUAAAAAAUUAUUUUAAAAUCAAAAAUAAAUUAAAUGUCUUCGCAUUUAUGCAAACAUGCUCUAAAUUAUGCGCAAUAUUAGCAAUCAGUGACUGAUACACGUGCUGAACCUUCCGAAGAUUUCUGGUCAAAAAUAUCCGUGACCCUUUGAGGAAUACAGGAAUAAUCACACAGCUGGCUUACCAUCUGCACCCAAUUAAUACGGACAACAGUACAUUUAUUAGACUAGAUUUUCAAAAUUUUCAAUAAUAGUAUUAUAUUAUUAUCGGUUUUUCUAGUGAAUGCUCAUGGGCACACACUAAACACCAAAUUUUAUAAAUUUGGUGGUUUUUGAUUGACUCAUGCUUGUUUAUAAUGGUAGAGCCUCCUCAAAUUCACCGACCACACCAAUUAAAAUCCACCAAAAUUAUAGAAUUUGGUACUUAGCAUGUGCUCAUGGCACACACUACAUAAACCCUAUUAUUAUACCUAUUUGAAUUUUUAAAUGAGGGCAUAUAGAAUUUAGAUAUUUAUUUAAAAUUUGUAGUUCGAUUUAGGACCUUAAAUGAAUAUAUUUGAAAUCUCCAAACUUGUAUUAAUAUUUACUUGUGUUUGACUAUAAUAAAAGUUUAUAUUAUAUAUAUAUUAGAUACCUAACACUCCAUGGCAUACGCUCUUAUAUGAAGUUUCAUAGUAUAUCACUGUGCAUAAUAUAUCUAUUAUAUUUUUUAUGAAAUAGAAUUACAAAUUUUUAUUAUUAAAUCGAAAACGAAGUUAUAUAAUUUUUUUAUUCCAAAAGUCAUAUAAAAUUAUCUCAACAUGAUUUUAUAACAGAAUAAUAAUCAUCCAGAAUUAUUUUAAUGUGGAAUCAAUACGUAAAUAAACUUUUUUCUUCAAAUUUUAAGUGUUAAAUUACUUAUAAUAGAUAUAUGUUAUAGUAUUAUAUAUUAGAAUCAUGUUUUAUAUGUAUUCUAUAAUAGAAUUUGUACUAAAUUUGAUGAUUUAUAAUGGUGUACUAUGUAAAUCCAUAUAAUAACUACCUCCGUCCAAUGUUAACCUAUAUACAUAUAUAGGAAUAGGAUCAAAUAAUAUUUUUAAGUUACAAAGUUACAAACUUUUUUUUUGAAUUUUUUUAUUCUCCUAUCGUGUUUAAUCCUUAGUUAUAGAAGUAUCCAUGUUGAAAAUUAUUGAAAAAAUCACAAUUUUUAAAAAUAACGCAUAAAUAAAUCGUGCAUUUAACACAUCUAUAACUGUGGUUCAACAUCGGGUGUAGAACACUAAUUAUCAUUGUAUUGAAUAUAACCAUAAAUAUAUUUAAACUAUGUCUUUGGAGUUUGGGUAGGGUCUAGAAAUAUAAAUAUUAGUUAUAUAAUACGUUUAACUUAGUUCUUAUACUGAAAAAUUAGUUUUUGUAUUUCUCCAACACAAUCGAUGUUUAACAAAAUAUGUUAAAAAAUGUUGAACUCAAAUUAUAUAUAUGAUGAACGCAUAAAAUUUGUAAGUUUGUAAGACUCUUCAAUUAUUUAGGUUUUGGUUGCAUAGGAAGAUAGAAUGAGAAAAGGUUUCACAUUCAAUAUUUUAAAUAACGGUUUUUCUCGUGAGUGCCCAUGAGCACAUGUUAAGCACUGAGAUUCAUAAGUUUGGGUGAUUUUGAUUGGCUACUACUUCUUUAUAAUGGUGGAUCCCCCUACAAAUUCACCAACCACACCAAUCAAAAUCUACCAAACUUAUAAAAUUUGGUGUUUAAGAUGACGUUUGAAUGAGUUUAAAAUUAUGACUUUAUUUAAGAUGAUUUAGGAAACGUUUGAGUGAGGUUAAAAUAAGUGUUUCUUGAUUAAGGUAAAAAAAUGAAAUAGAAGUUAAAAACAAGUUAAGACUUAUAAGUGAUUAAAGUGUUUAGAAAAGAGGUAAAAGCUAGAAUUUGUAACUUUUAAAAAGUGUUUUUGUAUUUUUACACAAACAGGUCAAGAAAAACAGAAGCAAGACUUCUUAGAACGAAAGCACUUCUUUUGCUUGGCCAAACAAGCACUUAAUAUAAUAAUAUGUAAGUUAAAACUAAUUUGUGAUUAAAAAAAAAUAAAACAAUCUGCGAGUUAAAACUGACUGAUUGAAAAUUUUUGACUUAUUAAUAAUUUAUGAGUUGUUAAAAAUAUAAUAAUGAAAAUAAAAGUGAUUUAUGGAUAAUUUAUAACUUAUGAGUAACUGCUAUUAAAAAAAUUAAUUUUCAAAAUUUGUUGACAUAUUUGAUAAUUUUCUAUCAGUUAUGUUUUGUACUUAAUUCUGUUUUUAGAAAUAACAAUUUCAUGAAAACGACCAAUCAGACAGGCACUUGCCAAACUUCUGGUGACCAUAAUUCUUAUCUUAUCAUAUAGUAGUAUUUUAAAAUUAUUCGGAAAUAGAUAAAUUUAAUUGUUUGUAGUUGACAGGAAUAACACAGUUCAAGUCGCAUCAAAGAAAGAAAAGAAUUAAAUGCAUUUCAUUUCGAAUCACUUGUCGGCAUUCUUUUCUUCUGGUAUGCAAAUAAUUUAAUUUACUUUUCACAAAUAAAUAUAAAAACAAAUGCGCACCUACUUAUUAGCGGCCUGCACUGUAGAGUUCAACCGUACUGCAAAGUGGUCCAAGUUUGUUUGUUUAAAUCGUAAAUAUGUUAAAAUUAUGGGGCCAAACUGGUCUAGUCACUUAAUAAAUUAAAAUUAAAAUUUUAAAAAUAAAUAAAAUUUAUGAAUUUCGAUACUAUAAGUACUAAUUCAGUUUUAAUAUAAAAUAAAUUGUAAAAUUAACGUAUCAAGAUUUAAUUAUUUUCUUUCUCAAGAUAUUUGGUAAAAUCUUGGAUUCAUGUUUUCACCGAAAAAGCUCCGCUGAAAAGUACGGUUACAAUAUGAAUAUAUCUCGAUAUUUUAAACUUCAUUUCACUUAAUCUAAAAAUAAUAAUUAUAAGAAAAUUUAAUUAUUGAAUCCUUAACACAAAGUUUAACUACCGAAAAAAAGGCUUAUUAUAAAGGCGUUCUAUUUGGGAGGAAUCUUGUCAUUUUAAAGGCCCAACGCAAUAACCGUAACCAGGCCUUAACUAAGCCCAGUUGUAAUACCUUUAUAUUCUUAGUAGCAAGCAGUGUUGUAAAAAGCGGGAAUCGGACAUCGGUGAAGUUACGGAACAAGGAUUAAUCGAGGAUUAAUUGAAUUGAUCAGGGAUUAAUCGGAUUGAUCGGUGAUUAAUCGGAGAUUUAAUCAGUUCGGCGAGCUACGAAACAAGGAUUAAUCAGUGAUUAAUCGUGAUUAAUCACCGAAUUUUGGAACAGAGGUAGCAAGUAGCAAAUACUUGGCGGGUUUUGAAAUAUUAGUUUUAUUAAAAAAUUAUACUAAAAAAACCCUAUAAACAAUUGAGAUACCACCACGGAAACAACCCAUUGGUCAAAGGCCACCGGUCCACCAGUCCGGAGAUCUUCUUCCAACUGUGUUUAACCAAACAAACCAAUGCUUAAUUAAAUGCCGUUCACACGUUAAUAAAUUAUUAUGAUGCUGAGUCUAUGAUAUUACUGGCAUGAAAACACAGUUUCGUUUUAGAUAAUAUGAGUAUGAUAAUAUUUAUAUAUUGUGUGUGAUCAUAUUCUUUAAAGUAUGAAUUCUAUUUUUUUAAUUCUUUAAUAAAAUAUGUGGAUAUGAAAUGUAAUAUUUGUAACCUAAUUAACAUUAAAUAAUAAUAAAAUAUUGAUAAAUAAAAUAACAAUAAAUUUAAUACUAAUAUCAAAAUCAAUCCAGUUAUUGUACAUAUUACAAGAAUAAAACUUUUUAACUCCAUCAUCAAAAUACAUAAUAAUAAUGUGUAUUUAAAUAUUUAUUGUUAAAUAUAAUCAGUAUUGAACAGAUUAUCUAUAAACAAAUAAAAAAAAUUAAGGUUACAUUAGUUUUAAAUUUUAGAUUUUGAAUAUAAUAGUAAGUCAAUUGUCACAUUUCUAAAUUACACAUAUAAUAGAGCAUAACAGUUAAACAAACUUAUUAUUCUACUAUUUGAUCAAUGGUCAAUUGACCAACUAACUGGAAUAACUAUAGUAAUAAUAAUUGAAUUAUUAGAUUUCAGUCAAUGUACUUAUAAUCUUAUGUUAAGUUGUUUCAUACAGUCGGUUGUUUUAAUAACUAGAUUUGCUAAGAAAACAGAUCAAAGGGGAGCUGUAUGAUUAAGGUCAACUAAUCCAAAUGAUUAAACAUCAUUUCCGGUCUAUAACUUGUCUAAUCCUUAAGACCAAAUCUGGCUUUGAGUUUGUGUAGAUAGACUCUGAAGUUCCUGCAAGAAAUCUGAGAAAUCUGGUCAUGCUGACCCAAGAUUUUCAUUUACGUCAUAUUAAAAACUUUUUAAUAUUCUUAAAUUAUUCUCCUAUAAACAGUGUUGUAAAAAGCGGGAAUCGGACUUAAUCGGUAAAGUCACGGAACAAGGAUUAAUCGGGGAUUAAUUGAAUUGAUCGGUGAUUAAUCGGAGAUUUAAUCAGUUCGGCGAACUACGCAACAGAGAUUAAUCGGUGAUUAAUCGUGAUUAAUCAGCGAUUUUUAGAACAGAGCCUAUAAACAGAAGUGUGCAUUGUAGUUUAAACGCAGUAUCUAGCAUCAAUUUUCAUGUUAAGUGCAAGCAUGACAUACUUUAAAAACCCCUGUUAUCACCUUCUAUCUGUUGUAUUUUUUCUCCUGCUAUUUCCAUCGAUCCCCGCGACAAGAGAAGAAGGAGAAGCUCUAGUGAACUGGAAGAACAGCCUAUCCCCGUCCUCGUUCUUCGAAUCUUGGUCCUCAGCCAAUCUCAACAAUCUUUGUAACUGGACUGGCAUUACCUGCAACUCCGAGGCCUCAGUAUCUGAAAUCAACCUUUCGGAAAAACAACUCCAAGGAACGCUUGCUGAGUUCCGCUUCAAUUUGUUACCAAGUCUAAAAACUUUUACCAUCAGCCGUAACAACUUCACUGGUCCAAUUCCAUCAGAUAUUGGAAAUUCAACUGAGCUUCAAUACGUCGAUUUUAGCUUUAAUUUUCUCAAUGGUUCUAUACCAUAUCAGGUUAGUCAUCUUCAGAGGUUGCGCGCCUUAGACCUGUCAUAUAAUCUCCUGGAAUCUCCAAAUUGGUCCGAGUUUUCGCCCAUUCCUUCCUUGACUAAACUUUAUCUCAGAUCAAAUAAUCUUGCCUCCAAAUUUCCAGGAUUUAUAUCCAGUUGUCAGAGCCUGACAUAUCUUGAUCUUUCACAUAACUUCAUAACAGGCGAUCUCGCGCAAGAAUCAUUAUUUGACAAACUGAUACAUCUUGAAUCCUUCUCUAUUCGUAAUAAUUCUAUUGAGGGGCCGUUUCCACCAAGUAUAUUUCCUCUUUCCAAAUUACGAUUUCUUGACCUAUCAAGAAAUAACUUUUCAGGUUCUAUUCCCCGGAAUAUAGGAUUGCUUCGUGAUCUUGAAUAUCUCAGCUUAUUUUUUAAUUCAUUCGAAGGAAGCAUACCUUCAUCUAUUGGUCUACUUAGGAAGCUUCAAUUACUAGAUAUCGGAUAUAAUUAUUUAAAUUCCUGUAUUCCUCGUGAAAUCGGGCUUUUGACUAAUCUCAGCGAAUUAUAUCUCAAUGUCAAUAGUCUUACUGGCAAAAUUCCUUCUGAGCUCGGCCUCUUGACUAAGCUCAACUAUAUAAUUCUUUUUUCCAAUAAUCUGACCGGAGAUAUUCCAUCUGAAAUCGGAAACCUGAAGCUACUGACUCGGCUUCUCCUCGGGUCUAAUCAUUUGACUGGAUCGGUUGCAAACUCCAUUUCUAAUCUCAGUAAUCUAGAGUUUCUUGGUCUACCUAAUAACAGAUUUUCUGGAAAUAUUCCUAGUGACUUCUGGAAAAAAUAUAAAUCGUUAUUAUACAUCGACUCCAGGAACAACAAUUUGUCAGGAAGCAUUCAGGGAUUUGAUGCUAAUCUGAAUCUUACUUUCAUUAAUCUGAGCGGAAACCAUCUUACAGGUAUACUUUUUCACCUUAUUUUACUCCCUCCACUUUGAAAUAUACUUCGUUUGACUUUUUGGCACACGUUUCCAAGUCCUUUGACCUUAUUAUUAAGAUAAUUAUUUUUAAAGUAUUAUAUUUUUGAAUUAUUAUAUGGUCGUGUCAAAAAAUCAAACUACAUGUAUUUCAAAACAGAGGGAGUACUUUAUUUGAACGCUAAUGAAUCGGUUAGAAAUUGACUAAAGUUUCUACAUUUUAACAGGUGAGAUUCCUGCAACUAUUUGCAAUGUCACAUCCCUUGAGAUUCUUGAUCUCUCGGACAAUGGAUUAAGCGGUGCACUUCCACGUUGUCUGGGAAAGCUUGCUGAUAAUCUGCAUACCAUGGUUCUUGGUAAUAAUCAGCUUCAAGGGACAAUACCAGCAACCUUCACCAAGAGCUGUCACCUAGCAGUUUUAAACACGGAAAGCAAUCACUUUGAAGGAACGCUGCCCCAAGCUUUAUCAAACUGCAAGGACUUAAAAAUUCUUAAUAUGGGAAACAACCACAUUGGAGGUAUAUUUCCGUCAUGGCUAAGUACUCUUGCACAGCUAGAAGUCCUUGUCUUUCGAUCAAAUAGACUUCACGGUGAAGUAAGUAUAGGUAAUACAACACGUCCCUUCCUUAAGUUGCGAAUUGUGGAUCUCUCUAACAAUGAAUUCACUGGCCAUUUGCCUAUUCAGUAUUUUUAUAAUAUGAGGCCGAGUAAUAAGGGAUAUGAUUAUGUCAUUACAAAAGAGAAUUUCGAGUACUUUUACCAAGCAUCAGUCUCACUAAGUGUAAAAGGGACAGAGUAUGAAGUGAAACAAAUCCUUUAUAUUUACACAGCCAUUGAUCUGUCGCGCAACAAAUUUCAAGGGGAAAUUCCAGAGGUCACUGGAGAGCUUAGAUCGCUUGCGUUGCUAAAUCUAUCUCAUAAUAGUCUUACAGGGCCUAUCCCGUCAUUGUUGGGGAAUAUGGAAGCACUCCAGUCUUUAGAUUUGUCAUCAAACCAAUUGACAGGUGCUAUACCUGAGCAGUUAACUACUUUGACAUUUAUUGGGGCCUUGAACCUUUCAGAAAACCAUCUUACUGGAGAAAUCCCUCAAAAAGGACAGUUCAGUACUUUUGGCAACGAUUCAUACUUGGGUAACCCGGCCUUAUGCGGACUUCCUUUAACAAAGAAAUGUAGGCACACGUUGCCACCAACACAAGAAAUCCUAAAUGGUGAUGAAGAUGAUGCUAAUGAUGAACUCAGUUGGGAGGUGAUCCUGAUAGGGUAUGCAUGUGGAUUGAUAUGCGGAUUAUCUUUUGGGUACAUUGUUUUCACCAUGGGAAAGCCUUGGUGGUUUGUGAGAUACGUCGAAGAACUGCAACAGAAGUUGAUGAGGACACACAUGAAGAAAAUUAUUCGAUCAAGAAGCACAACUUGAUAAAAUGUUGUCUUGGGAUAACCUGAUUUCUGAAUUAGUAGACUAUUAUGCACAUAUAUGUAGUUCAUUAUUAUAUUAUUUUAUGCCAAUUGCAGAGUAGUCUGGUUCUCAUAACAAAUUUAGUCUUGUUUCACUGUUUAUUAAAACUACAUGCCAUGUUUCUGUAGGAGUGAAUACAAUUAUGUUAACUUAAGCAUGACAGGCAGGAACCGAUCUGCAGAAAUGACGUUAAUUGAUACAAUUGGAACCUGCAAGUUAUAUGCAGAAAGCACGCGGUGCCUCCCAAAUUCCAGAGACCUACAACUUCACAUAAAUGUCGUUCACAGCACUUAAUGAUCACUUGUUUGUAGUAACUAACACGUCUUCCGUCUACAAUGUAAAUGAUAGUGGAAGGUACUGAUUUCCACUUUCUUAGCAACACACUAACAACAGUGACGGAUCUAGAACUUUGAAAUUUCAUUGUUUUUUUUGGUUGAACAAGUAACUUACUAGAAUUUAAUUUAAUCAUAGCUACCAUAUGAAAAUCAAUAAUAUUGUUGACUCCUCUGCUUAACUAUGACUCCUGUGCAUGCCAAUCUCCAAAUACACAAAAAUGUUAUUUACUAAGAGAAGUUUGUUGAUAGCUAAAGGAUAUAGUCUCCGGGAAAAAAAUCCACUGACCAACUUAAUACACAGCUCAGCAGUUUAUGAGCAAGGGUCUGAGUCUUGGCUACCUGGAAAUGAAUUGAAAAAAUAGAAGUUAAUGCAUAGUUUUCUUGAAGUGUGAAGACUUGUUUUGUGAGUUGGUCCUCCAUAUUAGAAAUUAAAGUUUUUUUCAACAAAAAUCCGGUGGAACAUAUCAUUUUCCACUAUACCUUUUAUUUUCAGUUUCUUGCCAUCGAAGAGCACUAAUUCCAUCGGCAGUGAUUUGGAAGAACAGGUCUCUUGCCACUCCAAUUCCUAAGAAAAUUUAGCACAUAAAUAGAAGUGUGCCUUGCACUAUGAGAUGUACAAUGUGACAGGAAACAUGUUGCACUUCCCAAAGCCUAAUUAUCACCUCAUUGUGCUUGUUUUCUUUCUACUAUUGCUUCCAUCUACCCUCACAACAGUAUCUACGACAAGAGAAGGAGAAGCUCUGUUAAAAUGGAAGAACAGUCUACCACCAUCCUCUUCCCUAAAUUCUUGGUCACCCGUCAAUCUCAAUAAUUUGUGUAACUGGACUGGCAUUAUCUGUAACUCUGCAGGUUCAGUCUCAGAAAUAAACCUUUCACUAAAACAACUUAGUGGAACGCUUGCCAAUUUCAGUUUCACUUCAUUUCCAAAUCUUAAUAGUCUUGACAUUAGUGGCAACAACUUCACAGGUCCAAUACUACCUGCCAUUGAAAAGUUCACGCAGCUUCAGCAUCUUGAUUUUAGCUUUAACAAGCUCAAUGGUAUCAUUCCAAACCAAAUUUGGCAUCUUCAGAGAUUGCGCACCUUAGACCUGUCAGUUAAUCACUUGGAAGCUUCAGACUGGUCUAGUUCUUUCUCCAUGCCUUUUCUGACCAACCUCGACCUUAGUUUCAAUAAACUUGGGGCAAAAUUCCCAGGCGUUACAUCCAAUUUUUGUAACCUAACAUAUCAAUUAUUUCCUGAGUCAUUAGUUAACAAUCUGCAUAAUCUGGAAGUCCUUUCUCUUCAUCACAAUUCUCUCGAUGGGCCAUUUCCACCAAGCAUAUUCAAGCUUUCCAAAUUAAGAUAUCUCUCCCUAUCAAGUAAUCAUUUUUCAGGUUCUAUUCCGGAUGAUAUAGGGAUGCUUGGUGAUCUUGAAUCCCUUUAUCUGGGUCACAAUUCUUUUGAGGGGCCCUUCCCACCAAUUUUUUUCAAAUUUUCCAAACUAAUAAAUCUGUCCUUAUCAGGGAAUAUUUUUUCAGGUUCUGUUCCAGGUGAUAUAAGGAUGCUUAGUGAUCUGGAAUACCUUGAUCUUAGUCGGAAUUUUUUUGAGGGGCCUUUUCCACCAAAUAUAUUCAAGCUUUCCAAAUUAAAAGUUCUUGACCUAUCAAGAAACAAUUUUUCAGGUUCUAUUUCAGAUGAUAUACGGAUGCUUCAUAGACUUGAGUUGCUCCAUCUCGAGUACAACUCUUUUCAGGGACCCUUUCCACCAAAUAUAUUGAAGCUUCCGAAUUUAAGAGUACUUGACCUAGCAGACAAUGACUUUUCAGGUUUUAUUCCCAGUGAUGUAAACAUGCUUCAUGAUCUGAAAAUACUUUCAUUGUUUUCUAAUUCAUUUGAAGGAAGUAUUCCUUCUUCUAUAAGUCUACUCAGGGAGCUACGAUACCUUCACCUCGGGUCUAAUUAUCUCAAUUCCACUAUUCCUUUUGAGCUGGGGCUCUUGACAAACCUUGACCGAUUAUAUCUUGAUUCCAAUAAUCUUACUGGCAAUAUCCCACCUGACAUAGGAAACUUGAAACUACUGAGAGUACCAAGUCUUGAUUCUAAUCAACUCACUGGACCGCUUCCAAAGACCAUUUCUAAUCUCACUAAACUAGGGUUUCUUAACCUGAAAGAUAAUAAGUUUUCCGGCAAUAUCCCAAGUGACUUCUGGAAAACUUCUACAUCCUUAUAUUCCAUUGAUUUUUCCGACAACAACUUGUCUGGAAACAUUCCCAAGGAAUUUGAUGUUCACCCAAUUUUGGAAUGCAUCAAUUUAAGUGGAAACCAUUUUACAGGUCUGUUCUUUUCCUUAUUUUUCCUUUUUGUCUACAACUAUGCAGGUAAUCAGAUUAGUGAAUAUUGACUGAAGCUCCUCUGUUUAUACCAGGUAUGAUUCCCACAACAAUUUGCAACGCCACAUCCCUUCGGGUUCUUGUUCUGUCAAAUAAUGGAUUAAGUGGCACACUUCCAAAUUGUUUGCGAAAUCUUGCUGAUAAACUGCUUUCUAUUGAUCUUGGUAAUAAUCAAUUUCAAGGAAGAAUGCCAACCUUCUCCGAGGGAUGUCAGCUGACAUAUCUGAACAUGUACAACAAUUACUUUGACGGAGUGUUGCCUCAAUCUUUUGCUAACUGCAAGCAGUUAAAAGUUCUUGAUAUAGAAAACAACAAAAUAAGUGGUACAUUUCCCUCAUGGCUAUUUACUCUUGCAGAGCUAGAACUCCUUGUCUUGCGGUCGAAUAGACUUUAUGGUACAGUAAGUUUAAGAAGCACAACAGAUCCCUUUCCCAAGUUGCGCAUCAUGGAUCUCUCAAACAAUGACUUCACAGGCUAUUUGCCAAUUCAAUAUUUCAAAAAUAUGAAGCCGGUUGAUAAGGGGUAUGAUUAUCAUAAUUUCACAGCACCAUUUUAUUACUACUAUCAAGCAUCUAUCUCGUUAACUGUGAAAGGGACUGAGUACCAAGUGAGCAAGAUUCUUCAUAUUUACACAGCCAUUGAUCUGUCAUGCAACAAAUUUCAAGGAGAAGUCCCAAAGGUUAUCGGAGAACUUAAAUGGCUUGCAUUGCUCAACUUAUCUCAUAAUAGUCUUACCGGACCUAUCCCAUCACAGCUCGGAAAUAUGAAAGCACUCCAAUCUCUGGAUUUGUCUUCAAAUCAAUUCACAGGGGCUAUCCCAUACCCGUUAAUUGGUUUGACAUUUCUAGAGGUCCUGAACCUCUCAUAUAACCAUCUCACCGGAGAAAUUCCCCAAAAAGGACAACUGAGCACGUUCACUAAUGAUUCUUACCUAGGUAAUCUUGCCUUGUGUGGAUCUCCUUUAACAGAGAAAUGUGCACACGAAGAGUCACCACCACAAGAAGUCGGAUAUGAUGAAGAUGGUGCAGAUAAUAAAUUCCAAUGGAAAGUAGUCCUAAUGGGAUAUGUUAUCGGAUUAGUAUGUGGAUUGUCUUCAGGUUACAUUUUUCUCACAACUGGAAAGCCUUGGUGGUUUUUGAGAUACAUCGAACAACUGCAGCAAAAGUUGAUCAGAAGAAUCACGUAGAGUACUGUUUGAUUAAGAUGAGCAACUUGAAAAGAAUGUUUACUAGACCAGUGGUAUGUCGGGAACAUUAAUGUGUGGUGUCAUAUAAUAUUUGAAAUGCUAAUGUCAGCACUAGUUCUAGUUCGGGCCUGAUACCAGGGGCGGAUCUAGGAAGAGGCACGCGGGGACACGUGUCCCCCCUAAAUUUUCUUUUUACAUUUUUUCACCAUUAUAAAGUUUACAAAAUUAUAAAAGUGCCCCCAAAGAAUUUAAAAAUAUAUAGGUAUUUUCCGAAAAUUUGCUUCGUGCCCCCUAACAUUUGUGGGCUAGAUCCGCCCCUGCCUGAUACUGAUUUACUCGUCUCAGAGCUACAUAUUUCGUUCAAUGUUAAUGCAAAAGGAAAAAAACAUACUACACACUAAAUCAACUUUGUAUCAAGUCGAGUUUUGGAGAUGCCAUUAUCAAAAGAAAAACACGGUGAAUGAUAUUUAUUAAGAACACGACUUGAACCAUAAGUGCAUGAAAAUCGUCUUUCAAAGUAUGGCAGGGGGGUGAAUCGUGCACACCAUGGAUAGUCACCUGAAAGCUAACCAUUCUGAGGUUCGUGGAAGCUGAUUUCAUACUCUUNCUGAAAGCUAACCAUUCUGAGGUUCGUGGAAGCUGAUUUCAUACUCUUGAAAGCUAUCUUUAGGAGGUCGAAACUUUAAUUUGUGUUACAUAACAUUUCAUUAUGCAAGACGGAUGGUUUCAGGGAAACUGUACUAGAGAGCAAGUACCAAAUAGUAAGGUAAACUUUCGAUGAUGAAAUUCCUCCCUGAUUUUUACAUCAUUCCAUGUUUUAGACUUGACAGAACAAUCGGGCGAAUGUUCUGGUCAAUUUUUUCAUGGUUGGGCCAAAAGAAUUAUAGUACAAAUGGGUGAGAAAGUGAGAAAGUUAAUUUUAGCGAUCGCUUUUCAUUAUUUAUAAUGACGAUCAAUUUUAUCUGAUUACUUUUAAUUUUAUCUUUUAUGCUUAUUUUUUUUUUUUUGUAUGGUCUACAUAAUCGUAGAUGAAUUGUAUCGAAAUACAAUAAACCGCAACCGAGAUUUCUUUCUUUCAAGAAAGUUUAUUAUCUAACCGAAAGCCAUGCAAUCAUAACUCCGGACGUUUAGACAAUAAAAUUUAAAUGAAUGAGAAAAGAAUACCCAUACAGCUCGCUUCCACAGUAUCCUGAGAAAAAACAAUCAAACAAAAUAUAAAUUAAUAUACAAGAAAAUCUAAUAAAAACAAAAACAAAAGAGUUUAUAUAUAAAAAAAAUAGAGAGGAAAUAUAUAUAUAUAUAUAUAUAGGGUCAAGUUCGAGAUAGAACCACAUUAUACUUAGAACUUAGACCCUAUAAAUUACCAUUAGAUAUAAAUAGGAUGUGUGGUUAAGAUUAUCAUUGGUAUUAAUCACAUGUUAUAUAUUUAGGUGACAUUUAUAUGUAUGCACAUUUAAUAAAUGAGAGUUAAUAACCAGAUUUAUUACUUUCCAUGAUUAAUACAAAUCUCAAUUAAAUUUUAUGUAUAUAAAUCAGUAUAACAAAAUUAAAUAUAUCAAAUAUUUUGUUUUCAUACAUAACAAAUUUGUGUGAUUUAAUUCUAUAUGUGUAAAUGUAUAACAAAUUUACGUGAUACUGUUGCAGCACUUGUACUAAUAUAAAAGAUGGUGUUAUAAUGCAAUAUUUUUCUAAAAAGAUGGAAAUACUGCUAUAGUACAUCAAAUAUCAUACUUAUAUUAUUUAAUAAUUAUACCGAUACUAUUGCAAUACAUAGUUUUUUUUAAAAAAAAAUAAAUAUAAAAGUACUGCUAUAGUACAUCAAAUACUAAUAUAAAAGAUGGUGUUAUAAUGCAAUAUUUUUCUAAAAAAUAGAAAAUACUGCUAUAGUAUGUCAAAUANNNNNNNNNNNNNNNNNNNNNNNNNNNNNNNNNNNNNNNNNNNNNNNNNNNNNNNNNNNNNNNNNNNNNNNNNNNNNNNNNNNNNNNNNNNNNNNNNNNNNNNNNNNNNNNNNNNNNNNNNNNNNNNNNNNNNNNNNNNNNNNNNNNNNNNNNNNNNNNNNNNNNNNNNNNNNNNNNNNNNNNNNNNNNNNACUAAAUAUUCAUAAAUAAUAUUUAUUCAAUCACAAUUUAAAACGUAACCAAUACAAUUAAAAUUAAUAAAGAUAAAUAAUGAACAGCCAAUAAGAGAGAUCCCGUAAUUAAAGUCAGUCCAAAUUAAAAUUCAAUUAUUGCCUAAAAAUCAAACAAUCAUGAUAAAUUAUGAAUUCAUAAAAUUUAAAAUUUAAACCUUAAGAAGAUAAAUAAAGACCAUCAUAAAUGUUAUUAAAUAUUCAUAAAGAAUAUUUAUCAAGAUAUAUUCCUUUCCAAAAUUAACCGAAAAAAUUGAAUACUUGCAUUUUAAAAAAUUUGCACAUAAAUAUACAAACAAAUAUAAUAUAUAAAAGCAACGCCAUAAUUCAAAAUAAAUUGAUAUCGAAACACUCAACAAUAUUACAUGCACCUAAAAACAUGUUAAAAAACUAAAAAGAUUAAUCUAGAAGAUCAAAUCACACACUUAACAAACACAUACAAUCAAGAAUACCUAUCGAAAAUCUAUAUCGAGAAUCUAUAACAGACCUAAUUUCAAAUCGAUAUUCCGGUCAACCAUCACAAAUCCGGCUAAGAUAAAACAUGUCAGAAAAAGGGGGAAAAAUGGAUACAUAACUCGACUUGAUCUACAAAACUAAUCAAACAAAAUUCUAAAACAGAUACGAAUCCAUGAUUUCAAUCAACUCAAAAUUCUAUACACCUUAAAAUUAGAAGAGGAAAAGCAUAAAAUGAUUUCUAUGAUAUAGAUAUGUUAUCGUAAUUCAUAAGUUAUACAAAACAUAAAGAACAAGCAAAGAACACAUAACAAGCAUUUAUUUUGGAUCAUAACAAUAUAAUCAAAAGAAGAUGAAAGAAGCGUACCUUUUCAAAGAGACGGAGAUAUUUUGAAAAACUAUAAAAUUGAGAGAAUAAACAUACCGAAUCCGAAAAUAAAAUCCAUAAAUUGUCACGAGCAAAAUCAUCUUUUGAUCCAUCAAAAUCUUUUAAAUAUUACAUCACCUUGUUUUCUUUGGUCGCUCGGUACCUUCUUUCUUAUCUUUUAUGCUUAUUAAAAACACAGAAGAUCGUGUAAACAAAAUUAAUACAAAACGUACUUAUUCAUAGAAUAUGAUUUACUUCACUUAACUGCGCUUAAUUAUUUGAAAGGAAAGAAUACAACACAAAAUUAAAUAUAUAAGAUCUGUUAAUUUUGGAAAUGAGAAUUUUUUUAACAUAAUCAUUGAUAACAUAUUUUUCCAACUUAUUUAUAUCUGCCAGAAUUAAAUAAAAUAUGCCUCAAUAGGUUAUCAUUCUUAAUGUGAAACUGCAAAAUUAUAUAUAUUUUCAUUUAUGCCAUAUUCUUAGACAAAAAUUAAAAACAAAAUAAUGAUCCUGAUCAGCUUUAAAGGGUGUAAAACAAGUGUAAAAUAAGUAAAGUAAUUUAACUUUCACUUAUAUUAUUAAGACAAAAGUAAGCGGAAAUAAACAUAAUUUCAAUAGAUUUAACUUACUCUCCAGAAUCGAUAAGUUUGGAACACGUUGAUUGAGCACAAGACGAAGGCCACACAUGCGCAUCGUCUGAUGCAGCUAUGGUGCCUUUACAGUUGCUCAUACAUAUAGUGAAACAAUAAGGAUCAACUCCUCCAUUGUGCGUACACAUUUUCUAUCCUUAUUUUCAUACAAUAAGGAUAGAGUCUUUGCAAUCUCGUCAUGACCAGCUAUACAUCCGAUCAUGAUAAACUCUAGCAGGAUCAUCCAAGUAAUAAUUUUCAUAAUGAUAUUAAUUAUCAUUGUGAAUAGUUGCAUUGAGUUAUGUAUGUGUGUGUAUAUAUAUGCAAUGGAUUUUGUGGUUGAGAAUAUCUAUUAGAUUUUGUAUAUCCAUAACAAUUAUUAAAAUUUGAACAAUAAUAUCCAUUAUUGGUUGUGGUUGACUAUUGUAGUAGUCCAAGAAGUCUAUGCAAGUGAAAUCUAUAUUAUAUUUAAAAAGAUUAUACAUGAAAUACAAAAGGUUUUUUUAGGACUGCUGUUAAAAAUUGUUAUGUUGUACGAAAAAAUGCUGAUAAAAAAAGUGUUAUACGAAAAUUUAAAUGCUGAUAAAAAAAAUGUUGUAGAAAUCAGACAUGACAGCUUCCCACAAAAGCUGAAAAAACAAUUUUCCGUAAUAAUAUGGGAGGAGAAAAACUGUUUAUAGAUUUAUAGAACAAUUUUUCACAUAUUUUUUGAUAAAAAGCUGUUGUUGUCUUCAAGCUGAGUAAUGCCAAACAGUUCCGAAAUCAUUUUGCAGGUAGUUAAUCUCACUUCCAUAUAAUAUACUCCUAUAUAUUACCGAAAAAACAUGAAAUGAUGCAAAUCUCAUACUAUUGACAACAGGUAAACUCCUUGCAAUACUUUGAGCUGCAAAAUCCAUCAAAUUUGUUGAUAUAUCAAUGUAACUGUUUGACAGAGUACUUCCAAGCUAAGUAUCAAAAAUCACUACCUUACGAAAUAUAUCUCACCCUACCUUCUCUGCUUAACUGUUUCGAGUACUUUUACCAAGCAUAUUUUCCAUUAAGGUGAAAGGCACAGAAUAAUUAAGGAUCACCUAUCCCAUCAGUGCCGGGGAAUAUGGAACCAUCUUAUCAGUUAACUAGUUUAACAUUUCUCGCGGUCUUGAACCUCUCAGAAAACCAUCUUAUACUCAUGUGCGGACUUCCUUUGACGAAGAAAUGGUGAUGCUGAUGCUAAUGAUAAUGAACUCAACUGGGGAGUGAUCCUUAUGGGAUACGGAUGUGGAUUGAUAUGCGGAUUUUCUUUGGGGUUUAUAUUUUGUGGUUUGUGAGAUACAUUGAAGUACUGCAGCUGGAGUUGAUCAUUAUAAAGAACAUAGGCAAGUUAAUCGCUUAUUGAAAUUAGUAAUUGUCAAAAGUAAAAUGUUGAAAUUACUUUUUCCGAAUGAAAUCAUCGGCAAAAAGUCUCUGUCGAAUUUGAUCUGCCAAAAUUAUGUUUAAUAUCUACGGCCAAGAUUAUCUGUCGAAAAUAUUUCCCGACAAUUUUAAAAGACAAAUUUGUCGCGUCUCAGUUGUGAGCAGGAAUAGAUAUUUUCGACAGAAUUCCACUGAAAUUAGCUAAUUUCAACAUAAAUUUUCUAUCGAAAUUACUCGGGUUUUUUGUAGCGUAUCUGAUAGCCUUUGGGGACUGGGGUAUAUUGUUUUCACAAAGCCCUGGUGAUUUGUGAGAUGCAUCGAAGGACCGCAACUGAAGUCGAUAAGAACAUGCAGAAAGAAAACUGAUCCAUCUUGAUAAACUUGAAAAAUGUUGUCAUAUGGUGAUAUAUACUCCCUGGCCCCAGUCUCUUGGAAAGAACUUAGUUGAUUUUUUUUUUUCAGUAUCCAUCCCUAAUAGUUGCAGCAAAUUAAAAAAUAUAGUUAUAUCUUUUUAGCAAUGGUGCAAUUUGGAAAGCUUUCUCAUCAUCUUCUUCUUUUCUUUAUCUCAUUACUCUCAUUUAAUUCCACUGUCCUGCAACAAUUCGCCAAGGAGAAGCUCUAGUUGAAUGGAAGAACAGCCUAUCCCUGAAUUCGUUUCUUGGUUCUUGGUCACUAAUUAAUCUCACUUAUCUUUGUAAUUAAGUGGACUGGCAUUGUAUGCAACUCUCUGCAGGUUCAGUCAGUCAGAUUAAUCUUCAAGAACUCACAGGAACACUUGCUAACCUCGGUUUCUUUUCGUUUUCAAAUCUCACCAAUAUCAACAUUACACAUAACAACUUCACUGGUCCAAUACCACCCGAGAUUGGAAAUUUACGACGGAACAAUGUGUCAUAAGUUUCAGUUUUCCUCCAAAACUUACGACGGAUGUUCAUACAUAACUUCUGUCGCAAGUUCAACUUUUUUCAAAAGGAAAACCAGGACCCACAACAGACAUGCGAUAGAAACUUCCGUCGUAAGGUAGUUAACAUACGACGGACCGAGCAUCGUAAGAUAAAAUUUAUCCAGACAAGGAUCUGGGCCCCACAACAUACUUGCGACGGAAAGUUCCGUCGUAAAUUCUGUAACUUACGACGGUUUUAAUACUUACGACGCAUGUUUGGAAUUGUGAUGUAUUUUGCAACUUUCGACUUGACAAAAAAUGACGGAAAAAGUCCGUCGUAAAGUAAGAACUACUUCCAUCGUAAAAACCCAGUUUUGUUGUAGUGUCUGCAGGUUCAGUCAGUCAGAUUAAUCUUCAAGAACUCACAGGAACACUGGCUAACCUCGGUUUCUUUUCGUUUUUCUAAUCUCACCAAUCUCAACAUUACACAUAACAACUUCACUGGUCCAAUACCACCCGAGAUUGGAAAUUUAACAGACGUUCAGUACCUCGACUUUAGCUAUAAUAAUCUCAAUGGUAAUGGUACCCUUUCAUACCAGGUUAGCCACCUUCAGAGGUUGGUCGUCUUACGGCUGUCAUUUAAUCACCGAAAGCUCCGAGUUUGUCCAAUUUUUCCCCCAUACCUAAACUGGUUGGUCUCGGUCUUAGUGGUAAUAAGCUGGCGUCAAAUUUUCCAGAAUUCAUAUCUAAUUGCUAUAACAUAAUUAAUCUUGAUCUUUUAUUUAACGUGUUAACUGGCCUGGUGAUCCAAUGCCUGAAUCAGCAGAUGACAAUUUACGUAAUCUUGAAGAACUGUAUCUUGGUGCCAAUUCUUUCGAGGGGCCAUUUCCAACGAAUAUAUUCAAGCUUUCCAAAUUAAGGGUUCUUGACCUAUCUAUGAAUAAUUUUUCAGGUUCAAUUCCUGAUGGUAUAGGGAUGCUUCCUGAUCUUUGAAUAAUUCGUUUAUAUAAUUCAUUUGAAGGAAUUAUUCCUUCUUCAAUUAGUCUACUUAAGGAUCUUCAACACCUAGACUUCAGUGACAACCUUCUAGUUUCAAGUAUAAUGUCUUACGGGUCCAAUUUAACCGAUCAUUAUAGGCAACCCCAUUAGAGAUGCUCUUAAUAACAUUUUAACUAGAGAAUAUCUUACUUUCAGUUGCAUUUGUAUUAAAUCUGAUUUAGAUGAAGAGAAACAGAAUACAUAUGAUCCUGAGACAACAUUUUGUCAAUGUUUUCGUCUUGAUUAAACAGUCUUCUUCAUGCGUGUCCUUGUCAACUUCAGUUGCGGUAAUUCAAUGUAUCUCACGAACCACCUUGGCUUUCCCAUUUUGAAAACAAGUAUCCUGAAGAUAAUCCGCAUAUCAAUCCACAUCCGUAGCUCAGUUGAUUUAUUAAUUUAUUCAUGAAGUGGCGAACGACAUUCCUGCAAAAGUAAAAGUCAGUGGAAUUUGUAUGAUAGCAUGAUCCAUGAUGAAUAUUUAAAGUUUCAGCUAGAAUUUCACCAAGUAAUUUAUUUCUUGCUUAAGUCCCGGAUUGACGAAUUUUGCUGAUCACAUUUCUAAUCGACCAAUUCUGGUCGAAUAAAUUAAAUGGCACACUUCCUGAGUUGGUGGUGGGGGCGUUCUUCUUGUGUUUCUUUCUUUUCAUUAUUGACAUUGUUAUCCAGGUCCUUGCUUCUGGGCUUUUGUAAAGCACCCAUUUACUCCAUUGUCAUGAUCAUAGCUAGUCUUCCAUAUCCAAGAUACGCGCAUUAUAGUGGAUUUAUCUUUAUUAGUGAUUUCUGUGGAAAUGCAUAAUCUUUAUAAGCUCCAAUAUUAUAAAAUAAACCUAACUUAUUAGAGUUAACAGGGCAUUUGUGUUGAUAAUUUGCGCAAUGUUAUGGGGAUCGCUCCCAAGUCUUGGACGGACUCUUUCCAAGUCUUCUGAGGACCCAUCUGCACACUAAUUUGUCCGCCAACUAAAAAUUUAUAUAUAUUUUUCCAUAGAAUAUAAAUAGUUGGGGGUACUAACAGAACCUCUAGUAAAAUUAAUUAAUACCGUUAUGAUUUCGCAAACACAGCAGACAGCAGGCAUAAGGCUUAUAAAUAGAAGUGUCGUAUUUGGUUGAUGGUCAAGUUGAGUGGAAAUAUGGCACACUUUGUAAUGCCUUGUUAUCCUCUUCUCUUUGUUUUCUUUCUCUCAUUACUUCAAUCCAUUCUAACAACACAAGAGGGAGAAGCUCUUGUGAAAUGGAAGAAUAGCCUAGCCCCUUCUUCUUUUCUCGACUCUUGGUCACUCACCAAUCUCGAUAAUCUUUGCAACUGGACUGGCAUUACUUGUAACUCUGCAGGUUCAGUCUCUCUGAUUAACCUCUGUGAGAAACAACUUGAUGGAAUGCUGUCUGAGUUUGGUUUCACUUCAUUUCCAAAUCUCAACAAUCUCACCCUCGCAGUUAACAACUUCUCCGGUCCAAUACCAGCAGCCAUUGAGAAUUUAACAGAGCUUCGGUAUCUUGAUUUGAGCAAUAAUUAUCUAGAUGGUCCCAUUCCUUUCCAGGUUAGCCAUCUUCAGAGGUUGCUCAUCUUAAAUCUGUCACGGAAUGCAUUGCAAGCUCUAAAUUGGUCCAAUUUCUCUCCCAUGCCUUUUUUGCGCAUCCUCAAGCUCAGUAGAAAUCAUCUUGCGUCGAAAUUCCCAAAUUUUAUAUCCAAUUCUCAUAGCCUGACUCACCUUGACCUUUCAUAUAACAUGUUUACCGGUGAUCUAGCAUGUGAACCAAUAUUUGCCAACCUGCAUAAGCUUGAAGUGCUUAGUCUCGUUGACAAUUCUUUUGAGGGGCCAUUUCCGCCAAAUAUAUUCAAGCUUUCCAAAUUAAAACGUCUUGCCCUGUCAGGUAACAAAUUUUCAGGUCCAAUUCCCAAUGACAUAAGGUUGCUUUGUGAUCUUGAAUCCCUAUAUUUAGGUAACAAUUCCUUUGAAGGACCGCUUCCACCAAAUAUAUUCAAGCUUUCAAAAUUAAAAGAUCUUGUUCUUUGGCGUAAUAAGUUUUCAGGUUAUAUUCCCAAUAGUAUAAAUUUGCUUUCGGCGCUUGAAGCCCUCGAUCUUUAUUCUAAUUUUUUUGAGGGGCCGCUUCCACCAAAUAUAUUCAAGCUCUCAAAACUAAGGAUUCUUUCCCUUGGGAACAAUAACUUUUCAGGUUCUGUCUCUAAUAAUAUAGGUUUGCUUCCUGAGCUUGAAACCCUAUAUCUUGACUCUAAUUUGUUUGAGGGGCCGCUUCCCCCACAUAUAUUCAAGCUCUCUAAAUUAAGAUAUCUAGACCUCUCAAACAAUAGAAAUUUAUUUGAAAUUAGAAGUAUUCCUAUUGGAUUGGGACUCUUGACUAACCUCAACUAUUUAGAUCUACAUUGCAGUAAUCUCAGUGGCGAUAUUUCAUCUGCCAUUGGAAACCUGAAGCUACUAGUAUUUCUUGAUCUCAGUUUUAAUCAAUUGACCGGACCGCUUUCAAAGAUCGUUUCUAAUCUCACAAAUCUUAUAUAUCUUGAUGUAAGUCAUAAUAGUCUUAGUGGAAAUAUUAGUGACUUGUGGAAAUAUUAUCUGUCUGGGAACAUUCCUAAGGAAUAUAACGAUCAUCCAACUUUGGAAUACAUCAAUUUAAGUGGGAACCAUUUUACAGGUAUGUUUUCUCUAUAUAUCUUUUCCUUUUGUCAUAUUAACUAAGCUUGUAAUCUUUUUGUAGUUAUACCAAAGUUUUAACAAUCUUGACAGGUGAGCUUCCAACAACAAUUUGCAAUGUCACUUCCCUUUCAGUUCUUGAUUUGUCAAAUAAUGGAUUAAGUGGUGCACUUCCAAACUGUUUCGCGAAUCUUGCUGAUAGAUUGCUUUACAUGAAUCUUGCUAAUAAUCUGUUUCGCGGAACAAUACUAAUUACUUUAUCCAAAAGUUGUCAGCUGACAUAUCUAAACAUGGAUAAUAAUGAGUUUGAAGGAUUGGUGCCCCCAUCUUUGGCGAACUGUAAGCACUUGAAAAUUCUUGAUAUUGGCAAUAAUAAAAUAGGUGGUUCAUUCCCGUCAUGGCUUUAUGUACUUGGAGAGCUAGAAGUCCUUGUCUUGCGAUCAAAUAAACUCUAUGGUACAAUAACUGGAAGGAGCAUAGAAGAUCCCUUCCCCAAGUUGCGGAUUGUGGAUCUGUCCGAUAAUCAAUUCACAGGCCAUUUGCCAAUUCAAUACUUUAAGAAUAUGAAAUCAACUGAUAAUAUGUAUAAUUAUCUGAAUUCCACAGGAGGAAUAUAUUUCACUUAUGAAGCAGCAGUCUCACUAACUGUGAAGGGAACAGAGUAUGAAGUAGCAAAUAACCUUCAUAUUUACACAGCUAUUGAUCUGUCGUGCAACAAAUUUCAGGGUGAAAUUCCAAAAGUUAUUGGAGAGCUUAGAUGGCUUGCAUUGCUCAAUUUAUCGCAUAAUAGUCUGACAGGACAUAUCCCAUCAUUGCUGAGAAAUAUGAAAGAACUCCAAUAUUUAGAUCUGUCCUCAAAUCAACUGACAGGGGCUAUUCCACCUCAGUUAACUGCAUUGACAUUUCUAGAGGUCUUGAACCUCUCAGGAAACCAUCUUAGUGGAGGGAUUCCUCAGAAAGGACAGUUCAGCACAUUCAACAAUGAUUCUUAUCUAGGAAACUCCGCUUUAUGUGGAUCACCUUUGACGAAGAAAUGUGCAAACACAGCAUCACCUCCAAAAGAAGUCGGAAAUGGUGAUGAAGAAGAUGGUGGUGAUGAAUUGACAUGGGAAGCAAUCGUGAUGGGAUAUGGAUGUGGACUGAUAUGUGGCAUCAUCGGCAUACAUUGUUCUCAAACUAGGAAAGCCGUGGUGGUUUGUGAGAUGUAUCGAAGUACUGCAACUGAAGUUGAUGAAAAGAUAUGCAUGAAGAAUGGUACUCUGGUCGAUCAACACGAACUUGAAAGUUGUUGUCCUUGUGGACUAGCUGCCUAAGUAUUUGGUAUUAUGUAAUAAUCCGUUUGGUCGGGACUCAUAAUCAUGCAUUUUUCUUGCUUCAGGAGUAUUAAUAUAUAUUAACCUUGCUAUCUAAAAGAAUAAAAUUGCAAAUUAACCUUCUCAGAGAAAUCUUGCUGAUAAAAUGCAUUGCAUUGAUCUCGCUAAUAAUCAGUUCCGAGGACCAAUACCAACAACCUUCUCAGACAGUUGCCAGUUAAGAUAUCUAAACAUGUAUGACAAUCACUUAAAAGGACUAUUGCCCCGAUCUCUGUCAAACUGUAAGCACUUGAAAAUUCUUGACAUCGGGAACAACAAAAUGGGCGGUACAUUUCCUUCAUGGCUAUUUACUCUCGGAGAGCUGGAAGUCCUAGUCUUGCGAUCAAAUAGACUUUACGGUCCAGUAAGUGGAAGGAGCACAUCACAUCCAUUCCCCAAGUUGCGGAUUUUAGAUCUCUCCAACAACCAAUUCGCGGGCCAUUUUCCAAUUCAAUACAUUAAGAAUAUGAAACCAACUGCUGACAACGGGUAUAGUUAUCAAAAUAGAUCACAAGGACUAAUUAAUUACAUCUAUGAAGCAUCUAUCUCCUUAAAUGUGAAAGGAACAGAGUAUGAAGUGAAAAACAUUCUUCAUAUCUACACAACCAUUGAUCUGUCGUGCAACAAAUUUCAAGGAGAAGUUCCAAAGGUUACUGGAGAGCUUAAAUGGCUUGCAUUGCUCAAUCUAUCUCAUAAUAGUCCUACCGGACAUAUGUUCUGCAUUAUUAUUAUGCUUUCAUCAAUAUUUUUAAACACUUCUCAAUAUGUAUUUUCAAAGAAUUCUCAAGCACUUGAACAUUUGGACCGGUUCUUUCGAAGCCAAGAUGCCCAGGUUAUCAUGGCCAUGCACAAAAAUGCCCAAAAAUAAAUAAAUUAAGAGAGAUUGCUCAGGGUCUCCCCAAGCCUUCCAGGACACAUUCCAAGUCUUCGGAGGACCACUGCCUCGCCCUUUCAAAGAUGUGAUAGUAGCUCGAGAGUGAUAUAAAUUAUUUUCCCGACACUAAAAUAAAUAGGGUUUUGUUCCAGGACAAUCGAUUGUCAUGGAGGUCUUCCAUCAUAUCCGCAGAUAGGAACUUUCCCUAUCCGCGGAAAAUUAUAGCGGAUACUUAAAAAAAUGAAGUUUAAUCUGGACCCUUGAAAUAGAGAUCCGACGGCCAUGAAAGUGUGUGUUAACUUACUUGGCACUAAGAUUGAUAAAGACAGUAUAAUAAUUUAAUUGAUGAAAAGUCAAAGUUUUCUAAUAAAUCCAUAAAGAAUAUGAUAAUCAAAAUAACGAAAAUUAUAAUUGAAAAAUCAAAAUCAUUAGUCAUGUAUUAGAAUAGUGUUCACACACUUAUAUAUCAAAAUUUGUGGUCCCAAAAACUAUAGCACAAUAUCCUAAAUACACCACAUUAAAUACUAGUUCAAAAAUAUUCAAUAAAUAAUUGAUUUCAUUCAUAAUUUUGUUAUUUUAAAAACGAAUAAUUUGGUUGAUGUUGACCUAUAUUUUAAUAUAUAAUUAUAUUAUUUUUGUCUUAUUUUAUUUAACUAGAAACAAUAUUUUUAUAAUAUUUAUUACAUUAAUUAUAUUAAUAGAUAUAAUUUUAUUAAAAAAAUUGAAUAAAAUUAAGAGGAAAACUCUAUGCCACUCCAAGUCUACAAGACUCAUUUCAAGUCCACCGAGGACCACUACCUCAACCAUUGAGAGAUGUGAAAGUAGCUUGAGAGUGAUAUAAAUUAUUUUCCUGACAAUAAAAUUUAAUAUCUAAUAUAAAUUAAUUAAAUUAGUUAAUAAUAAAUCAAAAUUAAUCAUAAAUUAUGAUUAUAAUUAAAUUAUAUAAAUCAACUCCAAAUGAUACAAAUAACACUAAACCUUGGUUACUUUGUUGGUAAAUAAAUAUAAUAUAAUAAUCAAAUUGAUGAGAAAUCAAAAUCAUCUAAUAAAUUCACAAAAAAUAUAUGAUCAUUAGUAUAUUAUAUUAGUAUCCACACACUUAUAUUUCAAAAUCUAUCCUCCAAACUUAUCAUCUCUGUAAACUAGCCACAUAAAAUAAAAAAUUUCCACACUAAAUAACAAAAUAUCUUUAUCAAAUUAUUAUUUAUGAAUUAAAUAUUCAAGUUAUAAUUCCAGCAUGCAGCGUAUAAAUAGAAGUGUGCAGUAUGAUAUCAGAUUCAUAACCCAGUUGAGGAGAAACAUGGCACACUCUGUAAAGCCUUCUCACCUUCUUCUCUUUGUUUUCUUUCUCUCAUCACUUGAAUCCAUUCUUGCAACAACACGAGAAGGAGAAGCUCUUGUGAAGUGGAAGAAUAGCCUAGCCCCUUCUUCUUUUCUCGAUUCUUGGUCCCUCACCAAUCUCGAAAAUCUUUGUAACUGGACUGGCAUUACUUGUAACUCUGCAGGUUCAGUCUCUGAGAUUAACCUCUGUGAGAAACAACUUGAUGGAAUGAUGUCCGAGUUUGGUUUCACUUCAUUUCCAUAUCUCAACAAUCUCACCCUCGCAUACAACUUCUUCUCAGGUCCAAUACCAUCAGCCAUUGAGAAUUUAACACAGCUUCAAUUUCUUGAUUUGAGCAAUAAUAAUCUCGAUGGUCCCAUUCCGUUGCAGGUUAGCCAUCUUCAGAGGUUGCUCGUCGUAAACCUGUCACAGAAUGCAUUGCAAGCUUCAAAUUGGUCCAAUUUCUCUCCCAUGCCUUUUUUGCGCAUUCUCAACCUCAGUAGCAAUCAUCUUGUAUCGAAAUUCCCAGAAUUUAUAUCCAAUUCUCAUAGCUUGGCUAUCCUUGACCUUGGAUAUAACAACUUUACAGGUGAUCUUGUGCGUGAAUUUACCAAUCUACAAAAUCUUGAAACCCUCUACCUUGAUGAUAAUUCUUUUGAGGGGCCAUUUCCGCCAGAUAUAGUCCAGCUUUCCAAAUUAAAAGAUCUCACCCUGUCGACUAACAAAUUUUCAGGUUCAAUUCCCGAUGACAUAAGGUUGCUUUGUGAUCUUGAAUUCCUAUAUUUAGGCAACAAUUCUUUUGAAGGACCCCUUCCACCAAAUAUAUUCAAACUUUCAAAAUUAAAACAUCUUGUUCUUUGGAGUAAUAACUUUUCAGGUUCUGUUUCCAAUGAUAUAGGUUUGCUUUCUGAGCUUGAAAUUCUCAAUCUUCAUUCUAAUUUUUUUGAGGGGCCACUUCCGCCAAAUGUAUUCAAGCUCUCCAAACUAAAGUUACUUUCCCUUCACGAUAAUAACUUUUCAGGUUUUGUUUCCAAUGAUAUAGGUUUCCUUUCUGAGCUUGAACACCUACAUCUUGGCCAUAAUUUUUUUGAGGGGCCACUUCCGUCAAAUAUAUUCAAGCUCUCCAAAUUAAGAUAUCUAGGCCUAUCAAACAAUAGAAAUUUAUUUGAAGGAAGUAUUCCUAUUGGACUGGGACUCUUGACUAACCUCAGGUUCUUAGAUCUAUAUUCCAAUAAUCUCGGUGGCUAUAUUCCAUCUGACAUUGGAAACCUGAAGCUACUAGUUAAUCUUGAUCUCAGUUCUAAUCAAUUGACUGGACCGCUUCCGAAGAUCGUUUCUAAUCUCACAAAUCUUAUAUCUCUUGAUGUAAGUGAUAAUAGUCUUAUAGGAAAUAUUCAGAGUGACUUGUGGAAAUAUAACGAUCAUCGAAAUUUGGAAAACAUCAAUUUAAGUGGGAACCAUUUUACAGGUAUAUCUUUUCCUUUAGUCAUAUGUAACUAAGCUAGUAAUCUGAUUAUUGCAGUUUUACCAAAGUUUCAAAAAUCUUGACAGGUGAGCUUCCAACAACCAUUUGCAAUGCCACUUCCCUUUCGGUUCUUGAUUUGUCAAAUAAUGGAUUAAGUGGUGCACUUCCAAACUGUUUCGGGAAUCUUGCUGAUGGAUUGCAUUACAUUAAUCUUGCUAAUAAUCAGUUUCGAGGAAAAAUACCAACUACUUUCUCCAGGAGUUGUCAGCUGACAUAUCUAAACAUGGAUAAUAAUGAGUUUGAAGGAUUGUUGCCCCCAUCUUUGGCGAACUGUGAGCACUUGAAAAUUCUUGAUAUUGGCAAUAAUAAAAUAGGUGGUACAUUUCCGUCAUGGCUUUAUGCACUUGGAGAGCUAGAAGUCCUUGUCUUGCAAUCAAAUAAACUCUAUGGUACAAUAAGUGGAAGAAGCAUAAAAGAUCCCUUCCCCAAGUUGCGGAUUAUGGAUCUGUCCAACAAUCAAUUCACAGGCCAUUUGCCAAUUCAAUACUUUAAGAAUAUGAAAUCAACUGAUAAUUUGUAUAGUUAUCAGUAUUCCUCGGUAGUAUUAUACUUCUCUUAUGAAGCAGCAGUCUCAUUAACUGUGAAGGGAACAGAGUAUGAAGUAAGAAAUAAUCUUCAUAUUUACACAGCCAUUGAUCUGUCCUGCAACAAAUUUCAGGGAGAAAUUCCAAAGGUUACUGGAGAGCUUAUAUGGCUUGCAUUGCUCAACUUAUCUCAUAAUAGUCUAACAGGACAUAUCCCAUCAUUGCUGAGAAAUAUGAAAGAACUCCAAUCUUUAGAUUUGUCUUCAAAUCAACUGACAGGGGCUAUUCCACCUCAGCUAACUGCAUUGACAUUUCUAGAGGUCUUGAACCUCUCGAAAAACCAUCUUAGUGGAGAGAUUCCUCAGAAAGGACAGUUCAGCACAUUCAACAAUGAUUCUUAUCUAGGAAACUCCGCGUUAUGUGGAUCACCUUUGACGAAGAAAUGUGUAAACACCGGAUCACCUCCACAGGAAGUCGGAAAUGCUGAUGAAGAUGAUGCGGGUGAUAAAUUGAUAUGGGAAGCAAUCGUGAUGGGAUAUGGAUGUGGACUGAUAUGUGGAUGGUCAUCUGCGUACAUUGUUCUCAACCUAGGAAAGCCUUGGUGGUUUGUGAGAUAUAUCGAAGUACUGCAACUGAAGUUGAUGAAAAGAUAUGCAUGAAGAAUGGUACUGGUCGAUCAAGACGAACUUGAAAGUUGUUGUCCUGGUAGACAUUUCUGAACCAGUAGUGUACUAGCUACAUAAGUAUUUGGUAUUAUGUAAUAAUCUGUUUGGUCGGGACUCAUAAUGAUUUCUCUUGCUUCAGGGGUAUUAAUAUUAACCUUGCUAUCUUCAUCUGUGUUGAUGCAAAUGAAAAAGAAUGGAAAAACAAAAAAAUUGCAUCAAACCUGUUGUACCAAGAUCCAUUAAUCUGCUUUCAUCUCUUACGCAACAAUUUAACAGCACUUUCACACUGUUUGAAAGAUUAUCAUAAAUUCGAGUUUUCCUCGGCAGCACCAAAUCCAAAUAUACAAUCCGUCAAUCCCACACAUUCCAGUCUCAGCUUCAGCUCCCAGGCUAGCAUUAAUAACAGUUGGGGAUUUGAGUGAACGUGCCUUGGUCCUGCCUUCAAAUGUGUAACAUUAACAGUUGGAUAUGUCGACAAAAAAAUUGUUCCUCACACAGCGGAAUAAAUCCGACAGUUCUUUUCAUCCAGCAAUUUAAAGCUUAACAGACAGUCAUUAUUUCAGCAAUAUGUCUAGCAAAUAUGUAGGGCACUUGACACCAUACUUCCAACACAAGUAGUAAAAGGAGAGACCAUUGUUUCGAAUGCUCGGAAAUUUGAACUGGGUUUUUUCAGCGUGCCCCUGACUUUUGUACACAAACAGCUGAAGAAAAGCAGAAGUCGGAUUCUGGAAAAAAGAAGCACUUAUCUAUGCUAAUAUAUUAAAAAUGUCAUCUGUGUUUCUUAUGUUUGUGCAACAACCUGACAGAAAGGGAUGUAGGUGAAACCAGGGGCGUAAAAUGAAUCGGGACUAAAAUCUACUAAAAUGAUAAUUAUGUACUAUAUUUGGUCUGUUUUAAUAUACAUGUAAAAGGGGACGAAGUAGUUGGUUAUAGUUGCGAAUCCUAUAAAUGAAUGCGCGAUCAGGAUGUGUCACUAAGCACCUCCAACGCCGGGUAAGGGUGAGUAGUCUACUUCUGCUUCCUCUGUUUUUUGUAUUUGACGUUUUAAAUUUUGGCACACAAUUUUAAGUGUUUUGACCGUAUAGUUGAAAAUAUUAAUUUUAAUUUUUUUUUGAAUAAAAAUAUAUAAUCAAAAUUUUAAUUUAGAAAAAAGAUCAAUCAAAAAUAAUAUUUUUUACUAUUCGAUCAACCCACUUAACAAUAACAAUUAAAAGACUUUAGUGACGUUAUCUGACCAAGGGUCAUGGAAACUUCGACAUCGGAAUCUUGCGAGGCUACUAUUCUAAAGCACGCAUAAUCAUUGUAUCCAUUUUCCUCUAACACUGACAAAAAAUCUAUUUGAACAAAUGAAAUACAAACAACUCAGUGGAAUGCUAACUGAGUAAAGUUUCACUUCAUUUCCAAAUCUCAACAAUUUCACCAUCAAAUAUAAUGACUUCUGCUGUCCAAUACCACCAGCCUUUGAGAAUUUGGCACAGCUUCAAUUCCAUACCAGGUUAGUCAUCUUUGGAAAUUACACGUCUUAGACCUGUCAAACAUAAAUUUCAAUCUCCAAACUGGUCCGAUUUAUCUUCCAUGCUCUUUGUUGAGAACCGGUCCAUCUAAAACCUUAAGAUGUCAGAGGAAACUCAAAAUGGAUCUUCUACUAUAUUUUAACAUUUCUGAGUACAUUCAAUUAUAAGGUCACUUGUGCAUCGCUGUUCACACACUUAGACCCUGUUUGUGUGGGCUUUAAGUCCGGGCUCAAGCUAUUUCGACUUCAUCACUUCCAAGGACUUAUACCAACAACCUUCUCAAAGAGUUGCCAGUUAAGAUAUCUAAACAAGUGUGACAAUCAGUUAGAAGGACUAUUGCCCCGAUCUUUGUCAAACUGUAAGCACUUAAAAAUUCUUGACAUCGGGAACAAUAAAAUGGGCGGUACAUUCCCUUCAUGGCUAUUUAAUCUCGGAGAGCUAGAAGUCCAAGUCUUGCGAUCAAAUAGACUGUACGGUCCUGUAAGUGGAAGGAGCACAUCACAUCCAUUCCCCAAGUUGCGGAUUCUAGAUCUCUCCAACAAACAAUUCACGGGCUAUUUGCCAAUUCUAAACUUUAAGAAUAUGAAACCAGCUGCUGAUGAUAACGCGUAUAGUUAUAAAAAUAAGUCACAAGGACUAAUUAAUUACAUCUAUGAAGCAUCUAUCUCCUUAAAUGUGAAAGGAACAGAGUAUGAAGUGAAGAACAUUCUUCAUAUUUACACAGCCAUUGAUCUAUCGUGCAACAAAUUUCACGGAGAAGUUCCAAAGAGAGCUUAAAUGGCUUGCAUUGCUCAAUCUAUCUCAUAAUAGUCUUGCCGGACAUAUGUUCUGAAUUAUUAUUAUGCUUUCAUCAAUAUUUUCAAACAUUUCUCAAUAUGUAUUUUCAAAGAAUUCUCAAGCCCUGGAACAUUUGGACCGGUUCUUUCGAAGCUAAGAUGCCCAGGUUAUCAUGGCCAUGCACAAAAAUGAAUAAAUUAUUCCAAGUCUUCCAUGACUCAUUCCAAGUCUUCGGAGGAGACCCUGAGCACAAAGAUGCUCAGGGUCUCCCCAAGCCUUCCAGGACUCAUUCCAAGUCUUCGGAGCACGGCCUCGCCUCGCUCUUUCAAAGAUGUGAUAGUAGCUCGAGAGUGAUAUAAAUUAUUUUCCCGACACUAAAAAUAAAUAAUCAGAUCAAAUUAAUCAAUAAUAAAUUAAAGAUGAAAUCCAAAUUAAUCUUAAAUUUUGAUAAUAUAUAAAAAUUAUAAUUAUAAAUUAUAUACCAAAUCAGAAUUGAAUUAAUUCCUUGGCACUAAAAUUGAUAAAGAAAGUAUAAUAAUUUAAAUUUAAUUGAUGAAAAGUCAAAGUCUUCUAAUAAAUCCAUCGAAGAGCACUAAUUCCAUCUGCAGUGAUUUGGAAGAACAGGUCUCUUGCCACUCCAAUUCCUAAGAAAAUUUAGCCCAUAAAUAGAAGUGUGCCUUGCGCUAUGAGAUGUACAAUGUGACAGGAAACAUGUUGCACUUCCCAAAGCCUAAUUAUCACCUCAUUGUGCUAGUUUUCUUUCUCAUAUUGCUUUCAUCUACCCUCACAACAGUAUCUACGACAAGAGAAGGAGAAGCUCUGUUAAAAUGGAAGAACAGUCUACCACCAUCCUCUUCCCUAAAUUCUUGGUCACCCGUCAAUCUCAAUAAUUUGUGUAACUGGACUGGCAUUAUCUGUAACUCUGCAGGUUCAGUCUCAGAAAUAAACCUUUCACUAAAACAACUUAGUGGAACGCUUGCCAAUUUCAGUUUCACUUCAUUUCCAAAUCUUAAUAGUCUUGACAUUAGUGGCAACAACUUUACAGGUCCAAUACUACCUGCCAUUGAAAAGUUCACGCAGCUUCAGCAUCUUGAUUUUAGCUUUAACAAGCUCAAUGGUAUCAUUCCAAACCAAAUUUGGCAUCUUCAGAGAUUGCGCACCUUAGACCUGUCAGUUAAUUACUUGGAAGCUUCAGACUGGUCUAGUUCUUUCUCCAUGCCUUUUCUGACCAACCUCGACCUUAGUUUCAAUAAAAUUGGGGCAAGAUUCCCAGGCGUUACAUCCAAUUCUUGUAACCUAACAUGUCAAUUGUUGCCUGAGUCAUUAGUUAACAAUCUGCAUAAUCUGGAAGUCCUUUCUCUUCAUCACAAUUCUCUCGACGGGCCAUUUCCACCAAGCAUAUUCAAGCUUUCCAAAUUAAGAUAUCUCUCCCUAUCAAGUAAUCAUUUUUCAGGUUCUAUUCCGGAUGAUAAGGGAUGCUUGGUGAUCUUGAAUCCCUUUAUCUGGGUCACAAUUCUUUUGAGGGGCCCUUCCCACCAAAUAUUUUCGGUUUUUCCAAAUUAAUAAAUCUGUCUUUAUCAGGGAAUAGCUUUUCAGGUUCUGUUCCAGAUGAUAUAAGGAUGCUUAGUGAUCUUGAAUACCUUGAUCUUAGUCGGAAUUUUUUUGAGGGGCCUUUUCCACAAAAAAUAUUCAAGCUUUCCAAAUUAAAAGUUCUUGACCUAUCAAGAAACAAUUUUUCAGGUUCUAUUUCAGAUGAUAUACGGAUGCUUCAUAGUCUUGAGUUGCUCCAUCUUGAGUACAACUCUUUUCAGGGACCCUUUCCACCAAAUAUAUUGAAGCUUCCGAAUUUAAGAGUACUUGACCUAGCAGACAAUGACUUUUCAGGUUCUAUUCCCAGUGAUAUAAACAUGCUUCAUGAUCUGAAAAUACUUUCAUUGUUUUCUAAUUCAUUUGAAGGAACUAUUCCUUCUUCUAUAAGUCUACUCAAGGAGCUACGAUACCUUCACCUCGGGUCUAAUCAUCUCAAUUCCACUAUUCCUUCUGAGCUGGGGCUCUUGGCAAACCUUGACCGAUUAUAUCUUGAUUCCAAUAAUCUUACUGGCAAUAUCCCUCAUAUCUGAACAUGUACAACAAUUACUUUGACGGAGUGUUGCCUCAAUCUUUUGCCAACUGCAAGCAGUUAAAAGUUCUUGAUAUAGGAAACAACAAAAUAAGUGGUACAUUUCCCUCAUGGCUAUUUACUCUUGCAGAGCUAGAACUCCUUGUCUUGCGGUCCAAUAGACUUUAUGGUACAGUAAGUUUAAGAAGCACAACAGAUCCCUUUCCCAAGUUGCGCAUCAUGGAUCUCUCAAACAAUGACUUCACAGGCUAUUUGCCAAUUCAAUAUUUCAAAAAUAUGAAGCCGGUUGAUAAGGGGUAUGAUUAUCACAAUUUCACAGCACCAUUUUAUUACUACUAUCAAGCAUCUAUCUCGUUAACUGUGAAAGGGACCGAGUACCAAGUGAGUAAAAUUCUUCAUAUUUACACAGCCGUUGAUCUGUCAUGCAAUAAAUUUCAAGGAGAAGUCCCAAAGGUCAUUGGAGAACUUAAAGGGCUGGCAUUGCUCAAUUUAUCUCAUAAUAGUCUUACUGGACCUAUCCCAUCACAGCUCGGAAAUAUGAAAGCACUCCAAUCUCUGGAUUUGUCUUCAAAUCAAUUCACAGGGGCUAUCCCAUACCCGUUAAUUGGUUUGACAUUUCUAGAGGUCCUGAACCUCUCAUAUAACCAUCUCACCGGAGAAAUUCCCCAAAAAGGACAACUGAGCACGUUCAGUAAUGAUUCUUACCUAGGUAAUCUUGCCUUGUGUGGAUCUCCUUUAACAGAGAAAUGUGCACACGAAGAGUCACCACCACAAGAAGUCGGAUAUGAUGAAGAUGGUGCAGAUAAUAAAUUCCAAUGGAAAGUAGUCCUAAUGGGAUAUGUUAUCGGAUUAGUAUGUGGAUUGUCUUCAGGGUACAUUUUUCUCACAACUGGAAAGCCUUGGUGGUUUUUGAGAUACAUCGAACAACUGCAUAGCAAAAGUUGAUCAGAAGAUUCACGUAGAGUACUGUUUGAUUAAGAUGAGCAAGUUGAAAAGAAUGUUUACUAGACCAGUGGUAUGUCGGGAACAUUAAUGUGUGGUGUCAUAUAAUAUUUGAAAUGCUAAUGUCAGUGCUAGUUCUAGUUCGGGUCUGAUACUGAUUUACUCGUCUCAGAGAUACAUAUUUGUGUUCAAUGUUAAUACAAAACGGAAAAAACAUACUACACAUUAAAUCAACUUUGUAUCAAGUCGAGUUUUGGAGAUGCCAUGAUCAAAAGAAAAACACGGUGAAUGAUAUUUAUUAAGAACACGACUUGAACUAUAAGUGCAUGAAAAUCGUCUUUCAAAGUAUGGCAGGGGUGUGAAUCGUGCACACCAUGGAUAGUCACUUGAAAGCUAACCAUUCUGAGGUUCGUGGAAGCUGAUUUCAUACUCUUGAAAGCUAUCUUUAGGACGUCGAAACUUUAAUUUGUGUUGCAUAACAUUUCAUUAUGCAAGACAGAUGGUUUCAGGGAAACUAUACUGGAGAGCAAGUACCAAACAGUAAGGUAUACUUUGGAUGAUGAAAUUCCUCCCUGAUUUUUACAUCAUUUCUAGUUUUAAACGUGACAGAACAUUCGGGCGAAUGUUCUGGUCAAUUUUUUCAUGGUUGGGCCAAAAGAAUUAUAGUACAAAUGGGUGAGAAAGUUACAUUUUAGAGAUCGCUUCUCAUUAUUUAUAAUGACGAUCAAUUUUAUUUGAUUACUUUUAAUUUUAUCUUUUAUACUUAUUAAAAACACAGAAGAUCGUGUAAACAAAAUUAAUACAAAACGUACUUAUUCAUAGGAAAUGAUUUACCUCACUUAACUGCGCUUAAUUAUUUGAAAGGAAAGAAUACAACACAAAAUUAAAUAUAUAAAGAUCUGUUAUUUGUUAUUUGGAAAUGAGGAAUUUUUUUAACAUAAUCAUUGAUAACAUAUUUUUCCAACUUAUUUAUAUCUGCCAGAAUUAAAUAAAAUACGCCUCAAUAGGUUAUCAUUCUUAAUGUCAAAUUGCAAAAAUAUAUAUAUUUUUAUUUAUGUCAUAUUCUUAGAAAAAAAUUAAUAACAAGAUAAUAAUCCCUAGCUUUAAAGGGAGGAAAACAAGUGUAAAAUAAAUAAAGUAAUUUAACUUUCACUUAUAUUAUUAAGAUAAAAGUAAGCGGAAAUAAAUAUAAAUUCAACAUAUUUAACUUACCCUUCAGAAUCCAUAAGUUUGGAACAAGUAGAUUGAGCACAAGACGAAGGCCACACAUGCGCAUCAUCUGAUGCAGCUAUGGUGCCUUUACAGUUGCUCAUACAUAUAGUGAAACAAUAAGGAUCAACUCCUCCAUUGUGCGUACACAUUUUCAUACAAGCUAUAAAGCAUGGUGAUAGAGUCUUUGCAAUCUCAUCAUGACCAGCACAUCCGAUCAUGAUAAACUCUAGCAGGAUCAUCCAAGUAAUAAUUUUCUUAAUGAUAUUAAUUAUCAUUGUGAAUAGUUGUAUUGAGUUAUGCAUGUGUGUGUAUAUAUAUGCAAUGGAUUUUGUGGUUGAGAAUAUCUGUUAGAUUUUGUAUAUCCAUAACAAUUAUUAAAAUUUGAACAAUAAUAUCUAUUAUUGGUUGUGAUCGACUAUUGUAGUAGUCCAAAAAAUCUAUAUUACAUUUAAAAAGAUUAUACAUGAAAUACAAAAGCUUUUUAUUAGGACUGUUGUUAAAAAUUGCUAUGUUGUACGAAAAAAUGCUGAUAAAAAAUGUGUUACAGAAAAAAUGCUGAUAAAAAAUGUGUUACAGAAAAAAUGCUGAUAAAAAAAAUGUUGUAGAAAUCAGAUAUGACAGCUUCCCACAAAAGCUAAAAAAACAGUUUUUUUCCAUAAUAAUAUGGGAGGAGAAAAACUGUUUGUAGAAUUAUUGAACAAUUUUUCACAUAUUUUUCGAUAAAAAGCUGUUGUUAUUGUCUUCAGUAAUGCCAAACAGUGCCGAAAUCAUUUUGAAAUCAUUUUGCAGGUAGUUAAUCUCACUUCCAUAUAAUAUAGUACUCCUAUAUAUUAUCGAAAAAACAUGAAAUGAUGCAAAGCUCAUACUAUUGACAACAGGUAAACUCCUUGCAAUACUUUGAGCUGCAAAAUCCAUCAAAUUUUUUGAUUUAUCAACGUAACUGUUUGACAGAGUACUUCCAAGCUAAGCAUCAAAAGUCACUACCUUACGAAAUAUAUCUCACCCUACCUUCUCUGCUUAUAAGCUGUUUUGAGUACUUUUACCAAGCAUAUUUUCCAUUAAGCGUGAAAGGCACAGAAUAAUUAAGGAUCACCUAUCCCAUCAGUGCCGGGGAAUAUGGAACCAUCUCAUCAAUUAACUAGUUUAACAUUUCUCGCGGUCUUGAACCUCUCAGAAAACCAUCUUAUACUAAUGUGCCGACUUCCUUUGACGAAGAAAUGGUGAUGCUGAUGCUAAUGAUAAUGAACUUAACUGGGGAGUGAUCCUUAUGGGAUACGGAUGUGGAUUGAUAUGCGGAUUUUCUUUGGGGUUUAUGUUUUGUGGUUUGUGAGAUACAUUGAAGUACUGCAGCUGGAGUUGAUCAUUAUAAAGAACAUAGGCAAGUUAAUCGCUUAUUGAAAUUAGUAAUUGUCAAAAGUAAAAUGUUGAAAUUACUUUUUUCGAUUGAAAUCAUCGAAAAAAAGUCUCUGUCGAAAUUGAUCUGCCAAAAUUAUGUUUAAUAUCUACGGCCAGGAUUAUCUGUCGAAUAUAUUUCCCGACAAUUUUAAAAGACAAAUUUUUCGCCUCUCAGCUGUGAGCGGGAACAGAUAUCUUCGACAGAAUUCCAUUGAAAUUAGCUAAUUUCAACAUAAAUUUUCUAUCGAAAUUACUUGAGUUCUUUGUAGCUUGUUUUCACAAAUACGCUGAUAGCCUUUGGGGACGGGUAUAUUGUUUUCACAAAGCCCUGGUGGUAUGUGAGAUGCUUCGAAGGACUGCAACUGAAGUCGAUAAGAACAUGCAGAAAGAAAACCGAUCCAUCUUGAUGAACUUGAAAAAUGUUGUCAUAUGGUGAUAUAUACUCCCCUGGCCCCAGUCUCUUGAAAAAAACUUGGCUGAUUUUUUUUUUUUCAGUAUCUAUCCCUAAUAAUUGCAGCAAAUUAAAAAAUAUAGUUAUAUCUUUUUAGCAAUGGUGCAAUCUGGAAAGCUUUCUCAUCAUCUUCUUCUUUUCUUUAUCUCAUUACUCUCAUCUAACUUGACGAUCCUAUCUGCAACAUUUCGCCAAGGAGAAGCUCGUGUGGAAUGGAAGAACAGCCUAUCCCCGAAUUCGUUUCUUGGUUCACUAAUUAAUCUCACUUAUCUUUGAAAUUAAGUGGACUGGCAUUGUAUGCAACUCUGCAGGUUCAGUCAGUCAGAUUAAUCUUCAAGAACUCACAGGAACACUUGCUAACCUCGGUUUCUUUUCGUUUUCAAAUCUCACCAAUCUCAACAUUACACAUAACAACUUCACUGGUCCAAUACCACCCGAGAUUGGAAAUUUAACAGAUGUUCAGUACCUCGACUUUAGCUAUAAUAAUCUCAAUGGUACCAUUCCAUACCAGGUCAGCCAUCUUCAGAGGUCGGUCGUCUUCGGCCUCUAAUUUAAUCACUUGAAAGCUCUAAGCUUGUCCAAUUUUUCCCCCAUGCCUAUACUGGUUGGUCGCGGUCUUGGUGGUAAUAAGCUGGCGUCAAUUUUUCCAGAAUUCAUAUCUAAUUGCUAUAACAUGAUUAACCUUGAUCUUUCAUUUAACAUGUUAACUGGUAAUCCCUUCAACAACUUGCGAAUCUUGGAUCUCUCGGACAAUGAAUUCACUGGUUACUUGCCAAUCCAAUAUUUUAAUAAUAUGAAACCAGUUGAUACUGUGAUUGAUUAUUACAACCUCUGUUCUAAAAGUCGGUGAUUAAUCACGAUUAAUUAAUCACUGAUUAAUCUAUGUUCCGUAGCUCGCCAAACUGAUUAAAUAUCCGAUUAUUCUAAUUAAUCCCCGAUUAAUCACCGAUCAAUGUAAUUAAUCUCCAAUUAAUCUUUAUUCCGAAACUUCACCGAUUAAACUCGAUUCCCACUUUUUACAACACUGAUUACAACAUAACAGGGAAUCAUGAUUAUCAAGCAUCUGUCUUGUUAACAUUGAAACAAAGAGAGCAUGAAGUGAAAGGAAUCCUUUAUAUUUACGAUGUCAACAGCCCUACUGUCAAAAUUCCUUUCAAGUCGGGGCUUUUUACGAUUAUUUGGUAAUUCAGUGUUGAACUCCGCUCAACUUAUAAUUAGAUAAUCGAACUCAAAAAUCUUGCAAUCAACAAAUAAAUUAUUGAAAACUUGCAAUUGAAUAAUGGCCGUCAAGUCACUUAACAAUACUAACCGAAAACGAACGUGACGGGCUGAUGUGUUUAAAAAAAUGCAUGAUGACUAUAUACGUGAUGUUUACGACCCUGACUAAUAUAUCCAACAAAUAAUACAUUCAACCUGAUCUAAUAAUGUAAUACAUCUACUUAAAUAUAUUUUCAUGCCAAAUAUUUAUAGAUUUGUUUUUACAAAAAUGAUUAGAGACUUUUGCAUAUAUAAAAAUUGAGAAUUAUUGCUUGACUAGACAAAAAUAGGUGAGUUGUGAUUAUAAUAAAUAUUUAUUUCUACGAUGUAGUUUUUAUUAGUUAUAUAUAAAAAAAAUCUUGCUCUAUUUUGAUACUAGUGCAAUGAUUACUUCAAUUUAUUUUUUAUACGAGUUAGUAAGAUAUAUGACUAACUCAUCUUGCACUCGUAUUAAUUGUCUUAUAUAAUAUUAAUAACAAAAAUAUGAGGCGGUGCUUAGUCAGAUGAUUUUAGUUGUUAAAAUAUUUUUUUGUUAUUUAUAGAUAGUGAAACUUGUCUCAUAUUUUAUCUAUUUUGUUUCGUUUCUUGAGAUUUCCAAAUAUUUAUUAGGACAUUGUACCAUGGUGUAUUUCAAGAUAUUAUUGUUAUUUAGAUAAUUAGUCAUAUUCAAUGAAUUUUGAGGACAAAAUUUAAAUAAGAGGAGAACAAUGUCAUAUCUCACGUAUUAGCAGUUUUAAUUAUUUUAUAUUUUUAUUUUAAAGAUAAGAUAAAGUUUAUUUAUUUAAUUGUUUUUAUCUUAAAAGCGAUUUUGAGUUGUUUGAGUUAGAUAUAUACUCCUACUGUGGUUCAACUAGUUUUGCCGUAAGUGAAUAAUUUCCGGUCAAUAUUUUGAAAUUUGUUGUUAUCUUCUAAUUAAGAUAAUUAAGGGGUUAAAUAGCUUUUGAAAAAUGUGAAAAAAAUCAAAAAAAUUGGGAAACCAAAAGUGGCAAGCUUUUUUUUUUUUGUUCUUUUUAAAUUUUCUAAAAUCUGGGGAAAAAAGAACUUGCCACCUAAUUUUUUCCAAAUUUUUUCAAAUUCUUUUCAGAUUUUUGAAUUUUUUCCCCAAUUUUUCCUCACUUUUUUCUGAUUUUUUUUGAAUUUAUUAAGAUUUUUUUUGUUUUUUCUGCUUAUUCUGAAUUUUUUAAGAUUUAUUCGCAUUUUUUUCAUAUUUUUAAAAAAUAUUUUUGAAUUUUCCGUUAAGUAAUUAAUGGAACUGACGGAGAGUGAUGCUUUUGAAAGUUUUUAAUUACUUGAUAAUGCGUUUGAAAAUUUUUUCAACAACAUGACCCAGUUGCAAGUUUCCGGCGAGGUUAGUGAUGAAUUAGUUAUUUAACUCUUAAUAAAAAUCUAUCUAAACAAUAUUAUAAAUAUAAUGUUAUGGGUUCGAUGAGUCGUGUAAAACAUGGAAGAAGUUUAGGUGGGGUAAAAAGAGCCUAGCUGUGUGAUUUCCAUUCUGUUAUACGUGAUAUACUGUAGUUGAUCAUCUCCUUUGUCCGCUUCAUCCUGUGCAACCUUAACCUUUAAGGAAAAACUUAUGAGAUUCUCUACUGCAUCUAAAUUCUUGUGUGAAGAAUGUGAAGAAAAAUGUUAGUCUCAGAUUAUUUUUCCUAAAAUGCUUGCAUGUUACAUUUUAUAUGUAUGUCCUGACUUUAAGUAUAAUUUAGCAUUUUUAUUUAGUAUUGUGUAAAAAUAAUAUAUUUUAUUCAGUCUUAUUAAAAAUAUAAUCAUGUUAUACUGUAAAAGUAUUUGUGAAUUUCUUUGUUACAUAUGUGUUUAAAUUAUUUUAUUUAUAUAUGUUUUACAAUUUUUUACAAAUAUAUAAGUUGAGUAUUGCAUAGGAAUAUAAUUACACGUUAGCAAAUAUGAUUAUGUGUAAACUGUUCUGCGUGCAUGUAUAUUGCUGCUAAGUUUUAAACUUCUUACUAACCGGAAUAAUUUUGACAGAUGUGUGGAACUUGAUUAAUUUAGUUGCACUAUAAGAGAAAGCGUUUUUGUCAAUAAAAAUUGUUAAGGAAAUUAGUCCGUUGGUAGUUCUCAACGGAUUUGUAACAAUUUGACUGGUCAAUGUUCUGUCAACCAAUUAGUAAUGAAAUACCCACACUUAUUUACCAACGAGAUGUUCUAUUAGGAAAUAUAGCCACACAAUGGAAUAGUAACAAAAGACCAAGGAAUGAGCAACAUACUAGCAACGAAAGUAUCUGUUAUUAAAUAUUCCCUUGAUAAAUACUAGACUUUUUAGCACUUUGGUGCAGUGGCGGAGCCAGCCAUAAACUUUAAUGGGGGCCAAAAAUAACUUUUUAAGACAUCAUAAAAGAUGAUAGUUUAUAAUCAAGCAUCUCCCAUUAUAUUUUGAAGUAUACUUUUAAUAAGAUUAAUAGUUUGAAAAACUCUUUCAACAUUGUCUGUUGCAACAUCAAAAUUAACUUACAUUAGUUAUAUGAAUUCAAAUAUCCAUAUCAAAUUUCGAGAUAUCGAAGAAAAGAAUAGAAAACGUGCAUGUUCUACUUUUUGAAUAGAAAGAAAAUAAAGGAAUAAUAGUGAACAACCAAGAAGGCAAGAAGUAAUCGAUGAUAACCAUAAAGCCCAGAAGAGGUGGAUGAUAGAAUGUCGUCCCAGCUAAUGUAUGUCUAUAUAUUAAUAUUAAAAACUAUAAAAUCUCUAGUGGGGUCCAGUGCCCCCACAUGCCUCUACAUGCCUCCACCACUGCUUUGGUGGCUUGUACUAUUUCAAAUUUGCACGUUAGUGGCCCACCUUUAAAAGUCAUCAAUUGUGUUGCUGAACUUAUUUUUUUUUAACACAUUAGGGGCUCUGCAUCAUAUCCGUUAAAUCGAAGUAACGGCGUCAAAUGAUCAAUACAUAUCUCCUCCUCCUCUUAUUUCCCUCCAAAUUAAAAACGAAACGGCUACCCCCUUUUCCGAAGCAAGAACGACGACGAAUUCCUGCUUACAGAGAUGAGUUGGUUCCGGCGUCUUAAAGAGGAUGCUGAUGUGUAUCAGCCUCGACAGUGCCCCGAUUACUGUGGUAAGCUCUUCAACUUUUCUUCUUUGUAGCAUAUGAAAUGAGUUUAAUUGACCAUUAUUUCAGUGUUUGUUGUUGUUAGUGGCUAGUUGUUUAGUAUUAUGGACCUGCAAUUGCUUUAUACUAUUAAAAUGGAAGAUUCUGCUUGUGGGUUUUUAAAAAUUAGGGCUUUUACAUAGUCCAAGAUUCGGUCAUUAUAAAAUCAAUUUAUGCCUGUUUUAGUAUAAUGCUUGUUGUUAGUGGCUAUUUGUUAAGUAUAGUGUUGUUUAUUGUAAAUAAAACUGUUGCUUUGCACUCUACAUUUGCAGAACCUGGUGAUUUUACCCUAAAAAUAUAUCAUGGGGCCGAUUGGGUAGAUAACCCUAGGGCAUAUGUGGGAGGUACAGUAGAUUUCUUUGACUUCUGUAAUGCUGAUCAGAUCAGCAUAAUUGAGAUAUAUAGUAUGUUGAAAGAGGUUGAUGAGUUUGGGUUUCACCAACUGUGGUAUAAGCUACCUGGCACUACAUUCGAUAGAGCUUUUGUACUAAAUAAUGAUGAGGAGCUAAUGACCAUGUGUGAGCUUAUAUCUGAUGUGGAUAAGUAUAUGGAGAUUUAUGUCACCACUAUGGCACAUCUAAGUACAGUGCCCUAUAGAGAUUUAGAGGUUGAAUUUGUUGAACCAACUCCUAAAGAAGCACCUGAAAAGAACAAUCCAUCACCUGAAAAGAUCAAUCCAGCACCUGAAAAGAUCAAUCCAGCACCUGCAAAGAUGUAUCCAGCACCUGCAAAGAGCAUUCCAACUGUGGGAAAUGAUGAUGAUCAGGAAGAGUUUGAGUUUGAUUUUGACAAUUGAUAGAAUAUAUUUUUGUAUAUAUUCUAUAUGAUUUUAUUCCCAUAUUUAAUUAUAUUUUGCACUGAUUUGGAUAUUUAUUUAAUAUAUUUUCAUGUUUUAUUGUAGGGAAUAAAGAAUUCCAAGUUGAGAAGGAUUUGAAGAUAAAUUAGCUAUUUUGGAGUUAAAUUCUAAAGAAAUUCGGAUUUAUUGGGUUUUACCCGAUUUCUGCACUGUUUGAGCCAUAUCUUGAGUUCCGGAUGUCGGAAUUGGACGUUCUUACAGCUCACGCGAAGCCCUUGAUAUUUCCUUUAAUUUAGAAGUGGCCCAGCAAGAAAAGUCCAACUGGAAAAGCCCGAAAACUGGACAGAACAGAAAGCUACGAAUUUUGAGACUAAAUCCUACUUGGUUUUGGAGUUUUAUUCAUAUAUUAGUUUUAAAUAUUAAAAGAGGUAUAUUAUUAGAGAUAGGAUUAGUUUUUAUCAUUGUACAAUAUUAGAGUAGGUUAGGGUUAGAGAGAAACUUAGAGGAGAGGCCAUUACUCUUUUUUGGAUGACAACAAUGAAGGUUUAUAAAGGUUUUCUUCUAUAGUUUUCUUCUCUUUACUUGUUAGUUUAAUUAUGUCUUUUAAUUAUUCUAGUUGUUUAAUUAGUAUCGAGUAGUGUGUUCUAGGGUUUAAGGGGAAGCCAUGUUUGCGUUAUGAUGUUGGCAUGAUUUAACAGUGAUUUGAUUGAUUGGUUAAUUCUAAUUGAUAUGUUUUAAUAUUGAUUUAUGUAAUCGGCCGAUAUCAUGAAUUGAUUCUAUGCGAAUAGGAGUAUGAUCGAGAGAUAUACGACUAGAGGCACACAUACAAUUAGCAGAAUUGAAUUUGAGUGCGAGAGCAUCAUUGAAUUUCUGAAAGCGUUAAUACUCGAGAGAGAUUAACAUUGCUUUAAUUAUCUGAUUAAUUGGAUUACUAAAAGUGAUUAUUUGUGUAAGCAUGUUUCGAGAGUGUUGAUACUUGAGAGAGAUUAACAAACUCUAGUUUCAUGACCGCUUUAAUUGCUUUAGCUUAGAGCCAGUCAUUGUCUAAGCAUGGUGGACCUGAUUGCCCUGGAUUUUUAACAUAUUAUUUUAGUGUCUAUUUAGUUAGUGUUAAUAUAAUAAUGUUUAUUUAGUUAAAAAUAUUUCUUUCGAUCAUCGUUGAUUUGGGAACAAUUGAAUGUAACUUAAUAAAAUUGAUAGCAUCUGUCUCCUCGAGGAUACGACCCGCAUUUGCCAGUCUACACUACAAUAGACACCGUGCGCUUGCGGUAGUUAUAAUUUAACACAUCAAGUUUUUGGCGCCGCUGCCGGGGAGACGGCUAGUUUCUAUUAGUUUUGUUUGGUUAUCUAGAUUGUUUCCUUUGCCUCGUUGGAACCCUUGUUCCAAUUGAGGCGGAUUUUACUCUGUUUUCUUGGCUGUGUUGUGUUUUUCAGGUUUACAAUGGACGGAGUUGAUAACUUUGCACGUCUAUCUUCCCUGAUCGAGGCAUAUACUCGUGAAAAUGCCUCAUUGAAUGCUACAGAGCCCACUACACGUCCACUGAGUAUCAACGAGAUGUCACAAGCUGCCCCGAAGACUUAUAACUUCUGUCAAGUUUGUGGUGUUCAGGGUCACUAUGGUUAUGAAUGUUCUUACAAUGUAUUUAAUUCUCAGAAUGCUCAGUUGGGACAUGUGAAUGAUUAUCAAGAAAGAUAUGAGUACAAUCACUAUUCUAAUUCUUGUGAUCAACAAUGGAUGGGUCAACCAGAUUUCUCUUACAUGGACAAUGAAUUUCAAAAUUUCUCAUAUCAUGAUCAACAACAAUUUCAGCAACAUCGUUAUGAAGAACCACCACUACAGCAAUAUGAUCAGUUUGAGCAGGAAUAUCAUCAACCUCAAUAUGAGCAACCUCAGUUUCAGCAGUAUCACUAUUCUCCACUUCAACAAGAGCUACAGGUUCCUUUAACCAAUGUAGAUGUGCCAUCGUAUCAGACGAAUGAGGUAUGUGAUAUGUUGAUAUAUAUGACCAAGAGUUUUGAGGAUGGUAUCAUGAACUUCCAGAAAUGCAUUGAUGAGAGUACCAUGAUGAUUAAAGAAUUAAAAGCUGAACAACUGAUGAUGGAAGGUCAAAUUGCACAAUUGUCUAGUUCUUCUUCUACAUGUCAAACCGAAUCCUCUCCACCUCCAUGUCUUCAAGUUGAAGAUGACAUAAAUACUAUCAUUCUUGCAAGUGAUAAAGACAGUGAUAGUUUUUCGAUCUGUGAUGAUGAUGCGCCUAUUGGUAAAGGGGAGGAUCAUGUCAUUGCCAAUGAAAUUGAUGAUGUUGUUGAUGUUGUGGACCAUGUGCGUGAUGAUGAGCUAAGUGAAGAAAGCAAUAUCGAGUUGGUAGUAGUUUCUCCUCCGCCUUGUGUGCUUAAAUUACCAUUCUUGAAAGGAAUCAACUUAAUCAAGGUGGAUCAACAAUUUGAUAUGAAAAACUUUGCUUUUACUCGAACCUCAGCUCCAAUAUUUGAGAGCACAUGUUUUAAAGUUGAUGUGAUGAUUGUCCAAGAUGAGAUUUCUCAGAAUAUUUCCUAUGAUCCAUUUCAAAAGGCUCUUACACCUCAAGUCUUGGAAGAAGGUGUUUGCAAUAUUGACUUUUUAUUCAUUGAAGCAAGAAGAAGCCAAGAGAUUCAACUAGCUCCUGCGAAAGUGAGGAGUUCUGAAAAACCACCACCGGAGCCUCCACCUCAUGUGAAUAUCAAGGGAGUUCAAUCUUUUGAUGGAUGUGAAUUCUAUCGUUGCUUUAUCAUAAAGUUCUCCAAAUCUAUGAAAUAUAUUGAUCAGUUGUUAUAUCUUGAUGCGACAAUUAAUUUUAUUAAUGCUUGUUUGGAGACUUUCUGCAGGAUAAAGACAACAUUUGAUGUUAAGGAUUUUAUUUUUGGUGGUGAGAUCAUGUUUGAGAAAGCGGAAACUCCGCCUUUUACAUAUUCUUUUUGGAGGUAAAAAGUCAAGCUAAUGACUCUAAAAGAGCGCUACUUGGGAGGCAACCCAAGGUCUCUAUUAGUUUAUUUAUAUAAUAUAUUUUUGUAUUUUUUUAGGAGCUUAAAAUUUUUAUUUUCAUUUUUUUUACUCCCAUAAGAUGCCUUGAUGAAUUUGUGUGAAGUGUUUUCAGAUAUUAUAUCCAAUCACUCAUGCGGCUCCUUUUUAAAGUUCNNNNNNNNNNNNNNNNNNNNNNNNNNNNNNNNNNNNNNNNNNNNNNNNNNNNNNNNNNNNNNNNNNNNNNNNNNNNNNNNNNNNNNNNNNNNNNNNNNNNNNNNNNNNNNNNNNNNNNNNNNNNNNNNNNNNNNNNNNNNNNNNNNNNNNNNNNNNNNNNNNNNNNNNNNNNNNNNNNNNNNNNNNNNNNNNNNNNNNNNNNNNNNNNNNNNNNNNNNNNNNNNNNNNNNNNNNNNNNNNNNNNNNNNNNNNNNNNNNNNNCAUAUCUUCUGUNCUUUUAGUAAACAGUAGAAGAAGAGCUGUGGUGCUACGAUGUCUAGCUGCGGCUCCGGAGCUUCUGCCAAGCACAAUUUGUUCGCGCUAGUUUUUCACAAUCUACUUGAUAACUUGAAGCAGAGCUCCUAACUCCCAAGAUCAUCUGUUCCCUGUUCUGCUACAUGGAGUCCACGCACCCAGCCCAUUCAAGUCCAGAAGCCCAUGCACGGAGCCUGUUCUCAAUUCAGCCCAUGCUCCAAGCCCAAGACCACACCACCUGGGCCCAGUACAGGGGGUGCAUCUCAGCAACAGAGGCCCAGCCCACCAGUUGAUCCUCGAAGUCCAGCUGCUUCAGUCCAGUAAAAGUCUGCGUGUGUAUGCCUACAAAAAAGAACUGUUGCUGGUAGGAAUCGAAGACGGGUCAAUUACAAAGCAGAUCUCAGGAGCCACCUACCAACCACUGGGCCAACUGAUUCUUUUGUUGAGGAAACGCAUCCAGUUUAACAAAAACUUGAGAAGUCAAGAGCCAAUUCAACACUCAACAGCAUUUCAGGGGAGUAUUCCUUUUAACCACUAUUGUGUAAUUAUAUUAUUAUAUUUAUAUAUUUCUAUCAUAUUUGUUCAUUGAGGACAAUGAACCACUUUAGUGUGGGGAUGGUUUCUCAAUGAUAAAAAAUUAUAUAUCAUAAAAUUCAAAAAAAUAGAAAAAUUAAAAAAAAAUUGUAUAUUGCCAUGUCUUAAAUUAGGAAAUUCAUGUUAGUUGCAUUAUAUUAGAGCUAGUUACUUAAUUUUGUAUGCCAUUUUUUAGUAGAUUUUUUUCUUCUUCUUUCUUUUAGGUUACAUAAUUCAUGAAAGUAUAUAAUACCGAGUUAAUUUCUCAUGAUGAGUUUAUUUGCAUAAUUAUUUGGCUAGUAGUCUUGAUCAUAUGUGAUGUCUUGCAUGCUUAGAAAUUGCUUGUGCGGAAAUUUUAAAUACACUAUAAAAUGCUCUAGAGACAAGACUGAGACUAACUUAAUUCUUGAGUUUUAUCUAUGAGUUGAGUGUAGAAUUUUGACUAUUCCCUUUUAAGCUUAGAGUAUGUAAAUCUUAAGUUUAGGGGAGUUUUAGGAUGUAUAUGCCUUUCUAGAAAAAUGAAAAAAAAAAUAGAAUAUUGCAAAUAAAGUAUCGAGUACUCCUUUGAGAUCAACGGGUGGUAAUAUUUGAAAGGGACGAUCCAUGUACUUGUGCUGGUAUUAAGUGCAAUUGUACUAGAAAUAAAUUUUCUUGGUGACUUUUCACAACCCUUGGUUACUGGAGAAUUACUUGACUUAAAAAAAAUAGAGAAAAAAAAUGAGCUAGCAAAGUCUUAUGGUGGUCGUAACUCACUUACCAUGAGAAGCUUCCCAACCUUUGACUGAGCAUGAAAAAAAAAAGUAGAAAAUAUAAGAGAGGCAUAGAAAUUCCUUUGCGACCCUGAGCUGUAGUUGACUCUAAUGUAACGAAGCGUUUAAGCAUUAUUCUGAUAAACGACUCAUGGUUAAGACUCUGUUGAACUUUGUUGGUGUCUGUUUUGUUUCAUUAGAGAGCAUGUUGAACACACACGAUUCACUCCGUACUUGCAGCGGAAAAGUUGCAUGACUAAUGUGUGAGAUAGAUGAAUGCCUUGAAUGUUGCUUAUUCUGAAGAUUAUUUGUUAACGAGGUUGAUGCUUUCAUGAUUGUAUUAUAUGCAUUUUCAUUUAGAUUGCAUUCAUAGUAGUUGCAUGUUUAAGACCGGUAGAAAAUAAUGAAUUUUGUGGGUAGAUUCGCUAUAAACCCUCACGAGACAAAACUCGUCCUACUAGGGCUGCCUAGAGGUUUAACGGCUUGUUGCAUGCGCUCAAUGCAAUCGUGUCAUCUACGAAAGUGGUGUUAGUUAGUUAGUUAGGAUAUUUUUAUUUCUUUUAUUUGCCCGAGGACGUGCAAAAGUUAAGUGUGGCGGAUGUUUGAUAGGGUAUAUAUUUACAUAUAUUCUAGAUGAUUUUAUUCUCAUAUUUAAUUGUAUUUUGCAUUGAAUUGGAUAUUUAUUUAAUAGAUUUUAAUGUUUUAUUGCAGGAAGCAAGGAGUUCCUAAACUUGGAGGAAAUUGGAAUAAAAAGCUUAAUUUGAAGAUUAAUUAGAAGGAAAUUCGGAUUUGUUGAAUUGCUUGCACUUGAAUCACUGUUUGGGCCAUAUCUUGAGUUCUAGAAAUCAGAAUUGGGUGAUCUUACAGCCCACGCGAAGCUUAGAGAAUUUUCUUUAAUUCAGAGAUGGUCCAAUAUCCAAAAUCCAACAGAAUCAGCCCAGGAAUAGGCAGAAAACAGAGCUACGAAUUUUCUUGAAGAAACCUAUUCUGUUUAGGAAACUGUUUUGUAUUUUCUUGUAAGUAUUAAAAUCAAAUAUAUUAGAGAGAGGGAUGGGUNNNNNNNNNNNNNNNNNNNNNNNNNNNNNNNNNNNNNNNNNNNNNNNNNNNNNNNNNNNNNNNNNNNNNNNNNNNNNNNNNNNNNNNNNNNNNNNNNNNNNNNNNNNNNNNNNNNNNNNNNNNNNNNNNNNNNNNNNNNNNNNNNNNNNNNNNNNNNNNNNNNNNNNNNNNNNNNNNNNNNNNNNNNNNNNNNNNNNNNNNNNNNNNNNNNNNNNNNNNNNNNNNNNNNNNNNNNNNNNNNNNNNNNNNNNNNNNNNNNNNNNNNNNNNNNNNNNNNNNNNNNNNNNNNNNNNNNNNNNNNNNNNNNNNNNNNNNNNNNNNNNNNNNNNNNNNNNNNNNNNNNNNNNNNNNNNNNNNNNNNNNNNNNNNNNNNNNNNNNNNNNNNNNNNNNNNNNNNNNNNNNNNNNNNNNNNNNNNNNNNNNNNNNNNNNNNNNNNNNNNNNNNNNNNNNNNNNNNNNNNNNNNNNNNNNNNNNNNNNNNNNNNNNNNNNNNNNNNNNNNNNNNNNNNNNNNNNNNNNNNNNNNNNNNNNNNNNNNNNNNNNNNNNNNNNNNNNNNNNNNNNNNNNNNNNNNNNNNNNNNNNNNNNNNNNNNNNNNNNNNNNNNNNNNNNNNNNNNNNNNNNNNNNNNNNNNNNNNNNNNNNNNNNNNNNNNNNNNNNNNNNNNNNNNNNNNNNNNNNNNNNNNNNNNNNNNNNNNNNNNNNNNNNNNNNNNNNNNNNNNNNNNNNNNNNNNNNNNNNNNNNNNNNNNNNNNNNNNNNNNNNNNNNNNNNNNNNNNNNNNNNNNNNNNNNNNNNNNNNNNNNNNNNNNNNNNNNNNNNNNNNNNNNNNNNNNNNNNNNNNNNNNNNNNNNNNNNNNNNNNNNNNNNNNNNNNNNNNNNNNNNNNNNNNNNNNNNNNNNNNNNNNNNNNNNNNNNNNNNNNNNNNNNNNNNNNNNNNNNNNNNNNNNNNNNNNNNNNNNNNNNNNNNNNNNNNNNNNNNNNNNNNNNNNNNNNNNNNNNNNNNNNNNNNNNNNNNNNNNNNNNNNNNNNNNNNNNNNNNNNNNNNNNNNNNNNNNNNNNNNNNNNNNNNNNNNNNNNNNNNNNNNNNNNNNNNNNNNNNNNNNNNNNNNNNNNNNNNNNNNNNNNNNNNNNNNNNNNNNNNNNNNNNNNNNNNNNNNNNNNNNNNNNNNNNNNNNNNNNNNNNNNNNNNNNNNNNNNNNNNNNNNNNNNNNNNNNNNNNNNNNNNNNNNNNNNNNNNNNNNNNNNNNNNNNNNNNNNNNNNNNNNNNNNNNNNNNNNNNNNNNNNNNNNNNNNNNNNNNNNNNNNNNNNNNNNNNNNNNNNNNNNNNNNNNNNNNNNNNNNNNNNNNNNNNNNNNNNNNNNNNNNNNNNNNNNNNNNNNNNNNNNNNNNNNNNNNNNNNNNNNNNNNNNNNNNNNNNNNNNNNNNNNNNNNNNNNNNNNNNNNNNNNNNNNNNNNNNNNNNNNNNNNNNNNNNNNNNNNNNNNNNNNNNNNNNNNNNNNNNNNNNNNNNNNNNNNNNNNNNNNNNNNNNNNNNNNNNNNNNNNNNNNNNNNNNNNNNNNNNNNNNNNNNNNNNNNNNNNNNNNNNNNNNNNNNNNNNNNNNNNNNNNNNNNNNNNNNNNNNNNNNNNNNNNNNNNNNNNNNNNNNNNNNNNNNNNNNNNNNNNNNNNNNNNNNNNNNNNNNNNNNNNNNNNNNNNNNNNNNNNNNNNNNNNNNNNNNNNNNNNNNNNNNNNNNNNNNNNNNNNNNNNNNNNNNNNNNNNNNNNNNNNNNNNNNNNNNNNNNNNNNNNNNNNNNNNNNNNNNNNNNNNNNNNNNNNNNNNNNNNNNNNNNNNNNNNNNNNNNNNNNNNNNNNNNNNNNNNNNNNNNNNNNNNNNNNNNNNNNNNNNNNNNNNNNNNNNNNNNNNNNNNNNNNNNNNNNNNNNNNNNNNNNNNNNNNNNNNNNNNNNNNNNNNNNNNNNNNNNNNNNNNNNNNNNNNNNNNNNNNNNNNNNNNNNNNNNNNNNNNNNNNNNNNNNNNNNNNNNNNNNNNNNNNNNNNNNNNNNNNNNNNNNNNNNNNNNNNNNNNNNNNNNNNNNNNNNNNNNNNNNNNNNNNNNNNNNNNNNNNNNNNNNNNNNNNNNNNNNNNNNNNNNNNNNNNNNNNNNNNNNNNNNNNNNNNNNNNNNNNNNNNNNNNNNNNNNNNNNNNNNNNNNNNNNNNNNNNNNNNNNNNNNNNNNNNNNNNNNNNNNNNNNNNNNNNNNNNNNNNNNNNNNNNNNNNNNNNNNNNNNNNNNNNNNNNNNNNNNNNNNNNNNNNNNNNNNNNNNNNNNNNNNNNNNNNNNNNNNNNNNNNNNNNNNNNNNNNNNNNNNNNNNNNNNNNNNNNNNNNNNNNNNNNNNNNNNNNNNNNNNNNNNNNNNNNNNNNNNNNNNNNNNNNNNNNNNNNNNNNNNNNNNNNNNNNNNNNNNNNNNNNNNNNNNNNNNNNNNNNNNNNNNNNNNNNNNNNNNNNNNNNNNNNNNNNNNNNNNNNNNNNNNNNNNNNNNNNNNNNNNNNNNNNNNNNNNNNNNNNNNNNNNNNNNNNNNNNNNNNNNNNNNNNNNNNNNNNNNNNNNNNNNNNNNNNNNNNNNNNNNNNNNNNNNNNNNNNNNNNNNNNNNNNNNNNNNNNNNAUGAUGUCAAAUUACUUAGUCUUUAAUGGUAUAUUUAUUAGAAUUAUGAAACUUAUUUUAAAAAAUUAUUUUGGACGAUCCAAACUGUAUGAAUGUUAUUUUAACAUGUUAAUAUUGAUUAAAAUUGUUUUUAAAAAAAAAUUAGUUGUAUUUUAUGUGUGAAUUUUUAGUCAAAUACGAUAAAAUAUUUAUUUAGCUUGUAAUGAAAUAUUAAAACCCUACUUCAAAAGAAACUUGUCUAAAACUACCUAUAAGUGUUAGAGAAUCAUCGAUUUAGUUAUCAAAUUAGUUAUCAUAAGGGUUUUACUCCGCUUUUCUCUGGUAUGAUGUUGAUUUUUGGGGUUUGAUUGGUCGAUUUUCAUGUUUUAUAAGUUAUGUGAGUUCGAUUUUGAUGUUUUUACAAUUAGGUUUAUGUAUGUUCUUAUACAGGUUUCAUGUUCAUGUUUUGAUUUGUUGAUUUCCUAUUUUUCAUAUUUUGUUGAUUAGUUAUUUGUGUGGGUUUUGAACUUUGAUGAGUGUGUAUGUAAUCUCCUGUUUUUUUUUCAUUUUUCUGGUUCGAACACUUCGAUUAGUAGCUGGAAAAACAGCUGAUGCGGCAGUAGCGGCUAGCGAGAUGGAUAACAAGAAAAGGAUGAUUUCGAGGUCAUCUCGUGCAAGUCUUCAGAUAUAGUUUUGUUCCUUUAUGUUUUUAAUUGACAUAAAUUUUCACAUUUGAUGAUUAUAUUAUGGGGGAUUCUGGGUAUACUUGUAUAUAAUCUAGCAAGUUAUUAUAAUUCUGGACGGGGGGCUUAUUGUGAAAUUAAAUUGAGGGAUAAGUUGUGUUAUUGGUUCUAGUGGAUUAAAUUUAUGUUGACACUUGAUAUAUGCAUUGAUGUCGUAAAAUAAGUUGCACAUCAAACUAUUUGGCUUGUUUAAGUUGUAUGGAGUAAGGCUGUACGCGGAUCGGAUCGGUUCGGUUGGAGGGUAAUAACCAAACCAAACCGCAACUUACGGUUUUCUAAAAUCUCAAACCGCGACCAUACUGUUGGUUAAAAAAACCCAACCAAAUCCAUCCACGUAAUUGCGGUUGGUUGCGGUUCAACCGCUAAAAUAGUUAUAACAAAGAAAAUAUAUAAGUUAUCGCUUAAAAUCUUGCAUAAAGUACAGGCUUUAACUCAAAAAUAUAUAAUUUAUCACUUAAAAUCUUGAAUAAAGUUAAUACAAUAAAUCUGAUUACAUAUUACAAAAGCAAACUAAUCCGGAAAUAUAUAACUUGAAGCAGAGCUUCAAGUUAAUGGUUAUUAAAAAUUUCAUCCGCGACCGCCCACAUUUUACGGUUAUCCAUAAUACACGGAUCGGUUGCAGGUGGUUGUUGCGGUUAAUGCGGUUGAGCGGAUUCAACGUACAGAGCCCUAUGAAGUAUGGUUGCCAAGCAUUGAUUGGUUGUACACGUAUAAACAAAAUGAUAUUUUAAUAUUUAAACAAAACAAUACAGUCAUAAACAGAUCGUGUCGGGCUGGACUGAUUGUGAUUUUCCUUUUUGGAACUCGUACUCGGCAUCUUCCAAGCGAAUGAUAUUUAGAAGUUUGUUGCUAGUAUACUCCAUGUCAUAAUAAGAGUUCUUUAGAUUUUUUAUAUGUAAUUCGAAGUAUAAAAAACAUAUUUUAACAUAUUAUUUUUAAAUUUUUUAUACAUAAAAAUAUAACAUCUAUAUUUUUAUUUAAAAAAAAAUUUGAAAUAUAAUAUAUGGAUGCAUGUCUUUUUUAUACGUGAAAUUACAUGUAAAAAAUUAAAAGACUCUUAUUUUGAGUAAGAGAGAAUAUGAUGUACCAUAAAGUCAUCGAUCUUUUGUUAUCAAAUAAAUGUGAUAUUUAAUUAUUUAAGAGCAAGUCCAAAAGUAUCUUAGUUAAAGUCCUAAAUAUAAUAUAAAAUAUUACGUUCCGGUGAUUUAGGAUAUAUUUUACUAACUUGGACUCCAACAAUGUGUCUUAUUCUCAUAAGAAGUUUAAUAUUUUAUUAUUAAAAACUCUCUUUCAUCAUUAAAGCAUAAUAUAAAAGUAGAGAGAGAAAAAAAGUGUUGAUAAGAAUUAAUAAUAAAAUAUGGGAUAGGGUAAGGAGAGAUGUGCCUCAAAAAUAGGGCUUGAGGAGGUUGUCCUAGUGAUAUAAGGGCAAGGAGAUCAACUUUUUACAUCAAAUGCCUUAAAUAACAAUUUAGGACAUAAUAUUGGGCAUCUGCUGGACUUGCUCUAAGUUGUUACUCCUUUAUUAGGUGUGGACACGGAGACGAAGAAGUAAAAGAUGAGUACAGUUAAAUGAAGAUGUGGUAAAAUAAUGUGACCCAUUUAUAUUUAAUAAUACAUUUGAAAUAGUGGAGGAAAGUAACGAGUGUAAUAACGUUUAUAUUAUUAUAGCAUAUAGAUAGCAGAAGAAAGCAAUGGGUAUAAAAGUGUAUUAUAUUAUUAAAAUUACUAUUUUUGAAAUGUUUAGAAAUAAUGGGGCAAUCAAAAAGAAAACUGUAUAAAAAUGGACGAGAGAAUACAAUUCAAGAAGUAAUAUAUCUCAAUUCAAACUAGGUAAUAUAUUUAUGAAUUAUAUUAAAAAAAAUUUGACAUUCAAAUAUAAAAAUUUAUUUUAUCAUCUUAACAAUGGAAUAUUCGAUUAUUAACUUUCGUAAAUAACAUUAAUUUUUCAUUAUAAUAUACUCUAAACUUUUAUUUUAUGUGCCUGUUUGUUUACAAGAAGCUGGAGUCCUACUUCUCUUGACUCGUUUGUGUAAAAACGUAAAAAGUGCUUUUAAAAAGUACUGAGAAGGAAAUGGAAGUAGAAAAUGCUAGUUUUUCUUUAUAAUAUCUAUUUCUUUUCUAGACACUUUAAUAAUUUAUAUAUAUUAAUUUAUUUCUCACUUAUACUCCAUUUUUUUAUAGAGAACUUCUUUUAAACUAAUCGGCUCCUAUAAUCAGUAGUUUCUCAAUUUUAACAGGAAUAAGAGCAUGUUUAUCUGAGCUUAAAGCCCGGGGUUUAUAUCAUCUCUGGCUUUAAGCUGAAAAAUGUAUGUUUGUGUAUUAAGUCGGAAGUCGGCUUAAAGUCGGAAAUAAGUCAAAAAUUGACCUAAAACCAGAAGUUAGUUUGAGAUACUUUUCUCGGUGACUAAUUUUUUUUUUAGCCAUUUUUUGAUAAAAAUUAUUCUUAAAUCACAAAUUACUCAUAAAUCACUUUUAUUAUUAUUAUUACUAUAUUUUUAAUAACUUAUAAGUUAUUAAUAAAUCAAAAUUAAUCAAACAAAUAUUUUAAGUUCUCAUAAGAGUUUAUGAGAUAAGUAACGUUAAGUCAUGAAUCAACUGAACGGGAUGUAAGUCUUCUUCUCCCCGAGUCAUCAGCAGACUUUUUCCAUGUCUUCUGAGCCCCCAUUGGCUCACAAUUGGCCCAAAAAAUAUUUGGUUAUGCAUUGCUAUUCACACACUUAGACAUCAAAAUUUAUCAUCCGACAGGCGACAGCUAACUGCACACUAUUUUUCCCACAAGCUGAAAAAUCAACGAUCAAUUAAUUUUUCUUAUCAAUUAAUAAAGUUAUGAUUUCACGUACACGGCAGGCAAAAUGCUAAUAAAUAGACGAGUGCAGUAUAGUAUGGGUUCAUGAUCACCUUGAGAUUUAAUUGAAAAAUAUUAUGGUGAUAUAGAUUAAAUUAAAUUAUAAUAUCUUGAAAAGUUAUAAAUAAUUUUAAUUACUAAUAAUAUUUAUUUGUACAUUUAAAUAUUUUUAUAAAAACACAAAAAUAGCAUUAUACUCAUUUAAGUUUCUCGUAUCCGCCUCUCUUCUUGGAGAUUGUGGAUUUGCGAUAUUUAUAUUGAUUAUUAUAGGAAAAUGUUAUUUCCAGAGCAAACAUUUUUAUUUCCGGAGCAAAUUCAAACAAAUUUUUCCAAAUUGUUCUGGAAAUUAAAAUAUUGAUAUGGAUAUAACAAUUCCCUUAUUAUAUCCUAUGUAUAUUACAUUAAUGCAAUUAACAUGGUUGAUUGUUUUAGUAUAUAAUCAUAUUACUGUGACCUUUUAGUAUAUAAUUAUAUUAUUUUUGUUAUAUUUUAUGCAUCUAGAAACAAUUUUUUUAUGAUAUUUAUUAUAUUAAUUAUAGUAAAAGAUAUAAUUUUGUUUAAAAAAUUGAAUAAAACUAAGAGGGAUAGCCUACGUCUCUCCGAGUCUUCGAGGACUCAUUCCAAGUCCGAGAGGACCACAGCCUCAACCUUUAAGAGAUGUGAAAGUAGCUUGAGAGUGAUAUAAAUUUAUUUUUGACAAUAAAAUUUAAUAAUCAAAUAAAUUAAAUUAAAUUAAACUAGUUUAUAAUCGAUUAAAAAUAUAUAAAUCAAAAUUAUUCCCGAAUUAUGAUAACAAUUAAAAUCAUUUUAAAAGUUGCAUAAAUCAAAUCCAAAUCGAACAAAUUCCCCUAACACUAAAAUGUAGUUGCUUUAUUGUAGAUAAAAACAGUAUAAUAAUAGUAUUGAUGAAAAAUCAAAUUCAUCAAAUAAGUUUAUAAAAAAUACAUGAUUUUAAUUUUAAAAAAAAAACAUGAUUUUAGUGUGUUGUAUUAGUAGUGUGUCCACGCAUUUAUAUAUUAAAAUCUAUCCUCUAAAAACUAUCGAUCUAUUUACACAACUAUUGAUCUGUCGUGCAACAAAUUCCAGGGCGAAGUUCCAAAGAGAGCUUAAAUGGCUUGCAUUGCUCAAUCUAUCUCAUAAUAGUCUUAACGACAUAUGUUUUGAAUUAUUAUUAUGAUUUCAACAAUAUUUUCAAACAUUUCUUAAUAUGUAUUUUCAAAGAAUUCUCAAGCACUUGAACAUUUGGACCGGUUCUUUCGAAGCCAGGCAAUGCACAAAAAUGUCCAAAAAUGAAUAAAUUAAGAGAGAGUAGCUCACCCUUUCAAAGCCUUCCAGGACUCAUUCCAAGUCUUCGGAGGACCACUGCCUCCCCCUUUCAAAGAUGUGAUAGUAGCUCGAGAGUGAUAUAAAUUAUUUUCCCGACAUUAAAAAUAAAAAAUCAGAUUAAAUUAAUCAAUAAUAACUUAAGGAUGAAAUCCAAAUUAAUCCUAAAUUUUGAUAAUAUAUAAAAAUUAUAAUUAUAAAUUAUAUAACCAAAUCAGAAUUGAAUUAACUUACUUGGCACUAGAAUUGCUAAAGACAGUAUAAUAAUUUAAUUGAUGAAAAGUCAAAGUCUUCUAAUAAAUCCAUAAAGAAUAUGAUAAUAUGAAAAUUAUAAUUGAAAAAUCAAAAUCAAUAGUGUAUUGGAAUAGUGUUCACACACUUAUAUAUCAAAAUUUGUGGUCCAAAAACUAUAGCACAAUAUCCUAAAUACAUCACAUUAAAUAAUAGCACAAAAAUAUUCAAUAAAUAAUUGAUUUCAUUCAUAAAUUUGUUAUUUUAAAAACUAAUAAUUUGGUUGAUGUUAACCUAUAUUUUAUAUAUAAUUUCGUCUUAUUUUAUUUUACUAGAAACAAUAUUUUUAUAAUAUUUAUUACAUUAAAUAUAUUAAAAGAUAUAAUUUUAUUAAAAAAAUUGAAUAAAAUUAAAAGGAUAAGUCUCGGCCUCUCCAAGUCUACAAGACUCAUUUCACUACAAGAAAAAUGCAUAAAAGCGACCACCUAAAUGCGUGAAUGAAAAAAUAAUUUUAGAAAAACGAAAAUAAUCAUUCGUGACAAGACUAGUUAAAAAUAAUUGUUUAAUUUUUUUGACCAUUAUGAGAAGACACUAUUAAGUCGUUAUUUUUUAUUUCUUCACAUAAUUAAAAUCAACACAUAUUAAGAUAUUUAUGAUUGAAUGGUGAAAAAAAUAAAUCAAAUAUCAUAGAUCACAAGACUAGUUAUUUAAAAUUUUUUAAUUAAUCUUUACUAUUAUAAAAAUAUAUAAAUAAAUAUUUAUUUUUAUUUCUCCACAUCACAAAAAUAAACUCAUGUUAACAUUUAUGUGUGACUCGUGAACUUUUUUAUAAAAAUCAUAAAAUAAUUAAUACUGGCAAAAGCGACCGGCUAUAAAAUGGUAGCUUUUGUUUUUAUAUUUUUUUACUUCUCUUAGGCGGGAAAAUUCCCGCUCAAACACAUGAAAGUUAAAAGCGACCGCUAGACUUAGCCGGUUGCUUUUAUAUUUAAAAGCCACCAAACAAAAGCGACCCCUCGUAAAAGCCACCAAACAAAAGCGACCGCCAAUAAAAGCUACCAAACACGGUCGCUUUUGUUUAUCAGUCAAAUCAAAUUUCUAUUUUGAGUAAAAGCCACCGCUUUCGGUGGCUUUUAUACUUGGUCGCUUUUGUUUGGUGGCUUUUAGUGUUUUUUCUUGUAGUGUUUCAAGUCCACCGAGGGCCUCAACCAUUGAGAGAUGUGAAAGUAGCUUGAGAGUGAUAUAAAUUAUUUUCAUGACAAUAUAAUUUAAUAUCCAAUAUAAAUUAAUUAAAUUAGUUAAUAAUGAAUCAAGACUAAUCAUGAAUUAUGAUAAUAAUUAAAUAAAUUAUAAAAUUAAAUUAUACAAAUAACACUAAACCUUAGUUACUUUAUUGGUAAAAUAAAUAUAAUAUAAUAAUUAAAUUGAUGAAAAAUCAAAAUCAUCUAAUAAAUUCACAAAAAAUAUAUGAUCAUUAGUAUAUUAUAUUAGUAUCCACACACUUAUAUUUCAAAAUCUAUCCUACAAAAUUAUCAUCUCUGUAAACUAGCCACAAAAAAUAAAAAUUUAAAGAUAUUAGAUAUUUAGUUAUUUUCAUUAUAUAAUUUUUCCACACUAAAUAACAAAAUAUCUUUAUCAAAUUAUUAUUUAUGAAUUAAAUAUUCAAGUUAUAAAUUGAAGUGUGCAGUAUGAUAUCAGAUUCACAUAACCCAGUUGAUCAGGAGAAACAUGGCCUACUCUGCAAAGCCUUCUCACCUUCUUCUCUUUGUUUUCUUUCUCUCAUCACUUGAAUGCAUUCUUGCAACAACACGAGAAGGAGAAGCUCUUGUGAAGUGGAAGAAUAGCCUAGCCCCUUCUUCUUUUCUCGACUCUUGGUCACUCACCAAUCUCGAUAAUCUUUGUAAUUGGACUGGCAUUACUUGUAACUCUGCAGGUUCAGUCUCUAAGAUUAACCUUUUUGAGAAACAACUUGAUGGAAUGUUGUCCGAGUUUGGUUUCACUUCAUUUCCAAAUCUCAACAAUCUCACCCUUGCAAACAACUUCUUCUCGGGUCCAAUACCGCCAGCCAUUGAGAAUUUAACACAGCUUCAAUAUCUUGAUUUGAGAAAUAAUUAUCUAGAUGGUCCCAUUCCGUUCCAGGUUAGCCAUCUUCAGAGCUUGCUCAUCUUAAACCUGUCACAGAAUGCAUUGCAAGCUCCAAAUUGGUCCCAUUUCUCUCCCAUGCCUUUCUUGCGCAUCCUCAACCUCAGUUACAAUCCUCUUGCGUCGAAAUUCCCAUAUUUUAUAUCCAAUUCUCAUAGCCUGACUCACCUUAGCCUUAAUUAUAACGAGUUUACUGGUGAUUUAGUACGUGAAUCAGUAUUUGCCAAUCUGCAUAAUCUUGAAGUCCUCAGUCUUGUUGGCAAUUCUUUUGAGGGGUCAUUUCCGCCAGAUAUAUUCAAGCUUUCCAAAUUAAAACGUCUUGCCCUGUCAAGUAACAAAUUUUCAGGUUCAAUUCCCAAUGACUUAAGGUUGCUUCAUGAUCUUGAAUCCCUGUAUUUAGGCAACAAUUCCUUUGAAGGACCGCUUCCACCAAAUAUAUUCAAGCUUUCAAAAUUAAAAAAUCUUGUUAUUUGGAGUAAUAAGUUUUCAGGUUCUGUUUCCAAUGAUAUAGGUUUGCUUUCUGAGCUUGAAACCCUCGAUCUUAACUCUAAUUUUUUUGAGGGGCCGCUUCCGCCAAAUGUAUUCAAGCUCUCCAAACUAAGGUUUCUUCACCUCUGGGGUAAUAACUUUUCAGGUUCUAUUUCCAAUAAUAUAGGUUUGCUUUCUGAGCUUGAAACCCUCGAUCUUAACUCUAAUUUUUUUGAGGGGCCGCUUCCGCCAAAUGUAUUCAAGCUCUCCAAACUAAAGUUUUUUGCCCUUCGUGAGAAUAACUUUUCAGGUUUUAUUUCUAAGGAUAUAGGUUUGCUUUCCCAACUUGAAAGCCUCUAUCUUGGCUCUAAUUUUUUUGAGGGGCCGCUUCCCCCACAUAUAUUUAGGCUCUCCAAAUUAAGAGAUCUGGACCUCUCAGACAAUAGAAAUUUAUUUGAAGGAAGUAUUCCUAUUGGACUGGGACUCUUGACUAAUUUCAGCUUCUUAGAUCUAAAUUCCAAUAAUCUCGGUGGCUAUAUUCCAUCUGACAUUGGAAACCUGAAGCUACUAGUAUAUCUUGAUCUCAGUUCUAAUCAAUUGACUGGACAGCUUUCAAAGAUCAUUUCUAAUCUCACAAAUCUUAUAAGUCUUGAUGUAAGUUAUAAUAGUUUUAGUGGAAAUAUUCAGAGUGACUUGUGGAACUUCCCUAAGGAAUAUAACAAUCAUCCAACUUUGGAAUACAUCGCUUUUAAGUGGGAACCAUUUUACAGGUAUAUUUUCUCUAUAUAUCUUUUCCUUUUCUCAUAUGUAACUAAGCUAGUAAUCUGAUUAUUGCUGUUUUACCAAAUUUUAACAAUCUUGACAGGUGAGCUUCCAACAACAAUUUGCAAUGUCACUUCCCUUUCAAUUCUUGAUUUGUCAAAUAAUGAAUUAAGUGGUGAACUUCCAAACUGUUUCGGGAAUCUUGCUGAUGGAUUGCUUUACAUUAAUCUUGCUAAUAAUCAGUUUCGAGGAACAAUACCAACUACUUUCUCCAGGAGUUGUCAGCUGACAUGCAUAUCUAAACAUGGAUAAUAAUGAGUUUGAAGGAUUGAUGCCCCCAUCUUUGGCGAACUGUAAGCACUUGAAAAUUCUUGAUAUAGGCAAUAAUAAAAUAGGUGGUACAUUUCCGUCAUGGCUUUAUGCACUUGGAGAGCUAGAAGUUCUUGUCUUGCGAUCAAAUAAACUCUAUGGUACAAUAAGUGGAAGGAGCACAGAAGAUCCCUUCCCCAAGUUGCGGAUUAUGGAUUUGUCCAACAAUCAAUUCACAGGCCAUUUGCCAAUUCAAUACUUUAAGAAUAUGAAAUCAACUGAUAAUUUGUAUCGUUUUCAGAAUGUGACAGCAGUUUUUACUAUCCAUUAUGAAGCAGCAGUCUCAUUAACUGUGAAGGGAACAGAGUAUGAAGUGACAAAUAACCUUCAUAUUUACACAGCUAUUGAUCUGUCGUGCAACAAAUUUCAGGGUGAAAUUCCAAAAGUUAUUGGAGAGCUUAGAUGGCUUGCAUUGCUCAACUUAUCGCAUAAUAGUCUGACAGGACAUAUCCCGUCAUUGCUGAGAAAUAUGAAAGAACUCCAAUCUUUAGAUUUGUCCUCAAAUCAACUGACAGGGGCUAUUCCACCUCAGUUAACUGCACUGACAUUUCUAGAAGUCUUAAACCUCUCGGGAAACCAUCUUAGUGGAGAGAUUCCUCAGAAAGGACAAUUCAGCACAUUCAACAAUGAUUCUUAUCUAGGAAACUCCGCAUUAUGUGGAUCACCAUUGAUGAAGAAAUGUGCAAACACAGCAUCACCUCCACAAGAAGUCGGAAAUGGUGAUGAAGAUGAUGCUGGAGAUGAAUUGACAUGGGAAGCAAUCGUGAUGGGAUAUGGAUGUGGACUGAUAUGUGGAUUGUCAUCUGCAUACAUUGUUCUCAAACUAGGAAAGCCUUGGUGGUUUGUGAGAUAUAUCGAAGUGCUGCAACUGAAGUUGAUGAAAAGAUAUGCAUGAAGAAUGGUACUGGCCAAUCAAGACCAACUUGAAAGUUGUUGGACAUUUCUGAACCAGUAGUGUACUAUUCUCUUUGUGGCUGCAUAAGUUUUUGGUAUUGGUGUAAUAUUUUGUUUGGUCUUGAAUCAUAAUGAUUUUUCUUUUUUCAGGGGUAUUAAUAUAAACCUUGGUAUUGUGUAAUAUUCUGUUUGAUCAAUGUUUAUAUCAGUAAUUAUAUGCUCCUCACUGCAUCAUGCAGCUCUCAUAAUAUUAUUAUUAUUAUUAUUAUUAUUAUUAUUAUUAUUAUUAUUAUUAUUAUUAUUAUUAUUAUUAUUAUUAUUAUUAUUAAUUGAUUACACACUCACACGUGGGGAGUCGACCUCCCGACCUCCAGCAAAGGGGUAAAAGAGCUCUCAUAUUAUCUUCAUAUGUGUAUUAUUUGGAUAUCAAAGUUGCAGGGACAUAUGGAUAUGUGUUAACAGGGACUGCUCGGUCUUGGACGGACUCUUUCCAAGUCCUCUGGGGUCCUAUCGAUUCAAAUUAGUCUAUUAUCUGCAUACUAGCUAAUUUGUCCAACUCGGGCUUCAAUAGUAAAGAUAAUAGGUGCGAGUUGAGUUUCUCAAAGUAUGAGUACAAUAUCGUUUUUUAAUGAUAGUUAGGGGGUGUGAUAUGCAAUUACCUCAAAAAUAUAUGAUCAUUAGUAUAUUAUAUUAGUAUCCACACACUUAUAUCUCAAAAUCUAUCCUCCAAAAUUAUCAUCUCUAUAGGCUAGCCACAUAAAAUAAAAAUUUAAAGAUAUUAGAUAUUUAGUUAUUUUCAUCAUAUAAUUUUUCCAUGCAAAAUAACAAAAUAUCUUUAUCAACUUAUUAUUUAUGAGUUAAAUAUUCAAGUUAUAUAAUUCGGGCAUGCUGGGUAUAAAUAGAAGUGUAACGCCUAAUUUCCGGGGUCUGGGAGUAGUUGGCGGGGUAUGAGAGAGCAGGCUAUUCAGAAGUCUUGGUCAUGAAAACUUCCAAGCUAACUUCGACAACGGAAUCUUCUGAGGCUACUAUUCUAAAGCACGCAUAAUCAUUGUAUUCAUAUUCCUCUCACACUGACAAAAAGUCUAUUUAAGCAAAUGAAAUACAAACAACUGAGUGGAAUGCUGACCGAAAAUCUUUUUGGCUGAGCUUAUGAGUUAUUAGUACAUGAUUAAUAUGAUAAGCUAAGCUGAGAGCAUAAGAUAUCGUUUGUAUAAUUUUGUGUUUAUUAAUGACUUAUAAAUUAUUAAAAAUAUAAUAAGAAAAAUAAAAAUGUUUUAUAACUAAUUUAUGUUUCAUGAGUAAUUUUUAUUAGAAAAAAGUUUUAAAAAAUUAUUUCACUGGAAAAAAACCUCCAACUAACUUUUGGCUCUAAAGUCAGUUUGUGACUUAUUUCUGACUUUAAAUCGGCUUCUCACUUUUACACAAACAAAAAUUUUUCAGCUUAAAGUUAAAAACAACUUUAAGCUCCGGUUUUAAACCUCGACAAACAUGCUCUGAGUUUGGUUUCACUUCAUUUACAAACCUCAACAAUUUCACCAUCAAACACAAUGACUUCUCCAAUCUCCGGUCAAGUACCACCAGCCAUUGAGAAUUUGGCACAACUUCAAUUCCAUACCAGGUUAGUCAUCUUCGGAGAUUACACGUCUUAGACCUGUCAAAUACAAAUUUCAAUCUCCAAACUGGUCCGACUUAUCUUCUAUGCUUUUUGUUGAGUCCGGCUCAUCUAAAGCCUUAAGAUGUUAGAAGAAGCCCCCAAUGAAUCUUAUAUAUGCUAUAUUUUAACAAUUCUGAGCACACUCAACCUUGGUAUUAAUAAUAUUGUGUCGAAAAUUCCAGAAUUUAUAUCUAAUUCUCAUAGCCUAACUUUCCUUGACCUUUCCAUAUAACAAAUUUACAGUUAAUCCUGUGCUUGAAUCAGUAUUUGCAACCAAAAUUAUGCAAUUAUAGUGCAGGUAGUCUUCCAGUUCUUCCUACUCUAUGCUAUAAUUUCAUUUGAUACCAAUAAUUUUACGCUCUACACUCCAGGAUGAGCUCGCAUAUUAUUGACAGCUAUAAUCCUUCCAACAAUUUGCGAUGCAAAGCAGGGGGGCGCCUGUAUUUUCAUAUGUCUAUAUUAUUGGAGAUUAAAGUUGUAUGGACAAUUGUGUUGAUAAUUUGCCCAAUGUUAACAGGGAUAGGUUGGCUUAAUUUGCCCAAUGUUAACAGGGAUAGGUUGGCUUAAUUUGCCCAAUGUUAACAGGGAGAUUAAAUGGCUUGCAUUGCUCAACGUAUAUCUCAUAAUAGUCUUACCGGACAUAUGUUAUGCAUUAUUAUUAUGCUUUCAUCACUAUUUUCAAACAUUUCUCAAUAUAUAUUUUCAAAGAAUUCUCAAGCACUUGAACAUUUGGACCGGUUCUUUCGAAGCCAAGAUGCCCAGGGUAUCAUGGCCAUGCACAAAAAUGAAUAAAUUAAGAGAGAUUGCUCAGGGUCUCCCCAAGCCUUUCAGGACUCAUUCCAAGUCUUCGAGGACCACUGCCUCACUCUUUCAAAGAUGUGAUAGUAGCUCGAGAGCGAUAUAAAUGAUUUUCCUGACACUAAAAAUAAAAAAAUCAGAUCAAAUUAAUCAAUAAUAAAUUAAAGAUGCAAUCCAAAUUAAUCCUAAAUUUUGAUGAUAUAUAAAAAUUAUAAUUAUAAAUUAUAUAACCAAAUCAGAAUUGAAUUAACUUACUUGGUACUAAAAUUGAUAAAAACAGUAUAAUAAUUUAAUUGAUGAAAAUUCAAAGUCUUCUAAUAAAUCCAUAAAAAAUUUGAUAAUCAAAAUAACGAAAAUUAUAAUUGAAAAAUCAAAAUCAAUAGUGUAUUGGAAUAUUGUUCACACACUUAUAUAUCAAAAUUUGUGGUCCAAAAACUAUAGCACAAUAUCCUAAAUACACCACAUUAAAUAAUAGUUCAAAAAUAUUCAAUAGAUAAUUGAUUUCAUUCAUAAUUUUGUUAUUUUAAAAACUAAUAAUUUGGUUGAUGUUAACCUAUAUUUUAAUAUAUAAUUAUAUUAUUUUCAUCUUAUUUUAUUUAACCAGAAACAAUAUUUUUAUAAUAUUUAUUACAUUAUUUAUAUUAAAAAAUAUAAUUUCAUUAAAAAAAUUGAAUAAAAUUAAGAGGAUAACUCUAUGCCUCUCCAAGUCUACAAGACUCAUUUCAAGUCUACCUCGGACCACUACCUCAACCAUUCAGAGAUGUGAAAGUAGUUUGAGAGUGACAUAAAUUAUUUUCGUGACAAUAAAAUUUAAUAUCUAAUAUAAAUUAAUUAAAUUAGAUAAUAAUAAAUCAAAACUAAUUAUGAAUUAUGAUAAUAAUUAAAUAAAUUAUAAUUAAAUUAUAUAAAUCAACUCCAAAUGAUACAAAUAACACUAAACCUUGGUUACUUUGUUGGUAAAUAAAUAUAAUAUAAUAAUCAAAUUGAUGAGAAAUGAAAAUCAUCUAAUAAAUUCACAAAAAAUAUAUGAUCAUUAGUAUAUUAUAUUAGUAUCCACACACUUAUAUUUCAAAAUCUAUCCUCCAAACUUAUCAUCUCCGUAAACUAGCCACAUAAAAUAUAAAUUUAAAGAUAUUAGAUAUUUAGUUAUUUUCAUUAUAUAAUUUUUCCACACUAAACAACAAAAUAUUUUUAUCAAAAUUAUUAUUUAUGAGUUAAAUAUUCAAGUUAUAAUUCCAGCAUGCAGCGUAUAAAUAGAAGUGUGCAGUAUGAUAUCAGAUUCAUAACCCAGUUGAUCAGAAGAAACAUGGCCUACUCUGCAAAGCCUUCUCACCUUCUUCUCUUUGUUUUCUUUCUCUCAUCACUUGAAUCCAUUCUUGCAACAACACGAGAGGGAGAAGCUCUUGUGAAGUGGAAGAAUAGCCUAGCCCCUUCUUCUUUUCUCGACUCUUGGUCACUCACCAAUCUCGAAAAUCUUUGUAACUGGACUGGCAUUACUUGUAACUCUGCAGGUUCAGUCUCUGAGAUUAACCUUUUUGAGAAACAACUUAAUGGAAUGCUGUCCGAGUUCGGUUUCACUUCAUUUCCAAAUCUCAACAAUCUCACCCUCGCAUACAACUUCUUCUCGGGUCCAAUACCACCAGCCAUUGAGAAUUUAACACAGCUUCAAUAUCUUGAUUUAAGCAUGAAUAGUCUUAAUGGUCCCAUUCCGUUCCAGGUUAGCCAUCUUCAGAGUUUGCUCAUAUUAAACCUGUCACAGAAUGCAUUGCAAGCUCCAAAUUGGUCCCAUUUCUCUCCCAUGCCUGUUUUGCGCUUCCUCAAGCUCAGUAGAAAUCCUCUUGUGUCGAAAUUCCCAAAUUUUAUAUCCAAUUCUCAUAGCCUGACUUAUCUCAACCUUUCACAUAACAAGUUUAGUGGUGAUCUUGUACGUGAAUCAGUAUUUACCAAUCUGCAUCAUCUUGAAGUCCUCAGUCUUGUUGGCAACUCUUUUGAGGGGUCAUUUCCGCCAGAUAUAUUCAAGCUUUCCAAAUUAACACGUCUUGCCCUGUCAAGUAACAAAUUUUCAGGUUCAGUUCCCAACGACAUAAGGUUGCUUUGUGGUCUUGAAUACCUAUAUUUAGCUGACAAUUCCUUUGAAGGACCGCUUCCACCAGAUAUAUUCAAGCUUUCAAGAUUAAAACAUCUUGUUCUUUGGAGUAAUAAGUUUUCAGGUUCUGUUUCCAAUGAUAUAGGUUUGCUUUCUGAGCUUGAAGCCCUCAAUCUUGACUCUAAUUUUUUUGAGGGGCCGCUUCCCCUAAAUUUAUUCAAGCUCUCCAAACUAAAAUUUCUCACCCUGACAAGUAACAAAUUUUUAGGUUCAAUUCCCAAUGACAUAAGGUUACUUUGUGAUCUUGAAUACCUAUAUUUAGGCAACAAUUCCUUUGAAGGACCGCUUCCACCAAAUAUAUUCAAACUUUCAAAAUUAAAAGAUCUUGUUCUUUGGGGUAAUAAGUUUUCGGGUUCUGUUUCCAAUGAUAUAGGUUUGCUUUAUGAGCUUGAAACCCUCGAUCUUAACUCUAAUUUUUUUGAGGGGCCGCUUCCGCCAAAUUUAUUCAAGCUCUCCAAACUAAAGAUUCUUUCCCUUUAUAAGAAUAACUUUUCAGGUUUUAUUUCUAAGGAUAUAGGUUUGCUUUUCGAACUUGAAAGCCUCUAUCUUGGCUCUAAUUUUUUUGAGGGGCUGCUUCCCCCACAUGUAUUUAGGCUCUCCAAAUUAAGAGAUCUGGGUCUCUCAGACAAUAGAAAUUUAUUUGAAGGAAGUAUUCCUAUUGGACUGGGACUCUUGACUAACCUCAGGUACUUAGAUCUACAUUCCAAUAAUCUCGGUGGCUAUAUUCCAUCUGACAUUGGAAACCUGAAGCUACUAGUACUUCUUGAUCUCAAUUCUAACCAAUUGACUGGACCGCUUUUAAAGAUCGUUUCUAAUCUCACAAAUCUUAUGUUUCUUGAUGUAAGUGAUAAUAGUCUUAGUGGAAAUAUUCAGAGAGACUUGUGGAACUAUAACGAUCAUCCAACUUUGGAAUUCAUCAAUUUAAGUGGGAACCAUUUUACGGGUAUAGUUUUUCUCUAUAGAUCUUUCCUUUUGUCAUAUGUAACUAAGCUAGUAAUCUGAUUAAUUGCAGUUUUACCAAAGUUUCAACAAUCUUGACAGGUGAGCUUCCAACAACAAUUUGCAAUGUCACUUCCCUUUCGGUUCUUGAUUUGUCAAAUAAUGCAUUAAGUGGUGCACUUCCAAACUGUUUCGGGAAUCUUGCUGAUGGAUUGCUUUACAUUAAUCUUGCUAAUAAUCAGUUUCGAGGAACAAUACCAACUACUUUCUCCAGGAGUUGUCAGCUGACAUAUCUGAACAUGGAUGAUAAUCAGUUUGAAGGAUUGUUACCCCCAUCUUUAGCGAACUGUAAGCACUUGAGAAUCCUUGAUAUGGGCAACAAUAAAAUAGGUGAUACAUUUCCGUCAUGGCUUUAUGUACUUGGAGCGCUAGAAGUCCUUGUCUUGCGAUCAAAUAAACUCUAUGGUACAAUAAGGGCAAGGAGCAUAGAAGAUCCCUUCCCCAAGUUGCGGAUUGUGGAUCUGUCCAACAAUCAAUUCAUGGGCCAUUUGCCAAUUCAAUACUUUAAGAAUAUGAAAUCAAAUGAUAAUUUGUAUCGUUAUCUGAAUUCCACAGGAGAAAUAGAUAUCUCUUAUGAAGCAGCAGUCUCAUUAACUGUGAAGGGAACAGAGUAUGAAGUAGCAAAUAACCUUCAUAUUUACACAGCCAUUGAUCUGUCGUGCAACAAAUUUCAGGGAGAAAUUCCAAAGGUUGCCGGAGAGCUUAGAUGGCUUGCAUUGCUCAAUUUAUCUCAUAAUAGUCUAACAGGACCUAUCCCAUCAUUGCUGAGAAAUAUGAAAGAACUCCAAUCUUUAGAUUUGUCCUCAAAUCAACUGACAGGGGCUAUUCCACCUCAGUUAACUGCAUUGACAUUUCUAGAGGUCUUAAAUCUCUCGAACAACGAUCUCAGUGGAGAGAUUCCUCAGAAAGGACAGUUCAGCACAUUCAACAAUGAUUCUUAUCUAGGAAACUCCGCGUUAUGUGGAUCACCAUUGACGAAGAAAUGCGCAAACACAGCAUCACCUCCACAAGAAGUCAGAAAUGGUGAUGAAGAUGAUGCUGGUGAUGAAUGGACAUGGGAAGCAAUCGUGAUGGGAUAUGGAUGUGGACUGAUAUGUGGAUUGUCAUCUGCGUACAUUGUUCUCAAACUAGGAAGGCCUUGGUGGUUUGUGAGAUAUGUCGAAGUAUUGCAACUGAAGUUGAUGAAAAGAUAUGCUUGAAGAAUGGUAUUUGGUCUUGUACUAGCUGCAUAAGUAUUUGGCAUUGUGUAGUAUUCUGUUUGGUCUUGAAUUAUAAUGAUUUUUCUUGCUUCAGGGGUAUUAAUAUAAACCUUGCUAUCUUGCUCAGUGUUAAUGCAAAUUAAGAUGAAUGAAUAAACAAAAAAUAUGCAUCAAAUUAAGAAUUCAGAAAUGGUGAUACUCAUGCAGUGUCACCAACUCAAGAAUUCAGAAAUGGUGAUACUCAUGAAGAUGACGAUGCUGAUGAUGAACUUUGAUGUGGGACUUGGGUUGACCACUUGUUGGGCCGCACAACACCUGUUAAGCAUUAGUAUGACGUUGUCCGCUCUGGAUCGUGACCAAGCCCGCACGGAUUUGUUUUCGAGCUCCUCUCAAAAGGUCUAAAACUAAUGGAGUUGUUUGGCUGCUUAUAUUCAAGAUAAAUCUUUUUGAUGUGGGAUUUGGGUUGACACCCACACAACAAGACGUGAGGAAAUAUUGUUGUCUUGAGAUGACAUAUGUUCUGAAUUAUUAUUAUGCUUUCAACAAUAUUUUCAAACAUUUUUCAAUAUGUAUUUUUAAAGAAUUCUCAAGCACUCGUGACCCCUAUAAUUUUUUCUCAGGCAACGCCUAUAGUUUCAAAGAAUUCCCAGGCACUUAAACAUUUGGACCGGUUCUUUGGAAGCCAAGAUGCCCAGGUUAUCAUGGCCAUGCACAAAAUGCAGUACCAAAGAAAAAAAAUAAUAAAUUAAGAGAGAUUGCUCUGGGUCACCCCAAGCCUUCGAGGACUCAUUCCAAGCCUCGCCCUUUCAAAGAAGUGAUAGUAGCCGGAAAGUGAUAUAAAUUAUUCUCCGGACACUAAAACUAAAUAAUCAGAUCAAAUUAAUCAAUAAUAAAUUAAAGAUAUGAAAUCAAAAUUAAUCCUAAAUUUUGAUAAUAUACAAAAAUUAUAAUUAUAAAUUUUAUUAUCAAAUCAAGAUUAAAUUAACUUACAUGGCCGUUAAAAUUGAUAAACGCAAUAUAAUAGGGUUAAAAAUGGGGCGGGUUCGGGACGGGUACUUCAUUUCCCAGCCUCGUCCCAUAUAUAUUUUUCCUGCCCCGUCUCCGCCCCAUUCUCCACGAAGAUUUAUUUUUAAUCCCCAUUGCCGCCCGCCCCACCGGGGAUUGAAUAUAAUUUCGCCCCGCCCCGCUGCUAUAAUAUUACACUUUAAUUAAUUACCUUAAAAUUUAAUAAUCAGAAUUUAAUAAAAAUAUACGAGACAUGUAUAUUAAAAGCAAAAAACUAAAUAUAAUAGAAAUCAAAGAGACAUGUUAUACAUUGUAAAAUUAUAGUUUUAUGUAUUAUAUAAUAGAUAAUAUUAAAUAUAUUAUAUUAAAUAUAAUUAUUUAUUUUUAUUAAAUAUAUGCGGGGCGGGGUGGGGAAUCCCCGCGGGAAUUCAACAAAUACCAUGCUUGCCCCAUAUUUUAGCGGGGCAGAUAAUCAUUCUCCGUCACUACCCCAUUCCCCAUAGAGUAGUGCUAGAUGCACAAAAUUGGAUACAUAAUUUUACACAAAAUGACAUGGCAAUCUAGGUGGAGAGCUUUAAUUGGUAUUAUUAAUGCAUGUGCAGGGGCUCAUUCCAAUCACAAAUUGACACAUACUCAUUCUGUGAAUAUUUCUGUACUCAAUUCUGUGCAGGUAGCAUUUUUCUUCCCCAUAUUAGCGGGGCGCAUCGGCUCCAUUCGGGGCGGGUUCCCCAUUUUCCCCACCCAAUUUUUAACCCUACAAUAGUAAUCAAAUUGAUGAAAAGUCAAAGUCCUCUAAUAAAUCCAUAAAGAAUAUGAUAAUCAAAACUACAAAAAUUAUAAUUGAAAAAUCAAAAUCAUCCUAAUAAGUUCAUAGAAUAUAUAUGAUCAGUAGAGCAUUAGAAUAGUGUUCACACACUUAUAUGUCAAAAUUUGUGGUCCAAAGACUAUGACACAAUAUCCUAAAUACACCCCCAUUGAAUAGUAGUUCAAAAUAUUUAAUAUAUAAUUGUUUUCAUUCAUAAUUUUGUUAUUAUUUAAAAAAUAAUAAUUUAAUUGCUGUUAACCUUUAUUUUAAUAUAUAAUCAUAUCGUUUCCUUACAAUUUAAUUAUCUAGAAACAAUAUUUUUGUUAUAAUCAUUACAUUAAUUAUAUUAAAAAAUAUAAUUUUGUUAAAACAUUGAAUGAAAUUAAGAGUAUUAAUCUACGUCUCUCCAAGUCUACAGGACUCAUUCCAAGUCUGCGUGAGACCACUGCCACCACCUUUGAGAGAUGUGGAAGUGGAAGUAGCUUCAGAUUGACCUAAAUUAUUUCCUGACAAUAAAUUUAAUAUCCGAAAUAAAUUAAAUUAAACUAGUUUUUUGAAACAAUUAAAUUAAACUAGUUAAUAAUAAAUUAAGAAUAUAUAAAAUCAAAACUAAUCAUGAAUUAUGAUAAUAAUUAAAUAAAUUAUAAUUAAGCUAUAUAAAUCAACUCCAAAUGACACCAACAGCACCAAACCUUAGUUACUUUAAUAUUGGUAAAUAAAUAUAAUAUAAUAAUCAAUUGAUGAAAAAUCAAAUCAUCUAAUAAAUUCACAAAAAAUAUAUGAUCAUUAGUAUAUUAUAUUAGUAUCCACACACUUAUAUUUCAAAAUCUAUCCUCCAAAAUUAUCAUCUCGAUAAACUAGCCACAUAAAAUAAAAAUUUAAAGAUAUUAGAUAUUUAGUUAUUUUCAUUAUAUAAUUUUUCCACACUAAAUAACAAAAUAUUUUUAUCAAAUUAUUAUUUAUGAGUUAAAUAUUCAAGUUAUAAAUCCAGCAUGCAGCGUAUAAAUAGAAGUGUGCAGUAUGAUAUCAGAAUCAUAACCCAGUUGAUCAGGAGAAACAUGGCAUACUCUGCAAAGCCUUCUCACCUUCUUCUCUUUGUUUUCUUUCUCUCAUCACUUGAAUCCAUUCUAACAACACGAGAGGGAGAAGCUCUUGUGAAGUGGAAGAAUAGCCUAGCCCCGUCUUCUUUUCUCGACUCUUGGUCACUCACCAAUCUCGAUAAUCUUUGUAACUGGACUGGCAUUACUUGUAACUCUGCAGGUUCAGUUUCUGAGAUUAACCUCUGUGAGAAACAACUUGAUGGAAUGCUGUCCGAGUUCGGUUUCACUUCAUUUCCAAAUCUCAAGAAUCUCACCCUGGCAGACAACUUCUUCUCGGGUCCAAUACCACCAGCCAUUGAGAAUUUAACACAGCUUCAAUAUCUUGAUUUAAGCAUGAAUAGUCUUAAUGGUCCCAUUCCGUUCCAGGUUAGCCAUCUUCAGAGUUUGCUCAUAUUAAACCUGUCACAGAAUGCAUUGCAAGCUCCAAAUUGGUCCCAUUUCUCUCCCAUGCCUGUUUUGCGCUUCCUCAAGCUCAGUAGAAAUCCUCUUGUGUCGAAAUUCCCAAAUUUUAUAUCCAAUUCUCAUAGCCUGACUUAUCUCAACCUUUCACAUAACAAGUUUAGUGGUGAUCUUGUACGUGAAUCAGUAUUUAUACCAAUCUGCAUCAUCUUGAAGUCCUCAGUUUUUCACCGAAGAGUUGUGUGAGCCUAUUUUAGACAAUGGAUUCUCUUACAAUGGUAUAACCUCUGUAACAGUUGUGUCAUUUUUAAUGACACAACAUAUGUGCGUAUAAAAACCGUUGUCUAUUAGACACUACAGGACAAAAUUUACCUUUUUACAAUAAGACAAAAUUUACCUUUGACUGUUAUUGUUAAAAAAACAUACAUAAUAAACGUAAAAAAUUUUGAAUUUUUUUAUGUAUGAUUAAUAUUGUUAAUUCUCGAGAUCCGUACGGUCAGAUCAUCGAAAAAAAUAUUUAUAAAUUAAUACAGAGUUAAUCGUAUACAUAACAAAGAUUCUAUUGAGUACUUUCUAAAUUGUAACCAUAAAACAAAUACUAAUAUCCACAUCCGAACUACAAAAUUAUCUUCAUUGUACAAAUGAACAAUAUAUAUUUGCAUAUAUGCAUAAUAUAAAUAUAUGUUUUAAGAUAAACUGUGCAAAAAUUAGAAUUUAUCAAGGAAUAGAGAAUUUUUAACUUUUAAAAAGAAAAAUUAAUCAUAAAACAGUUUCAUUGCCAUAAAUAAUUAAUAAUUAAUUCAAUUGUAACCCCUAAAAUAAUUACUAAUUAAUAAUUAAUACAGUGCUAAUCGUAUAUAUAACAAAAAUUCUAUUAUGUACUUCCUAAAUUAUAACUUUAAACACAUACUAAUACUAUUAUAUAAUAUUUUUCAAUUAUUAAUAUUAUAAUAUAUAUUAUAAUACAACUAAUUCUUUUAAAUUUUCAAUUAAAUUUUAAUAUUCUAUAAUAUAUAGAUAUAUGAAUUUAAGUAAUAUAACUUUUAAUUAUAUUACACAUAUUUCUUCUUGUUUUUAAUAAAUUAUUUAAAUUAAGAUAAUAUUAAUUAUUUUCUUGACGCAAAAACAAUUUUAAUUAUUAAUUAAAGAAUUAAAAGGAAAAAAAAGUAGAUCUGCCCAAUGUACAGGUGAAAGUGAGAAGCGGCAAAGUUCCCCCCAAAACUAAAAACCACUGCCGAGUAAAAACCCCUAACCUGUACUCUCAAAAAACUUCUCACUCACAAACACUCUCCCUGGAUCUAUGUAUCUAUCAACACUCGGGGGGUUUGUUAUGUUUAAAUGGAAGCAAAACAAUGCUAUAGUCAUUUUCAGUAUCCAUGUGGUCCUCUUGCAUCUCGGUUUGCUCUGCUUUUCACAUGUUUGUGGCCAACAUGAAUCUUAUAUCUUGUUUAUGAGUUUAAUUUUGUUUAUUUGUAUUUGAGUGGCUUGAUUUUGUAUUUCUUCACUACUAAUUGUUAUUUUCUAAAUUAUCCAUGUGAUUAGGGCUCAUUUUUAGGGGAACUUUGAAUUAGGUCAUUAAAUUACAGUUUUGGUGAAUUGGGGCUUUCAUUGUAUAUAUUUGAUUACAUACAACUGUUAAUAUUUGAGCAGCCAAGGCUCAAGAGCUCAAAAGAUGACAUAUCGAUGGGGUGACAUGUAUGGCUAACAAUCGGAGUAAUUUGAAAGGAUUAUUUUUUCGUUGGGCUGACAGAGGUAUAUUGUUCUUGACACUGGUUUUUAACUUGCUGUCUUUAGUUUAGUUGUGAAUAAUGAGAUGGUUGGAUAUUCUAUUUCGUAUUGUUGUAUGUGGUCGUUAGCAGAAGCUCAUUAAGUCUGCUAUGGUUUAUAGAUUUUAUAACAUUGAUAAGUAUGGUUUGGGUGUCUAGGCUAGUUUUGUUUGUGUGUGUAAUGGAUGUGUUUUGAUUUUUCUGAUUUUUCUGAUUUUUCGAUCAUCUACUUCUUUUUUGUUGCGGGGUUGUUAUUUGUUUACUCUUGUUCCCUGCAAAGAAAUAAGUGUGGAUAGUUAUGCAUUGGAAUCAUAAGUAGCAAUUAAGUGUUAAUUUCCAAUUCAACGAGUUCAAUGCACGCCUGUCUUCAACUAGAUCCGUUUCUUAAUGAAUUUACAAGCAUGUUUGAGCACAAUACUGAGCAGGGUUGUGUGUAGGUCACUUUAUAUAUUUUAGUAUCAAGAGACGUAUUAUGUUGAUAUGUGCUGUAUAAAAUAUUUAAUUGAAGCUAGGUUUAUGUGUAACUGUUACUCAUCUGGCUAUGGAAUACAUUCCCAGAUUAAAAAAUUUGAUAAUGAUUGAUACUGUCUUGUCACUCCAUUAAACAUGACGUAACAUCUGUAUUCAACUUUGGACUUCAUUAAUUGGUGUUAGUCGUGCAAUAUGUUUAAAUUAAAAAAGUUAUGUUUCUUUUAUAUGUUCGAAUUUACUCCAAAUUGCAUGUGGGCGUUUCACUUCUUAUGAGCAGGCUGUGCUUUGGGAAGUUUAGGCAUGCUUUGAGAAUAGAUAUUUUAAUCAAACUGUGCACUUUAGAUAUAAAAAAUCUUGCUGUUCUGAUGGAUUGUAUGGUGUGGAACAAGAGCUGUGUUCCAAGUUAUGCUCAAGACUGUGGGUUUUUUUUGUUUUUAACACCCUUCCAUAACUUCUCCAUCUUAGUUAUUAAACUCUUUCAUUCUGUAUUCCUAACUAUACCAUUCUUUUUUCCACAUAAACCAAGCCAUAAUAAGAAACUGACUUUCUCAAGGAACAAAGGACUAUCACCACAUGGCAGGAUUGUGCAUAGGCGUGCAUAUGCUUGAGUAAGUACACUUUUGGACUUAUGUUGUGAAGUAUUAUUUUUACAAAUGUCAUCCUUCUGGUCAUAUGACAAAUCUUUUCCCUAUCAUUUCUGUAAUUUGUUUUAAAGGUUAGAGCAAGAGUGGAGAUGUCCCAAAUUGAUGCAGUUGCUUACAACAUUGGCAUGGCUUUGUGGAAAGUUUUUGGUGGAGCUUCUAGCACAAUAAAACAGAUAUAAUAGUUUAGUUUCCGAGCUACACCAUUUCCCGGCUCAUUUUGUCGGCUUCUAUCGACUCUAUACAGGCUCUUGCCAGUUGUGUGAAACAUUACAAGAUUUUACAUUUUUAUAUGUGGUUGUACGUUGAUACUAUAGUUGGUAAUGAAAAUUUUUGUUACUAAUUUAUGGCUUGUUAAUUAUAUUCUCCAGCAUAGUUUAAUUAGAUUAUGUAAAACCAUUGUCUGACAUAACUAAACACAAAAGGAAAAGAAAAAGAAAACAGUUGUCCCAAGACUUACAAACAACACAAUUUUAAAAAUAAAAUCGUUGUCUAAGACAUAUACAAAUAAGUAAAUAGUAGUAACAAACCAUUGUCUAAAUCAGUAUUAUUCAAGCAUUUUGAACAAAAACUGUUGUAGAAGAGCUUUCACACAAUUGUUUCAUUAUAUAAACUAUUGUUAUACGGAGCUUCACAGAAGUGACCACUGCUCUAAGCCCGUUGUACAAGGUAGUAAAACACGAGCCUCUAAAACGCAAACAAUCUUGUCUGAUACUCUUAUUAACAAGUAAAUAUAUCCACAAACUGUUGUGGAUAGUCCUAAUAACAACACAAAUUCCAAAUAUGACUGUUGUUAUAAAAUGUUUAUAACAACACUUUGUUAAACUAAUCUGUUGUUGUUUGUGGGUGUAACACAACACGCUGUUAAAUAUAAACCGUUGUGUUUCUUGAUCUCACACAACGGUACGUACCGUUGUCUGAGGCGCGUAUCAGACGGCAUCGCAAUAGACCACGGUUUUCUUGGGUAUCAGACAACGGGCAAAAACCGUUGUCUGAUGCUGUUUUUGUUGUAGUGACAAUUCCUUUGAAGGACCGCUUCCACCAGGUAUAUUCAAGCUUUCAAAAUUAAAACAUCUUUUUCUUUGGGGUAAUAAGUUUUCAGGUUCUGUUUCCAAUGAUAUAUGUUUGCUUUCUGAGCUUGAAAGCCUCGAUCUUAACUCUAAUUUUUUUGAGGGGCCGCUUCCGCCAAAUGUAUUCAAGCUCUCCAAAUUAAAGUUACUUUCCCUUCAGAAGAAUAACUUUUCAGGUUUUGUUUCCAAUGAUAUAGGUUUGCUUUCUGAGGUUGAAACUCUCGAUCUUCACUCUAAUUUUUUUGAGGGGCAGCUUCCGCCAAAUAUAUUCAAGCUCUCGAAACUAAGAUUUCUUGCCCUUUGGCAGAAUAACUUUUCAGGUUCUGUUUCCAAUGAUAUAGGUUUGCUUUCUAAGCUUGAAACCCUCGAACUUGACUCCAAUUUUUUUGAGGGGCCGCUUCCGCCAAAUAUAUUCAAGCUUUCCAAAUUAAGAGUUCUUUCCCUUGACAAUAAUAACUUUUCAGGUUGUGUUUCCAAUGAUAUAGGUUUGCUUUCUGAGCUUGAAACCCUCCGUCUUGGCUUCAAUUCUUUUGAAGGACCGGUUCCACCAAAUAUAUUCAAGUUUUCCAAAUUAACAGGUCUUGACCUCUCAGGCUAUAGAAAUUUAUUUGAAGGUAGUAUCCCUAUUGGACUGGGACUCUUGACUAACCUCAGCUACUUAGAUCUAAGUUCCAAUAAUCUCAGUGGCUAUAUUCCAUCUGAACUUGGAAACCUUAAGCUACUAGUAUUUCUUGAUCUCAGUUCUAACCAAUUGACUGGACCGCUUUUAAAGAUCGUUUCUAAUCUCACAAAUCUUAUAUAUCUCCAUGUACAAGAUAAUAGUCUUAGUGGGAAUAUUCGCAGUGACUUGUGGAAAAACUCUUUAUCCUUACGUUACAUUGAUCUUGAAAAUAAUUAUUUGUCUGGGAACAUUCCUAAGGAAUAUAACGAUCAUCCAACUUUGGAAUACAUCAAUUUAGGUGGGAACCAUUUUACAGGUAUAUUUUUCUCUAUAUAUCUUUUCCUUUUGUCAUAUGUAACUAAGCUAGUAAUCUGAUUGAUGCAGUUUUACCAAAGUUUCAACAAUCUUGACAGGUGAGCUUCCANNNNNNNNNNNNNNNNNNNNNNNNNNNNNNNNNNNNNNNNNNNNNNNNNNNNNNNNNNNNNNNNNNNNNNNNNNNNNNNNNNNNNNNNNNNNNNNNNNNNNNNNNNNNNNNNNNNNNNNNNNNNNNNNNNNNNNNNNNNNNNNNNNNNNNNNNNNNNNNNNNNNNNNNNNNNNNNNNNNNNNNNNNNNNNNNNNNNNNNNNNNNNNNNNNNNNNNNNNNNNNNNNNNNNNNNNNNNNNNNNNNNNNNNNNNNNNNNNNNNNNNNNNNNNNNNNNNNNNNNNNNNNNNNNNNNNNNNNNNNNNNNNNNNNNNNNNNNNNNNNNNNNNNNNNNNNNNNNNNNNNNNNNNNNNNNNNNNNNNNNNNNNNNNNNNNNNNNNNNNNNNNNNNNNNNNNNNNNNNNNNNNNNNNNNNNNNNNNNNNNNNNNNNNNNNNNNNNNNNNNNNNNNNNNNNNNNNNNNNNNNNNNNNNNNNNNNNNNNNNNNNNNNNNNNNNNNNNNNNNNNNNNNNNNNNNNNNNNNNNNNNNNNNNNNNNNNNNNNNNNNNNNNNNNNNNNNNNNNNNNNNNNNNNNNNNNNNNNNNNNNNNNNNNNNNNNNNNNNNNNNNNNNNNNNNNNNNNNNNNNNNNNNNNNNNNNNNNNNNNNNNNNNNNNNNNNNNNNNNNNNNNNNNNNNNNNNNNNNNNNNNNNNNNNNNNNNNNNNNNNNNNNNNNNNNNNNNNNNNNNNNNNNNNNNNNNNNNNNNNNNNNNNNNNNNNNNNNNNNNNNNNNNNNNNNNNNNNNNNNNNNNNNNNNNNNNNNNNNNNNNNNNNNNNNNNNNNNNNNNNNNNNNNNNNNNNNNNNNNNNNNNNNNNNNNNNNNNNNNNNNNNNNNNNNNNNNNNNNNNNNNNNNNNNNNNNNNNNNNNNNNNNNNNNNNNNNNNNNNNNNNNNNNNNNNNNNNNNNNNNNNNNNNNNNNNNNNNNNNNNNNNNNNNNNNNNNNNNNNNNNNNNNNNNNNNNNNNNNNNAAACCUGUCAGAGAAUGAACUGCAAGCUCCAAAUUGGUCCAAUUUUUCCCCCAUGCCUUUUUUGACCAUCCUCGACCUUUAUAAAAAUAAUCUUUUGUCAGAAUUUCCCGAAUUUAUAUCUAACUCGUGUAACCUUACGUACCUUGACCUCUCAUCCAACAAGUUUAGAGGGGAUCUUGCGCGAGAAUCAGUAUUAACCAAUCUAGGUGAUCUUGAAACCCUCUAUCUUAUUAGAAAUUCUUUCAAGGGGUCAUUUCCGUCAGAUUUAUUCAAGCUUUCUAAAUUAAAACGUCUUCACCUGUCGAGCAACAAAUUUUCAGGUUCAAUUCCUAAUGCCAUAAGGUUGCUUUGUGAUCUUGAAUUCCUAUAUUUAGGCAACAANNNNNNNNNNNNNNNNNNNNNNNNNNNNNNNNNNNNNNNNNNNNNNNNNNNNNNNNNNNNNNNNNNNNNNNNNNNNNNNNNNNNNNNNNNNNNNNNNNNNNNNNNNNNNNNNNNNNNNNNNNNNNNNNNNNNNNNNNNNNNNNNNNNNNNNNNNNNNNNNNNNNNNNNNNNNNNNNNNNNNNNNNNNNNNNNNNNNNNNNNNNNNNNNNNNNNNNNNNNNNNNNNNNNNNNNNNNNNNNNNNNNNNNNNNNNNNNNNNNNNNNNNNNNNNNNNNNNNNNNNNNNNNNNNNNNNNNNNNNNNNNNNNNNNNNNNNNNNNNNNNNNNNNNNNNNNNNNNNNNNNNNNNNNNNNNNNNNNNNNNNNNNNNNNNNNNNNNNNNNNNNNNNNNNNNNNNNNNNNNNNNNNNNNNNNNNNNNNNNNNNNNNNNNNNNNNNNNNNNNNNNNNNNNNNNNNNNNNNNNNNNNNNNNNNNNNNNNNNNNNNNNNNNNNNNNNNNNNNNNNNNNNNNNNNNNNNNNNNNNNNNNNNNNNNNNNNNNNNNNNNNNNNNNNNNNNNNNNNNNNNNNNNNNNNNNNNNNNNNNNNNNNNNNNNNNNNNNNNNNNNNNNNNNNNNNNNNNNNNNNNNNNNNNNNNNNNNNNNNNNNNNNNNNNNNNNNNNNNNNNNNNNNNNNNNNNNNNNNNNNNNNNNNNNNNNNNNNNNNNNNNNNNNNNNNNNNNNNNNNNNNNNNNNNNNNNNNNNNNNNNNNNNNNNNNNNNNNNNNNNNNNNNNNNNNNNNNNNNNNNNNNNNNNNNNNNNNNNNNNNNNNNNNNNNNNNNNNNNNNNNNNNNNNNNNNNNNNNNNNNNNNNNNNNNNNNNNNNNNNNNNNNNNNNNNNNNNNNNNNNNNNNNNNNNNNNNNNNNNNNNNNNNNNNNNNNNNNNNNNNNNNNNNNNNNNNNNNNNNNNNNNNNNNNNNNNNNNNNNNNNNNNNNNNNNNNNNNNNNNNNNNNNNNNNNNNNNNNNNNAAAACCAUUGAUAAGGAUGGUAAAUUCGACUCUAAAUCUUAUGAAGCUAUAUUCUUGGGUUAUUCUUUAACAAGUCGUGCUUAUAGAGUGUAUAAUCUUGCUAAACAUACUGUUGAAGAGUCUAUUGAUGUUUCAUUUCAAGAGUCUACUGAUGAUCUUGCAAGGGAUGAGGAAGAAUGUGCAGGUACAGGUACUAGCAGCAAGCUGACAGUGAAGGAAACUGGAAAUCAGCAAGCUGACAAGUCAACUGCCACAACUUCAGAAGGCAAUAAAGCUACUGAAUCCACUCCAUCUCUUGAAGAAACUUUGGAUAAGAUGUCUAAGCUCACAUUGGAUGAAUCCAGAGGUCAAACUUCAUCAGCAAGCCAAAAUGUUGUUGAUCAGACUCCUCCUAGGCAGACUACAAGGAAUGAAGAGGUCAUAGCUCAACAUAAUCUACCAAAAUCAACUAGAACAGUGAAGAAUCAUCCUCCUCAGUUGAUCAUUGGAGAUAAAUCAGCUGGAAUCAAGACAAGGAAAGCUCAAGCCAACAUUUGUGCUUAUGCUGCCUUCAUAGCUCAAGAGGAACCAAAGAAUGUUCAAGAAGCUUUACAAGAUGAAAAUUGGAUCAUGGCAAUGCAAGAAGAACUCAACCAAUUCGAAAGAUGUGAUGUUUGGGAACUUGUAGAUCCACCAGAGGAUGCUUCAAUUGUUGGAACCAAAUGGGUGUUCAAGAAUAAAGUUGAUGAAUUUGGUACUAUCACUCGGAACAAAGCUAGACUUGUUGCACAAGGAUACAAUCAGCAAGAAGGAAUUGAUUUUGAUCAAACAUAUGCUCCGGUUGCAAGAUUGGAAUCUAUUAGGAUGCUAUUAUCAUUUGCAUGCUACAAGAAGUUCAAGCUACAUCAAAUGGACGUCAAAAGUGCAUUCUUAAAUGGAUAUCUAAAGGAAGAAGUCUAUGUCAAGCAACCACCAGGAUUCGAGGAUGAAAAAUAUCCCAACCGUGUCUACAAGCUCAAGAAGGCACUAUAUGGAUUAAGGCAAGCACCUCGAUCAUGGUAUGAAAGGUUAAGUGAAUUUUUGAUCAAAAAUGGUUUCAUUAGAGGUAAAAUUGAUCCUACUUUGUUUACUAUCUUUAAAGGUCAAGAUAUAUUAGUUGUUCAAAUAUAUGUAGAUGAUAUUAUAUUUGGAUCUACUAAUGAUUCUUUGUGUAAGUGGUUUUCAAAGUGCAUGCAUAGUGAGUUUGACAUGAGCAUGAUGGGAGAGCUCAAUUAUUUCUUGGGGCUCCAAAUUAAGCAAACUCCAGAAGGAAUUUAUGUGCAUCAAUCCAAGUAUAUCAAGAAUCUACUCAAAAGAUUUGGAUAUGAGAAUAUCAAGGCGAAAUCAACACCAAUGAGCGUUGUCAGCAAGCUGACAGCAGAUGAAAAUGGUAAAGAUGUUGAUAUUCGAAUGUAUAGAGGUAUGAUUGGUAGUUUACUUUAUCUUACAGCCUCUAGACCUGAUAUUAUGUAUAGUGUUUGUGUUUGUGCUAGAUUUCAAGCAAAACCAAAGGAUUCUCACUUACAAGCUGUUAAAAGAAUAUUUAAAUAUUUAAGUGGAACCAUUACUUUGGGCUUAUUCUAUCCUAUCACAAAUGCUUUUGAUCUUGUUGGGUAUAGUGAUGCAGAUUAUGCAGGUAGUCAAACUGAUAGAAAAAGUACAAGUGGUGUUUGUGCAUUUUUGGGUCAAAGCUUAGUUUCUUGGUUAAGCAAGAAGCAAACUUCAGUUGCUCUAUCUACGGCUGAGGGGGAGUAUUUAGCAGCUGGUAGCUGUUGCUCUCAAAUGCUAUGGAUGAGACAACAAUUGAAGGACUUUGGAAUCAAAUGCAAGCAAACUCCUAUCUUUUGUGACAACACAAGUACAAUCAACAUUUCAGAAAAUCCAGUCAAUCAUUCAAGGACAAAGCAUAUUGAUGUUCGACAUCAUUUUCUGAGAGACAAUGUUGCAAAGGGUGCUGUCAAGCUGAUUUUUGUGGCUACAGCAGAUCAGCUAGCUGACAUCUUCACAAAACCUCUUCCUGAAGAACGAUAUGUCAUGCUGAGAAGGGAAUUGGGCAUGUGUGAUGUGCAGUCAGCAAGCUAAUAAGCUUGGUCCGGGUACUAUCAGCUUACUCUCAGUUAUUAUGACCAUUAUGUGCUGAUUUGGAUAAUUGUUGUGAUCUCGAUGACGAUGCUUGAUUUUCUACCCUUUUGAUGAUUAAGGGGGAGAAAAUUUAGGAACUUGGUUUGUGUUGUGAAUGUUGUGUUGUGAAUGUUAUAUUUGUUGUAUAGUUUAAUGUUAUAAGAUUGCUAUAUUCAGGGGGAGUAUUAUUACUUUUCCUAAAUAUAGUGUAAUCAUCAAAAAGGGGGAGAUUGAUACUCUCGAGAUUUUGAUGAUCACACUAACAGCAACUUGAUAACAUAAAACUGUACUCUGGUAGCUAGCUGAGAACGAGAUUAUAACUGUGCUAACAGCUAAUGUCUUUUGAAGUUAUCAUUGUUCUGUCAGCAAGCUUACAGGAAUAUUGACAGACUAUCAGCAAGCUCACAGCGUACUGACAGGAUGCUUAUCGGAUAAAGAUCAAGUCCUAUUUUCAAGGAGAUUUGUUAGGGAACGUUUUGUGAGGACUCUAAUACAUAUAUAUACAGUAUAUAAAUAUUAGAGCUCAUCUUUUAUCAAAGAGUUUUAUUCAAAAUCGUUUUCCUAAAAUAUAGGAGUUGAUUUCAAACCUUGUUUAUCCUUUUAGACUCCUACUUCUAUUCAAACUGUUUUGUUUUAUAAACAAACGUUUACUGAGUUGUUUCAAACGUCUUUAUGCUUUUACUCAGUAAAAAUACAUUGUUCAAACGUUCAUUAUUCAAGCAAAUUAAACGUGAGGUUGUUGGGCCAAGAACGUUGGAUAGUUUGUUGAGUUAUGACCGUUUGGAAUGAUGGUAUAUAAACUUGAGUGUGGUUUCCGUUUUGGUAGAGAACAAGAACACACUUCAAGCUUCUGAAAUACAACACACUUACAUUGCAAAAUCUUUACUUGAGCUCUAGUACUUAUAUUUGAUUAUAUAUCUAUAUUGAGUUCAUAGUUUCGGUUGUAUUACACUCAUACAUUGUAUUGUUCAAAGUGUAAAGGUUUGUUGCUGUGUAUCGAGCUUGUGAAACAAGGGAACAAGGGGACUAGUUAGCUAGAAGAGUAUACUUGGGAAGUAUAGGUCUUGGAGAGCUUUUGGUUCGUGGUUCAGGGGUUUCAGCAAGCUGAUAACAGGAACAAGGGAUAAAGGGAGUUAUAUUAUUGAAUCAUUGUAAUCGUUAACAUUAUUGAUUAAUAAUAUAAUCUCUUACCAGUUGGUAGGGGACCAGGACGUAGACCAUUAGGGUUAGGGGUCGAACCUGGCUAAAAUUCUCUGUGUUGCUAGCUUACUGAUUAUAUCUGUUUUGCAUUGCAUCUGCAUUGUUAGCUAGCUGACUGUUUACUCUGAAAUUAACAGCAAGCUGUCUGUGACAGUUUAACUAUUCGGUAACAAUUAAAAAUCGGUCAUAUUAGCCAUAACACCUAUUCACCCCCCUCUAGGUGUGUAAUUUCAGUUUCUUUUCGUUUUCAAAUCUCACCAAUCUCAUCAUUACACAUAACAACUUCACUGGUCCAAUACCACCCGAAAUUGGAAAUUUAACAGAUGUUCAGUACCUCGACUUUAGCUAUAGUAAUCUCAAUGGUACCAUUCCAUACCAGGUUAGCCAUCUUCAGAGGUCGGUCGUCUUAGGCCUCUCAUUUAAUCACUUGAAAGCUCCGAGCUUGUCCAAUUUUUCCCCCAUGCCUAUACUGGUUGGUCGCGGUCUUAGUGGUAAUAAGCUGGCAUCAAAAUUUCCAGAAUUGAUAUCUAAUUGCUAUAACAUGAUUAACCUUGAUCUUUCAUUUAACAUGUUAACUGGUAAACCUCUGUUCUAAAAGUCGGUGAUUAAUCACCGAUUAAUCCAUGUUUCCUAGCUCGCCAAACUGAUUAAAUAUCCGAUUAUUUUAAUUAAUGUCCGAUUAAUCACCGAUCAAUGCAAUUAAUCUACAAUUAAUCCUUAUUCUGGGACUUCACCGAUUAAGCUCGAUUCCCAUUUUUUACAACGACAUAACAGUGAAUCAUGAUUAUCAAGCAUCUGUCUUGUUAACAUUGAAACGAAGAGAGCAUGAAGUGAAAGGAAUCCUUUAUAUUUACGAUGUCAACAGCCCUACUGUCAAAAUUCCUUUCAAGUCGGGGCUUUUUACGAAUAAUUGGUAAUUCAGUGUUGAACUCCGCUCAACUUAUAAUUAGAUAAUCGAAAUCAAAAAUCUUGCAAUCAACAAAUAAAUUAUUAAGAACUUGCAAUUGAGUAAUGGCCGUCAAGUCACUUAACAAUACUAACCGGAAACUAACGUGACGGGCUGAUAUGUUUAAAAAAAUGCAUGAUGACUAUAUACUUGAUGUUUACGACCCUAACUAAAAUAUCCAACAAAUAAUACAUACAACCUGAUCUAAUAAUGUAAUACCUCUACUUAAGUAUAUUUUUAUGCCAAAUAUUUAUAGAUUUGUUUUUACAAAAAUGAUUAGAGACUUUGUAUAUACAAAAAUUGAGAAUUAUUGCUUGACUAGACGAAAAUAGGUGAGUUAUGAUUAUAAUAAAUAUUUAUUUCUACGAUGUAGUUUUUAUUAGUUAUAUAUAAAAAAAAUCUUGCUAUAUUUUGAUACUAGUGCAAUGAUUACUUCAAUUUAUUUUUUAUGAGAGUUACUAAGAUAUAUGACCAACUCAUCUUGCACUCGUAUUAAUUGUCUUAUAUAAUAAUAAUAAGAAAAAUAUGAGGCGGUGCUUAGUCAGAUGAUUUUAGUUGUUAAAAUAUUUUUUUGUUAUUUAUAGAUAGUGAAACAUGUCUAAUAUUUUAUCAAUUUUGUUUCGUUUCUUGAGAUUUCCAAAUAUUUAUUAGGACAUUGUACCAUGGUGUAUUUCAAGAUAUUAUUGUUAUUUAGAUAAUUAGUCAUAUUCAAUGAAUUUUGAGGACAAAAUUUAAAUAAGAGGAGAACAAUGUCAUAUCUCACAUAUUAGCAGUUUUAAUUAUUUUAUAUUUUUAUUUUAAAGAUAAGAUAAAGUUUAUUUAUUUAUUUGUUUUUAUCUUAAAAGCGAUUUUGAGUACUUUGUUUGAGUUAGAUAUAUACUUCUACUGUGGUUCAACUAGUUUUGCCGUCAGUGAAUAAUUUCCGGUCAAUAUUUUGAAAUUUGUUGUUAUCUUCUAAUUAAGAUAAGGGGUUAAAUAGCUUUUGAAAAAUGUGAAAAAAAUCAAAAAAAUUGGGAAACCAAAAGUGGCAAGCUUUUUUUUGUUCUUUUCAAAUUUUCUAAAAUCUGGGGAAAAAAGAACUUGCCACCUAAUUUUUUCCAAAUUUUUUCAAAUUCUUUUCAGAUGUUUGAAUUUUUUCCCAAUUUUUUCCUUUUUUUUUGAAUUUAUUAAGAUUUUUUUUGUUUUUUCUGCUUAUUCUGAAUUUUUUAAGAUUUAUUCGCAUUUUUUUUCAUAUUUUUAAAAAAUAUUUUUGAAAUUUCCGUUAAGUAAUUAAUGGAACUGACAGAGAGUGAUGCUUUUGAAAGUUUUUAAUUAUUUGAUGAUGCAUCUGAAAAUUUUUCAACAACAUGAUUCAGUUGCAAAUUUCCGGCGAGGUUAGUGAUAAAUUAGCUAUUUAACUCUUAAUAAAAUCUAUCUUAACAAUAUUAUAAAUAUUAUUGUUAUGGGUUCGAUGAGUCGUGUAAAACAUGGAAGAAGUUUAGGUGGGGUAAAAAGAGCCUAGCUGGGUGAUUUCCAUUCUGUUAUACGUGAUAUACUGUAGUUGAUCAUCUCCUUUGUCCGCUUCAUCCUGUGCAACCUUAACCUUUAAGGUAAAACUUAUGAGAUUCUCUGGAGCAUCUAAGGGGCCGUUUGGACAAACUUAAAAGAAGUGACUUCUUGCUUAAACUAGAGAAGUGGAGUAGAAGUGAGAAGUAAAUUAGUUAAUAAAGUGUUUGGAAAAAAAGCAGAAGCCAGAAGCAUCUUCGGCUUCUGUCAAACAAACAGGGCCUAAAUUUUUGUGUGAAAAAUGUUAGUCUCAAAUUAUUUUUCCUAAAAUGCUUACAUGUUACAUUUUAUAUGUAUGUCCUGUCUUUAAGUAUAAUUUAGCAUUUGUAUUUAGUAUUGUGUAAAAGUAAUUCAUUUUAUUCCGUCUUAUUAAAAAUAUAAUCAUGUUAUGCUGUAAAAGUAUUUGUGAAUUUCUUUGUUGCAUAUGUGUUUAAAUUAUUUUAUUUAUAUAUGUUUUACAAUUUUUACAAAUGUAUAGGUUGAGUAUUGCAUAAGAAUAUAAUUACACUCACAACUGUUAUGCGUGCAUGUAUAUUGCCGCUAAGUUUUAAACUUCUUACGAACCGGAAUAAUUUUGACAGAUGUGUGGAACUUGAUUAAUUUAGUUGCACUACAAGAGAAAGCGUUUUUACCAAUAGAAAUUGCUAAGGGAAAUUAGUCCGUCGGUAAUUUCCAACGAAUUUGUAACAAUUUGACUGGUCAAUGUUCUGCCAAUCAAUUCGCAACGAAAUACCCACGCUUAUUUACCAACGAGAUGUUCUGUUAGGAAAUAUAGCCACAUAAUGGAAUAAUAACAACAGCCCAAAGAAUGAGCAACAGACUAGCAACGAAAGCAUCUGUUACUACGUUCGUUGAUAUUCCGUUUAUAAAUACUAACAGUUCCGUUAGUAGUUAUUAGUUUUACAUUGGCAAUUGAUAUACACCAGAUGAGCACAUACACGGAUACAAUGCCAGUCUCUUAGUUGAAAUGUGUGUAAUGCUAAAGCCCAAUGAGCUUUAGUUGAUUAAAUUGAUUUGAGUUGUAGAAAAAAGCUAAUAAUAUAAUGGAUUUUGAUAUAUGUAUUGUAAAUAUUAAGUAAUUCUCUUGAAUUUAUAUAUGUAACAUAAUUGUUAAUUGGUUCAUCCUUGACUAGAAAUUUUAUAUUACAUUCUUAACUACAAAUUUUGUAUUUAAAAUUGUUUUAAAAAAUCAACUUUUAUUUGGCAUGUGGAUUUUGUAGUCAAAUGCGGUCAAUUUACUUAGCCUUUGAUCGAAUACCAACCUGAAACAUAAAAAUAUUUUUUAAUCAUUUAUUUUCGACGAUCCAACUAUAUUCUAUAAUUGUAAUGUGAUAAUAUUGAUUACAAAAUUUAAAAAAAAAAAUUAACCUUUUAUUUGGUAUGUGCAUUUUGUAGUCAAAUGCAAUUAAAUUACUUAGUCUUUAGUGAAAUCUUUACUCGAAACAUAAAACUUUUUCUUAAAAAAAAAUUGGACGAUCCAACCGUACAAAUGUUAUUGCAACGUGUUAAUAUUGGUUAAAAUAAAUUUUAAGAAAAUAUGUCUUUUAUUUGGUGUGUGGAUUUUGCGGUCAAAUAACUUAGCCUUUAAUUGAAUACUUACCCAAAACAUGAAACUAUUUUUUUUAAAUCAUUUCGGACGAUCCAACCGUACGGGUGUUAUUCUAACAUGAUAAUAUUGAUUAUUUUUUUUAAAGAAAAAAUAUAGCCUUUUAUUUGGUGUGUGGAUUUUGUAGUCAAAUGCAGUCAAAUUACUUAACCUUUAAUGAAAUGCUUACAUUAAACAUGAAAUUAUUUUUUUUAAAAUCAUUUGGAUGAUCCAAUCGUACGGAUGUUAUUAUGACAUGUUAAUUGAUUAAAAAAAAUAUUUAAAAAAUUGCUUUUUAUUUAGUGUGUGGAUUUUGUAGUUAAAUGCUACUUGGCCUUUAAUCGAAUACUUAACCGAAACAUGAAACUAUUUUUUUAAAAACCAUUUUGGACAAUCCAACCGUACGGAUGUUAUUGUAACAUGACAAUAUUGAUUGUUUUUUUAUAUAAUAACUUUUAUUUGGUGUGUGGAUUUGUAGUCAAAUUACUUAGCCUUUAAUCGAAUACUUACCUGAAACAUGAAACUAUUUCUUAGAAAAUUAUUUUAGAUGAUUCAACCAUACAGAUGCUAUUAUAACGUGAUAAUAUUGAUUAUUUUUUUUAAAAAAAUUAGUCUUUAAUUUGGUGUAUGAAUUUUAUAGUAAAAUGAUGUCAAAUUACUUAGUCUUUAAUGGUAUAUUUAUUAGAAUUAUGAAACUAAUUUUAAAAAUUUAGUUUGGACGAUCCAAACUGUAUGAAUGUUAUUUUAACAUGUUAAUAUUGAUUAAAAUUGUUUAAAAAAAUUUAGUGUUCUUUUAUGUGUGAAUUUUUAGUCAAAUAUGAUAAAAUAUUUAUUUAGCCUUUAAUGAAAUAUUAAAAAUCCCUACUUUAAAAGAAACUUGUCUAAAACUACCUAUACGCGUUAGAGAUUCAUCGAUUUAGUUAUCAAAUUAGUUAUAAUUAGGGUUUUACUCCGCUUUUCUCUGGUAUGAUGUUGAUUUUUGGGGUUCGAUUGGUCGACUUUCAUGUUUUAUAAGUUAUGUGAGUUCGAUUUUGAUGUUUUUACAAUUAGGUUUAUGUAUGUUUUUAUACGGGUUUUCAUGUUCAUGUUUUGAUUUGUUGAUUUCCUAUUUUUCCUAUUUGUUGAUUAGUUAUUUGUGUGGGUUUUGGAUUUUGAUGUGUGUGUAUGUAAUCUCCUGUAUUUUUUUUCAUUUUUUCUGGUUCGAACUCUUCGAUUAGUAGAUGAAAAAAACUGAUGCGGCAGUAGCGGCUAGCAAGGAGAUGGAUAACAAGAAAAGGACGAUUUUGAGGUCCUCUCGUGCAAGUCUUCAGGUAUAAUUUUGUUCCUUUAUGUUUUUAAUUAACAUAAAUUUUCACAUUUGCUGAUUAUAUUAUGGGGGAUUCUGGGUAUACUUGUAUAUAAUCUAGCAAGUAAUUAUAGUUCUGAAUGGGAAGCUUAUUGUGAAAUUAAAUUGAGGAAUAAGUUGUGUUAUUGGUUCUGGUGGAUUAAAUUUAUGUUAACACUUGAUAUAUGCAUUGAUGUCGUAAAAUAAGUUGUACAUCGAACUAUUUGGCUUGUUUAAGUUGUAUGGAGUAUGGUUGCCAAGCAUUGGUUGGUUGUACACGUAUAAACAAAAUGAUAUUUUAAUAUUUGAACAAAACAAUACAGAGCCCGUUUGGCUGAACUUGUAACUCAUAAAUUAACGUGAUUUAUGAUUUAACGUGACUUAUCUAAUAAGCUGAGAGUUUUAAAAUGUCUGUUUGGAUAAUUUUGACUUAUCAACGAUUUAUGGGUCAUUAAAAAUAUAAAAAUAAAAAUUAAAGUGUUUUAUGAGUAGGUUAUGAUUUAUGGAUAAUUUUUAUAUAAAAAAAAGUUCAAAAAAAUUAAGUUACUGGAAAAAUACCUCAAACUAAUUUCAGGCUUUAAGUCAGCUUCUGAUUUAUUAGUUUUUAAGUUUAAGCCGGCUUCUGACUUAUUAAAGCCAUCAGAAUAAUUUUAAACCGCAGCUCUAAGCUACGACAAACGGGCUCACAGUCAUAAACAGAUCGUGUCGGGCUGGACUGAUUGUGAUUUUCCUUUUUGGAACUCGUACUCGGCAUGUUCCACGCGAAUGAUAUUUAGAAGUAUACUCCAUGUCAUAAUAAGAGUUCUUUAAAUUUUUUAUAUGUAAUUUGAAGUAUAAAAAAAAUAUUUUAACAUAAUAUUUUUAAUUUUUUAUACAUAAAAAUAUAACAUCUAUAUUUUUAUUUAGAAAAAAAAAUUUGAAAAAUAAUAUAUAGAUGCAUGUUUUUUUUAUACGUGAAAUUACAUGUAAAAAUCAAAAGACUUUUAUUUUGAGUAAGAGAGAAUAUGAUGUACCAUAAAGUCAUCGAUUUUUUGUUAUCAAAUGAAUGUGAUAGUUAACUAUUUAAGAGCAAGUCCAAAAGUGUUCUAGUUCAUGCUCUAAAUAUAAUAUAAAAUAUUAUGUCCUAGUGAUUUGGGACAUAUUUUACUAACUUGGACUUCAACAAUGAGUCUUAAGGCUCAUUUGUUUUGAGCUUAACAUUGCUGAACGGAUUCCAGCUUACUGAUUAAUGCGAGUUCAGAUUGUUUGGCGACCAUAUUUUAUAAGCUUACCGAUUAAUGCGAGUUUAGAUUGUUUGACGAUCAUAUUUUAUAUUCUGAAUUGUUCAUAUACAGCUGAGCGGAUCAGUCUAAAGUGGGUGAAAGAAUCAUUCAGCGCCAUCCUUAUUAGCUUAUAAUACUGUAUGUCAACUUCAAUCUUAUAAAAAUAUAUUUUAUUUGUUUACUAUAUUUUAUAUAUAUGUUGAUUUUAUCCCAAGUUUUGUUCGUAUCAACUGAAAAUAAUAACUCUUUCAAAAAAUUAAAAAUAAUAUAAUAAUAAUCGAUAUAAUUUUUAACUUUAUAAUUAUUUUGAAUAAUAAUAUGUGAAUUUUUUUUAUAUGUCUAAAUAAGUUUUCAUCUUAUUAAAAAUCAAGUGAUAUAUAUUUUAUUCAAGUGAUAUAUAUUGUUUUAGUGAUAAAAAAGUUCACUAAAACAAUUUAUCAUAUUUAUAAUAUAUUAUUCAGAUAUUUCAAAUAUUAUUCAUCAAACAAUAUUAUUCAUUCAGAAUUCAGAUGAUUCAUCCGUUAAGAUCAUUCAGGUAUAUUAAUCAUUCAAUUCAGAUUUGCCAAAUGACCCCUUAUUCUCACACGAUGUUUAAUAUUUUAUUAUUAGAGAGAGAAAAGGAGUGUUGAUAAGAAUUAAUAACAAAAUAUGGACAGGGUAAGGAAAGAUGUACCUCAAAAAUAGGACUUGAGAAGGUUGUCCCAGUGAUAUAAGGCAUCACUAGGACAUUGUUGGAUCAAUUUUUUACAUCAAAUGCCUUAAAUAACAACUUAGGACGACAUAUAUGGAAAUUGUUGGACUUGCUCUAAGUUGUUACUCCUUCCAAGUAUAAAAGAUGAGUAAAGUUAAAUGAAGACGUGGUAAAAUAAUGUGACCUAUUUAUAUUUAAUAAUACAUUUGAAAUAGUGGAGGAAAGUAACAUGUGUAAUAACGUUUAUAUUAUUAUUGCAUAUAGAUAAGAAGAAAGCAAUGGGUAUAAAAGUGUAUUAUAUUAUUAAAAUUAUUAUUUUUAAAAUGUUUAGAAAUAAUGGGGCAUCCAAAAAGAAAACUGUAUAGAAAUGAAAAAGGAAAUACAAUUCAAAAAGUCAUAUAUCUAAAUUCAAACUAGGUAAUAUAUUUAUGAAUUAUAUUAAAAAAAAUAUUUGACAUUCAAAUAUAAAAAUUUAUUUUAUCAUCUCAACAAUGAAUAUUCGAUUAUUAACUUUCGUAAAUAACAUUAAUUUUUCAUUAUAAUAUACUCUAAACUUUUAUUUUAUGUGCCUGUUUGUUUACGAGAAGCUGGAAUUUACUUCUCUUGACUCGUUUGUGUAAAAAAGUAAAAGGUGCUUUUAAAAAGUACUGAGAACGAAAUGGAAGUAGAAAAUGCUAGCUUUUCUUUAUAAUAUCUAUUUCUUUUCCAGACAUUUUAAUAAUUUAUAAUUAUUAAUUUAUUUGUCAUUUCUACUUAUUUUUUUUAGAGAACUUUUUUUAAACUAACCGGCUCCUAUAACUAGUAAUUACUUCUAAAUCACAAAUUACUGAUAAAUCAUCACUUUUAUUAUUAUUAUUAUUAUUAUAUUUUUAAUAACUCAUAAAUUAUUAAUAAGUCAAAAUUAGUCAAACAGAUAUUUUUAAGUUGAGCUUAUGAGAUAACUAACGUUAAGUCUUCUGAGCCCCCAUUGGCUCACAAUUGGCCCAAAAAAUAUUUGGUUAUGCAUUGCUAUUCACACACUUAGACAUCAAAAUUUAUCAUCCGACAGCUAACUGCACACUAUUUUUCCCACAAGCUCAAAAAUCAACGAUCAAUUAAUUUUUUCUUAUCAAUUACUAAUAAAGUUAUGAUUUCACGUACACGGCAGGCAAAAUGCUAAUAAAUAGACGAGUGCAGUAUAGUAUGGGUUCAUGAUCCCCUUGAGAUUUAAUUGAAAAAUAUUAUGGUGAUAUAGAUUAAAUUAAAUUAUAAUAUUUUGAAAAGUUAUAAAUAAUUUUAAUUACUAAUAAUAUUUAUUUGUACAUUUAAAUAUUUUUAUAAAAACACAAUAAUAGCAUUAUACUCAUUUAAGUUUCUCGUAUCCGCCUCCUCUUCUUGGAGAUUGUGGAUUUGCGAUAUUUGUAUUGAUUAUUAUAGGAAAAUGUUAUUUUCAGAGCAAACAUUUUUAUUUCUGGAGCAAAUUCAAUUCCCACUUCCUUGUCCUUGUAGCUACAUAAAUCAUACAACUUCAAUACAAACUUUUCCAAAUUGUUCUGGAAAUUAAAAAAUUGAUAUGGAUAUAACAAUUCCCUUAUUAUAUCCUAUGUAUAUUACAUUAAUGCAAUUAACAUGGUUGGUUGUUUUAGUAUAUAAUUAUAUUAGUGUGGCCUUUUAGUAUAUAAUUAUAUUAUUUUUGUUAUAUUUUAUGCAUCUAGAAACAAUUUUUUUAUGAUAUUUAUUAUAUUAAUUAUAGUAAAAGAUAUAAUUUUGUUUAAAAAAUUGAAUAAAACUAAGAGGGAUAGCCUACGUCUCUCCGAGUCUUCGAGGACUCAUUCCAAGUCCGCAGAGGACCACCGCCUCAACCUUUAAGAGAUGUGAAAGUAGCUUGAGAGAGACAUAAAUUAAUGUUUGAUAAUAAAAUUUAAUAAUCAAAUAAAUUAAAUUAAAUUAAACUAGUUUAUAGUAAUCGAUUAAAAAUAUAUAAAUCAAAAUUAUUCCUGAAUUAUGAUAACAAUUAAAAUCAUAUUAAAAGUUGCAAAAAUCAAACCCAAAUCGAACAAAUUCCCCUAACACUAAAAUGUAGUUGCUUUAUUGUAGAUAAAAACAGUAUAAUAAUCGUAUUGAUGAAAAAUCAAAUUCAUCAAAUAAGUUUAUAAAAAAUACAUGAUUUUAGUGUGUUGUAUUAGUAGUGUGUCCACGCAUUUAUAUAUUAAAAUCUAUCCUCUAAAAACUAUCGAUCUAUUUACACAACUAUUGAUCUGUCGUGCAACAAAUUCCACGGAGAAGUUCCAAAGAGAGCUUAAAUGGCUUGCAUUGCUCAAUCUAUCUCAUAAUAGUCUUAACGACAUAUGUUCUGAAUUAUUAUUAUGCUUUCAACAAUAUUUUCAAACAUUUCUUAAUAUGUAUUUUCAAAGAAUUAAGAGAAUGCACAAAAAUUAAGAGAGAUUGCUCUGGGUCUCCCCAAGCCUUUCAGGACUCAUUCCAAGUCUUCCUAGGACCACUGCCUCACCCUUUCAAAGAUGUGAUAAUAGCUCGAGAGUAAUAUAAAUUAAUUUACGGACACUAAAAAUAAAAAAUCAGAUCAAAUUAAUCAAUAAUAAAUUAAGGAUGAAAUCCAAAUUAAUCCUAAAUUUUGAUAAUAUAUAAAUAUUAUAAUUAUAAAUUAUAUAACCAAAUCAGAAUUGAAUUAACUUACUUGGCACUAAAAUUGAUAAAGACAGAAUAAUAAUUUAAUCGAUGAAAAGUCAAAGUCUUCUAAUAAAUCCAUAAAAGAUAUGAUAAUCCAAAUAACACACUUAUAUAUCAAAAUUUAUGGUCCAAAAACUAUAGCAAAAUAUCCUAAAUACACCACAUUAAAUAAUAGUUCAAAAAUAUUCAAUAAACAAUUGUUUUCAUUCAUAAUUUUGUUAUUUUAAAAACUAAUAAUUUGGUUGAUGUUAACCUAUAUUUUAAUAUAUAAUUAUAUUAUUUUCAUCUUAUUUUAUUUAACCAGAAACAAUAUUUUUAUAAUAUUUAUUACUUUAUUUAUAUUAAAAUAUAUAAUUUCAUUAAAAAAAUUGAAUAAAAUUAAGAGAAUAACUCUAUGCCUCUCUAAGUCUACAAGACUCAUUUCAAGUCUACCGAGGACUACUACCUCAACCAUCGAGAGAUGUGAAAGUAUAGUUUGAGAGUGACAUAAAUUAUUUUCCUGACAAUAAAAUUUAAUAUCUAAUAUAAAUUAAUUAAAUUAGAUAAUAAUAAAUCAAAACUAAUUAUGAAUUAUGAUAAUAAUUAAAUAAAUUAUAAUUAAAUUAUAUAAAUCAACUCCAAAUGUACAAAUAACACUAAACCUUGGUUACUUUGUUGGUAAAUAAAUAUAAUAUAAUAAUCAAAUUGAUGAGAAAUCAAAAUCAUCUAAUAAAUUCACAAAAAAUAUAUAAUCAGUAUAUUAUAUUAGUAUCCACACACUUAUAUUUCAAAAUCUAUCCUCCGAACUUAUCAUCUCUGUAAACUACCCACAUAAAAUAAAAAUUUAAAGAUAUUAGAUAUUUAGUUAUUUUCAUUAUAUAUAAUUUUUCCACACUAAAUAACAAAAUAUCUUUAUCAAAUUAUUAUUUAUAAGUUUUUUGAAUAUCAGAUUCAUAACCCAGUUGAUCAGGAGAAACAUGGCCUACUCUGCAAAGCCUUCUCACCUUCUUCUCUUUGUUUUCUUUCUCUCAUCACUUGAAUCCAUUCUUGCAACAACACAAGAGGGAGAAGCUCUUGUGAAGUGGAAGAAUAGCCUAGCCCCUUCUUCUUUUCUCGACUCUUGGUCACUCACCAAUCUCGAAAAUCUUUGUAACUGGACUGGCAUUACUUGUAACUCUGCAGGUUCAGUCUCGGAGAUUAACCUUUGUGAGAAACAACUUGAUGGAAUGCUGUCCGAGUUUGGUUUCACUUCAUUUCCAAAUCUCAACAAUCUCAUCCUCGCAGAUAACUUCUUCUCGGGUCCCAUACCACCGGCCAUUGAGAAUUUAACACAGCUUCGAUUUCUUGAUUUAAGCUUUAAUUCUCUCCAUGGUCCCAUUCCGUUCCAGGUUAGCCAUCUUCAGAGCUUGCUCAUCUUAAACCUGUCACAGAAUGCAUUGCAAGCUCCAAAUUGGUCCCAUUUCUCUCCCAUGCCUUUCUUGCGCAUCCUCAACCUCAGUUACAAUCCUCUUGCGUCGAAAUUCCCAUAUUUUAUAUCCAAUUCUCAUAGCCUGACUCACCUUAGCCUUAAUUAUAACGAGUUUACUGGUGAUUUAGUACGUGAAUCAGUAUUUGCCAAUCUGCAUAAUCUUGAAGUGCUCAGUCUUGUUGGCAAUUCUUUUGAGGGGCCAUUUCCGCCGGAUGUAGUCCAGCUUUCCAAAUUAAAACGUCUCUUCCUGUCAGGUAACAAAUUUUCAGGUUCAAUUCCCAAUGACAUAAGGUUGCUUUGUGAUCUUGAAUACCUAUAUUUAGGCAACAAUUCCUUUGAAGGACCGCUUCCACCAAAUAUAUUCAAGCUUUCAAAAUUAAAAAAUCUUGUUAUUUGGAGUAAUAAGUUUUCAGGUUCUAUUUCCAAUGAUAUAGGUUUGCUUUCUGAGCUUGACACCCUCAAUCUUCGCUCUAAUUUUUUUAAGGGUCCGCUUCCGUCAAAUAUAUUCAAGCUUUCCAAAUUAACAAGUCUUGACCUCGCAGACAAUAGAAAUUUAUUUGAAGGAAGUAUUCCUAUUGGACUGGGACUCUUGACUAACCUCAGGUUCUUAGAUCUACAUUCCAGUAAUCUCAGUGGCUAUAUUCCAUCUGACAUUGGAAACCUGAAGCUACUAGUACUUCUUAAUCUCGGUUCUAAUAAAUUGACUGGACCGCUUUUAAAGAUCGUUUCUAAUCUCACAAAUCUUAUAUAUUUUGAUGUAAGUGAUAAUAGUCUUCGUGGAAAUAUUCAGAGUGACUUGUGGAUAUAUAACGAUCAUCCAACUUUGGAAUACAUCAAUUUAAGUGGGAACCAUUUUACGGGUAUAGUUUUUCUCUAUAGAUCUUUUCCUUUUGUCAUAUGUAACUAAGCUAGUAAUCUGGUUAUUGCAGUUUUACCAAAGUUUCAACAAUCUUGACAGGUGAGCUUCCAACAACAAUUUGCAAUGUCACUUCCCUUUCAAUUCUUGAUUUGUCAAAUAAUGAAUUAAGUGGUGCACUUCCAAACUGUUUCGGGAAUCUUGCUGAUGGAUUGCUUUACAUUAAUCUUGCUAAUAAUCAGUUUCGAGGAACAAUACCAACUACUUUCUCCAGGAGUUGUCAGCUGACAUAUCUAAACAUGGAUGAUAAUGAGUUUGAAGGAUUGUUGCCCCCAUCUUUGGCGAACUGUAAGCACUUGAAAAUUUUUGAUAUUGGCAAUAAUAAAAUAGGUGGUACAUUUCCGUCAUGGCUUUAUGCACUUGGAGAGCUAGAAGUCCUUGUCUUGCGAUCAAAUAAACUCUGUGGUACAAUAAGUGGAAGGAGCAUAGAAGAUCCCUUCCCCAAGUUGCGGAUUGUGGAUCUGUCCAACAACCACUUCACAGGCCAUUUGCCAAUUCAAUACUUUAAGAAUAUGAAAUCAACUGAUAAUUUGUAUAGUUAUCAGCUUUUCACAGCAGUUUUUUCUUUCCAUUAUGAAGCAGCAGUCUCAUUAAUUGUGAAGGGAACAGAGUAUGAAGUGGCAAAUAACCUUCAUAUUUACACAGCCAUUGAUCUGUCGUGCAACAAAUUUCAGGGAGAAAUUCCAAAGGUUACUGGAGAGCUUAGAUGGCUUGCAUUGCUCAACUUAUCUCAUAAUAGUCUAACAGGACCUAUCCCAUCAUUGCUGGGAAAUAUGAAAGAACUCCAAUCUUUAGAUUUGUCUUCAAAUCAACUGACAGGGGCCAUUCCACCUCAGCUAACUGCAUUGACAUUUCUAGAGGUCUUAAACCUCUCGGGAAACCAUCUUAGUGGAGAGAUUCCUCAGAAAGGACAGUUCAGCACAUUUAACAAUGAUUCUUAUCUAGGAAACUCCGCGUUAUGUGGAUCACCUUUGACGAAGAAAUGUGCAAACACAGCAUCACCUCCACAAGAAGUCGGAAAUGGUGAUGAAGANGAUUUGUCUUCAAAUCAACUGACAGGGGCCAUUCCACCUCAGCUAACUGCAUUGACAUUUCUAGAGGUCUUAAACCUCUCGGGAAACCAUCUUAGUGGAGAGAUUCCUCAGAAAGGACAGUUCAGCACAUUUAACAAUGAUUCUUAUCUAGGAAACUCCGCGUUAUGUGGAUCACCUUUGACGAAGAAAUGUGCAAACACAGCAUCACCUCCACAAGAAGUCGGAAAUGGUGAUGAAGAAGAUGGUGGUGAUGAAUUGACAUGGGAAGCAAUCGUGAUGGGAUAUGGAUGUGGACUGAUAUGUGGAUUGUCAUCGGCAUACAUUGUUCUCAAACUAGGAAAGCCUUGGUGGUUUGUGAGAUAUAUCGAAGUACUGCAACAGAAGUUGAUGAAAAGAUGCUUGAAGAAAGGUACUGGUCGAUCAAGACGAACUUGAAAGUUGUUGUCCAUGUGGACAUUUCUGAACCAGUAGUGUACUAGCUGCAUAAGUAUUUGGUAUUAUGUAAUAUUCUGUUUGGUGGGGAAUCAUAAUAAUUUUUCUUCCUGUAGGGGUAUUAAUAUUAACCUUGUUAUCUUGAUCAAUGUUAAUGCAAAUUAAAAUGAAUGAAAAAACAAAAAAUAUGCAUCAAAUCCACUCCUGCUGUACCAAGAUCCAUUAAUUUGCUUUGGUCUUUUACAUAACAAUUUAACAGCGCACUUCCCCACUGUUUGAAAGAAUUUAAUAAUAAACUCGAGUUUUCCAGGACUGCACCAAGUUCACAUAUUCAAUAUCACACAUUCCAGUCUCAGCUUCAGCUCCCAGGGUAGAAGAGAAGUUUUAUGUACAAUAACAGUUAAUUACCAUAGCUACUUUAGUCUUGGUUCAGUUUUUGCAGAGAUAAUUACCAGAUUUUGAAAUCCUUCAUGUGAGGAAACAAAUAUCGAGAGACAUUUCUGUUUACAAAUAUAGGUUUUCUAGACAUAAUUACAGGAACUUUUACCAUUAUACACUUUUAUAGUACUGGUUAAGAGUUUGUUGUUCAGCCUAGUGAAAGAAAUAAUUCCUCUGCUAUUUCAUUAACAUUGCUGGUAUAUAUACAAUGUACAACACACCCUUCAAGGCUAUAAUCAGGGAACCUAAAAUAUAUCCAAAACUAAUCAUAGAAACAGACUAACUAAUUACAAUAAAUCAUAUCCAGAAAUAUCUCCACAGAUGUCGCAUAGAUAUCUUUAACACACCCCCUCAGUCGAAGCGGGAGGUAAACGAACACUGAGACUGUCUCUGAAGUCUUCAAAAAGAACACGCGGAAGACCUUUUGUAAAAAUAUCUGCUACUUGAUAUCUGGAUGGCACAUGAAGAACCCGUACUUCACCUCGUGCAACUUUUUCCCGAACAAAGUGAAUAUCCAUCUCAAUGUGUUUAGUACGUUGGUGUUGUACUGGAUUACCCGAUAAAUAAAUAGCACUGACAUUGUCGCAAUACACCACAGUUGCCUUUGUAACUGGACAAUGCAAUUCCAACAACAGAUUUCGGAGCCAACAUGAUUCAGAGACCACAUUAGCUACACCCCUAUACUCGGCCUCUGCACUGGAUUUGGAAAGAGUCGGUUGUCGCUUAGAAGACCAGGAAAUCAAGUUGUCACCCAAAAACACACAAUACCCAGAUGUAGACCGCCUCGUGUCGGGGCACCCACCCCAGUCAGCGUCAGUAUAUGAAACAAGAGAGGACUGUGAAGAGGAAUAGAGAUGUAAACCAUAGUCCUGUGUUCCUUGAAUGUACCUAAUGAUUCUUUUAAGAGCUUGCAUAUGAGUAACCCGUGGAUCAUGCAUGUGCAGACAUACUUGUUGAACCGCAUAAGAAAUAUAUGGACGUGUGAAAGUCAGAUAUUAAAGUGCCCCAGCAAGACUCCGAUACAAUGAAGGAUUCUCAAACACAGAACCAACAGACGCACUAACCUUGGCCUUCGUAUCAACUGGUGUAGGUGAUGAUUUACAAGAGGACAUGCCAGCCCUCUCAAUUAUCUGUUGUGCAUAAUUCUUCUGUGACAGAAACAUGCCAGCCUUAUGACGAGUGACUGAUAUACCAAGAAAAGAACUCAAGGGGCCAAGAUCCUUCAUAGCAAAUUCUGAACUAAGAAGCUUUAUAAUCGAGACACGGAGAUCAUCAGACGACGCAGUGAGAAUUAUGUCAUCGACGUAAACCAGAAUAUAGGCCAUGUGAGAACCGUUGCGAUAAACGAAUAAUGAGGUGUCACAUUUGCUUCUAAUGAAACCAAUAGACAGAACAAAAUCAGCAAACUUCUCAGACCAAGUCCGGGGGGACUGCCUCAGGCCAUAAAUUGAUUUACGUAACAAACACACAUAAUCCGGAUGAGCACGAUCACGAUACCCCAAAGGUUGAUGCAUAUAUAUUGUUUCCUUUAAGUCACCAUGAAGGAAGGCAUUCUUUACAUCUAGCUGAUGAAUUGACCAGCCAUUCGAAAGAGAGAGAGAAAGCACUGUGCGGAUUGUAGCUGGUUUCACUACCGAGCUAAAAGUUUCGCCACAAUCAAUACCCACCAGCUGAGUUUUUCCAUUUCCGACAAGGCGAGCUUUAUGCCUCUGAAACACACCAUCCGAAUUUUCUUUAUGAGCAAAAACCCACAUAGACCGAAUAACAUUAACAUCAGGUGGACGGGGCACCAAAUCCCAUGUCUUAUUUUGAAUAAGUGCAUUAUACUCCUCAUCCAUGGCUAUUUUCCAAUUCGGGUCCCGAAGAGCAUCAACAGGGCUAUGUGGUAAAGGUGACCGAGGAGCUGUUGUGUUAUAUGCAUGAUCAGAAUAUCGCAUAUUUGGUUUAAAAAUACCUCGUUGGCUCCUGGUAACCAUUGGGUGCUGGUUUAUAGGAGUAGGGGAAGAUGUUGAUGUUUGUGGACUCGAGGAGGAAGAUGAACUCAAUGAGGAGGGAGAUGGCGACGUUGAUGAAAGUAAGGGAGAGGAGGAUUGGUUUGAGAGUACUGGACUCGGUGAAAGAGAAUGAGGAGAACUCCCAGGGGAAGGUGAGAAACUACCAUGUCGUGUCUCAUGUGUGUGAGUACUGUCUGGGUGAGCAGACACAGACACAGAAGGACUUUGAUUUUGCAGAUGAUACACUGAAUAAGGUGAUAAGCCAUCUGCUAAAAAAUCAUAGGUAGAAGUGGAUGAAUCAUGUAACUUAGCAAACGGAAACACAUGCUCGUCAAAUAACACAUGGCGACAAAUUAUAAUCUGUGCUGUGAUGAUAAAUCAUAACAUUUGUAACCACGGUGAUUAGCCGGAAACCCCAAGAAAACACAAGGUGUUGAACGAGAUUGCAAUUUAUUAAUUGUGGUAGAGGGAAUGAGAGGAUAGCACAAGCAACCAAAGACCCGAAUGUGAGAAAAUGAGGGAACCCGUUGAUAUAGGAUUUCAAGAGGUGAUAAAUUGCCUAAGACCUUGUUCGGAAGAACAUUUAGAAGAUAGGUGGCCAUUUGUAAUGCAUGAUUCCAAAAAGAUGAAGGAAGAGAUGCAUGAGCUAAGAGUGUUCGAGUGACAUUAUUAAUAGUUCGAAUUUUUCUUUCUGCUUUCCCAUUUUGAGAAGAAGUAUGAGGACAAGACAACCGAAAAGUCAUGCCAUUGUUCUUAAAAAAAUCCCAGAAAUGAUGAUUAGUAAAUUCCCUCCCAUUAUCGCAUUGCACAUUUUUAAUGGUACACUCGAAUUGGGUGAGAAUAUGAUUGUGAAACGCCACAAAUUUAUCAAAGACAUCAGAUUUCUUAGCAAUUGGAAAAGUCCAAAGAAAAUUGGAGAAAUCAUCUAAUAACACAAGAUAGUACUUAUGACCCAUAGUACUCAAAACCGGAGAUGUCCAAAGAUCACAAUGAAUUAUAUCAAAUGGCUUUAAAGUACUUGAACUAGACGAAACAAAUGGCAUCUUGAUAUGUUUUCCAAACACACAAGAUCGACAAAUGCUAGAAUGUGAAAGCUUAGAACAAUGAAUGCUUUUAUUGAGUCGAAGAGCAUCCAAAACUUGUGCACCGGGAUGGCCUAAACGAUCAUGCCAAAGAGAGGAAUUGAUGGCUGCAAAAGUAGAAUGAAGAGCUCGAUUGUUGAUAGAUUGUGUAAGAGGAUAAAGAUCGCCUUGGCUCUCACAUCUCAUUAUUAGCACUCACGUCUGUAAAUCCUUCACAGAAAACCCAAAAGGAUCAAAUUCCACCGUAACAGAAUUAUCAGUGGUAAAUUUGCGAACAGAAAUAAGGUUUUUAACAAUUUUGGGAGCGUGGAGGACAUUUUUAAGGGACAAAGGAAGGCCAGGAGAUGGUAAUGCAGUAUGACCAUAUCCUUGAAUUGAAAUAAUAUUGCCAUCACCCACAACAAUGCCAUUAUGAUGAGAAUUAUGUUGAUUGCUCAAAUUAACAUAGGACGAGAAAUUACCAUUUGAGGAUGUCAUAUGAGAUGUAGCACCAGUAUCCAUGUACCACGACGGAUCAGGUUGAUUGAGAGUCAUGGUAUGCAUUGCAGAUUCAAUAUCCGUUGGAACAAAAGAAGCUGACUGCCCAACCGUUGUUCCUGUGAAAGCCUGCUGUGGUCGAGGACCAAGAACUCCAGGCUGUGGUUGUUGAACUCCCGUGGAACGGGGCUGAGUCCAGCCCUGAGUUGGGAAUGGACAAGGGGGAGCGGACCAUCCCUGCAUCCAAGGUGGAGCAGCCAAGAUUGGAAAUAACCCGGUGCCCACUGUUGUGAACCCCAUUGCAUCCUAUUCUGUUGUUGUCCACCACCACGGCCUUGACCCAUACGACCCCCACCAGAACCACGACCUCCACCUGAACCAGAUCGUUUAUUAUUUUUCCUGUGGUUAUUAUGCUUAUUGCCACGGGGAGGUGCGGAUCCCUGAUUCGAGCCUGUGUCGUCAAAAUCCGUCUGUGAGGCAACCAACAUUGCAGAGUCAGACCCUGUGGCAGCUUCUUUUGCUAAAGCAGCCUCCUCUAAUGUUAACAUAGACCGGGCUUGAUAGAAUUGUGGGAGAGGGUCACUCUGUCGAAUUAAGGUCCCAACACCACGGUAUGCCCUUGGAAGGCCGGAAACCAGUUGAAUAACAAGUCUACUAUCCGAGAUUGGUGCACCAACAUUUUUCAGUUGAUCAGCAAGAGAUUUGAGACGCUGACAGUAAGCCGAAACAUUCGGAAAAUUCUCCAUUUUUGUACUGGAGAAUUCAGCCUCCAAAGUUACCACACGGGAAUUCUUGUUGUCCUGGAAUAUGUCACGCAACCUGUUCCAUGCCUCCAUAGCAGUGGCAUCUGGUUCAAUGAUCGUAUGUAAAAGAUCAUUGGAGAUAGUCGCAUAAAUCCAAGACAGAACCGUAGCAUCAAGCGUCGACCACAAUUCCUUUUCAUCCUCAGUAGAAAGAACCUUCUCUUUGCCUGUGGCAGGAGGAAUAAUAUGAGAAAGCACCUUAUGAGAACGUGCGGUAAUUUUGAAAAGCUCCGCCCAUGUCGAGUAUUGACCAUUCUCCAUCUCAAGAAUAAUGGGGAUAUGAUUGCGGAUAUUUGACACCGCAAGAGCUGGAUGAAAGGAGCUCUUGUUACCAGACAUUGGCUGCUGAUUAGUUGUAUCAGUCAUGAUAAUGAGAAAAGAAAAGAAGAUGAGUGCUUAGCGGAAGAAAAGAAAGAAAGAAAGAUCGUGGUAUUGCCUUAAGGCUCUGAUACCAUGAAAGAAAUAAUUCCUCUGCUAUUUCAUUAACAUUGCUGGUAUAUAUACAAUGUACAACACACCCUUCAAGGCUAUAAUCAGGGAACCUAAAAUAUAUCCAAAACUAAUCAUAGAAACAGACUAACUAAUUACAAUAAAUCAUAUCCAGAAAUAUCUCCACAGAUGUCGCAUAGAUAUCUUUAACACCUAGUCCUAAACUAAAAUUAUCAGUUCGAUGUGAAAUACGAAAUCAUAUUGCAGACGUCAUUCGUUGUUCCACCUAGUCCAAAACUACUCUAAAACUAUAUUGCUGGUAGUCUUUCAGUUCAUCCUACUGUAUGCAAUAGUUUCAUAUAUAGGUAACUCGGCCUUGUGUGGACUUCCUUUAACAAAAAAAUGUCUGCACUCAGUGUCACCACCACUGGAAGUCGAAAAUAGUGAUGAUGAAGAUGAUGCUCAUGGUGAACUUAAUUGGGAAGUAAUCCUGACGGGAUGUGGAUGUGGAUUGAUUUGCGGAUUGUCUUCUGGGUACAUUGUUUUCAAAAUAGAAAGGCCUUGGUGAUUUCUGCAAAGUGCUGCAACUUAAGUUGAUGUUACGAAGCACGAAAAAUAUUGUUCGACCAAGAUCAACAACUUGAAAAUGUGUUCUGAAUCUGUAUUAAUAUUAAAAUAUUAUAAUAUUAUUCAUUUAACACUAUCGUCCAAUCAAUUUAAUUGAUUAUCAUUUAAUCAAUAUAUUAGAUAAAUAUUAAUUGUCUUCCUUACCUCUAACCAAUGAUGAAAUUAAUAACCUCCCUAUAAAUCUAUUAAGACAGCUUUGAGUUGUCAAAGUCCUCAAACAUAUUAAACACUUUGAAAAAUUUGUUUCUGCAAGUCAAAAUUGCAAACAACACUUUGAAAACUUAGGUGCCGAAUAGUCCUUAUAUUGGAUUAAUCAGAUUUAAAUAUUUAAUGGCGCUAACAAAAUCUGUUGAAGUUAGCAGUUAUAAGGCAUAUAAUUAGAAAAAUGGCACAGUAUAUAAAGCCUCAUCAUCUUUUUCACUCUGUUUUAUUUCUCUCAUUACUUCCAUCCAUUCUUACAACACUAGCUGAAACAAGACGAGAGGGAGAAGCUCUUGUGAAAUGGAAGAAUAGCCUAGCCCCGUCUUCUUUUCUCGAUACUUGGUCACUAACCAAUCUCGAUGAUCUUUGCAACUGGACUGGCAUUACUUGUAACUCUGCAGGUUCAGUCUCUGAGAUUAACCUUAAACAAAAACAACUCAGUGGAACGAUUUCUGAGUUUGGUUUCACUUCAUUUCCAAAUCUCAACAAUCUGAACAUAGCACGAAACAACUUUUACGGUCCAAUACCACCAGCCAUUAAGAAUUUGACACAGCUUCAAUACCUUGAUUUAAGCUUUAAUCAUCUCAACGGUUCCAUCCCGUACCAGGUUAGCCAUCUUCAGAAAUUACAAAUCUUACACCUGUCGCAUAAUGAAUUGCAAGCUCCAAAUUGGUCCAAUUUCUCUUCCAUGCCUUUUUUGCGCAUCCUCGGCCUCGGCAGCAAUAAUCUGGAGUCAGAAUUCCCAGAAUUUAUAUCCAACUCUCAUGGCCUCACUUUCCUUGACCUUUCUUUUAACAAGUUUACAGGUGAUCUUGUGCAUGAAUCAAUUUUUACCGAUCUACGUAAUCUCGAAAACCUCCAUCUUGCUAAAAAUUACUUUGAGGGGCCGAUUCUACCUAGUAUAUUUAAGCUUUCCAAUUUAAAAAUUCUUGAACUAUCAGGUAAUAAAUUUUCUGGUUCUAUUUCCAACUAUAUAGGUUUGCUUUCGGAGCUUGAGACCCUCUAUCUUGACUUCAAUUUUUUUGAAGGACCAAUUCCACCAAAUAUAUUCAACCUUUCUAAACUAAAAAUUCUUGAACUAACAGGUAAUAACUUUUCAGGUCCUGUUUCUAAUGAUAUAAGUUUGCUUUCCGAGCUUGAAAACCUCAAUCUUGCCUUAAAUUCUUUUGAUGGGCCUUUUCCAUCAAAUAUGUUCAACCUAACCAUAUUGAGACAUCUAAAUCUCUAUGGCAAUAAAAAUUUAUUUAAAGGAAGUAUCCCACUGGAUAUCAAAAUAAGUCACAAGGACUAAUUAAUUACAUCUAUGAAGCAUCUAUCUCCUUAAAUGUGAAAGGAACAGAGUAUGAAGUGAAAAACAUUCUUCAUAUUUACACAACCAUUGAUCUGUCAUGCAACAAAUUUCAUGGACAUGUUCCAAAGAGAGCUUAAUUAAAUGGCUUGCAUUGCUCAAUCUAUCUCAUAAUAGUCUUAACAGACAUAUGUUCUGCAUUAUUAUUAUACUUUCAUCAAUAUUUUUAAACANAACAAAAACAACUCAGUGGAACGAUUUCUGAGUUUGGUUUCACUUCAUUUCCAAAUCUCAACAAUCUGAACAUAGCACGAAACAACUUUUACGGUCCAAUACCACCAGCCAUUAAGAAUUUGACACAGCUUCAAUACCUUGAUUUAAGCUUUAAUCAUCUCAACGGUUCCAUCCCGUACCAGGUUAGCCAUCUUCAGAAAUUACAAAUCUUACACCUGUCGCAUAAUGAAUUGCAAGCUCCAAAUUGGUCCAAUUUCUCUUCCAUGCCUUUUUUGCGCAUCCUCGGCCUCGGCAGCAAUAAUCUGGAGUCAGAAUUCCCAGAAUUUAUAUCCAACUCUCAUGGCCUCACUUUCCUUGACCUUUCUUUUAACAAGUUUACAGGUGAUCUUGUGCAUGAAUCAAUUUUUACCGAUCUACGUAAUCUCGAAAACCUCCAUCUUGCUAAAAAUUACUUUGAGGGGCCGAUUCUACCUAGUAUAUUUAAGCUUUCCAAUUUAAAAAUUCUUGAACUAUCAGGUAAUAAAUUUUCUGGUUCUAUUUCCAACUAUAUAGGUUUGCUUUCGGAGCUUGAGACCCUCUAUCUUGACUUCAAUUUUUUUGAAGGACCAAUUCCACCAAAUAUAUUCAACCUUUCUAAACUAAAAAUUCUUGAACUAACAGGUAAUAACUUUUCAGGUCCUGUUUCUAAUGAUAUAAGUUUGCUUUCCGAGCUUGAAAACCUCAAUCUUGCCUUAAAUUCUUUUGAUGGGCCUUUUCCAUCAAAUAUGUUCAACCUAACCAUAUUGAGACAUCUAAAUCUCUAUGGCAAUAAAAAUUUAUUUAAAGGAAGUAUCCCACUGGAUAUCAAAAUAAGUCACAAGGACUAAUUAAUUACAUCUAUGAAGCAUCUAUCUCCUUAAAUGUGAAAGGAACAGAGUAUGAAGUGAAAAACAUUCUUCAUAUUUACACAACCAUUGAUCUGUCAUGCAACAAAUUUCAUGGACAUGUUCCAAAGAGAGCUUAAUUAAAUGGCUUGCAUUGCUCAAUCUAUCUCAUAAUAGUCUUAACAGACAUAUGUUCUGCAUUAUUAUUAUACUUUCAUCAAUAUUUUUAAACAUUUCUCAAUAUGUAUUUUCAAAGAAUUCUCAAGCACUUGAACAUUUGGACCGGUUCUUUCGAAGCCAAGAUGCCCAGGUUAUAUCAUGGCCAUACACAAAAAUGCCCAAAAAUAAAUAAAUUAAGAGAGAUUGCUCUGGGUCUCCCCAAGCCUUCCAGGACUCAUUCCAAGUCUUCUGAGGACCACUGCCUCGCCCUUUCAAAGACGUGAUAGUAGCUCAAGAGUGAUAUAAAUUACUUUCCGGACACUAAAAAUAAAUAAUCCGAUCAAAUUAAUUAAUAAUAAAUUAAGGAUGAAAUCCAAAUUAGUCCUAAAUUUUGAUAAUAUAUAAAAAUUAUAAUUAUAAAUUAUAUAACCAAAUGAGAAUUGAAUUAACUUACUUGGUACUAAAAUUGAUAAAUACAGUAUAGUAAUUUAAUUGAUGAAAAGUCAAAGUCUUCUAAUAAAUCCAUAAAGAAUAUGAAAAUCAAAAUAACGAAAAUUAUAAUUGAAAAAUCAAAAUCAAUAGUGUAUUGGAAUAUUGUUCACACACUUAUAUAUCAAAAUUUGUGGUCCAAAAAUUAUAGCACAAUAUCCUAAAUACACCACAUUAAAUAAUAGUUCAAAAAUAUUCAAUAAAUAAUUGUUUUCAUUCAUAAUUUUGUUAUUUUAAAAACUAAUAAUUUGGUUGAUGUUAACCUAUAUUUUAAUAUAUAAUUAUAUUAUUUUCAUGUUAUUUUAUUUAACCAAAAACAAUAUUUUUAUAAUAUUUAUUACAUUAAUUAUAUUAAAAGAUAUAAUUUCAUUAAAAAAAUUGAAUAAAAUUAAGAGGAUAACUCUAUGCCUCUCCAAGUCUACAAGACUCAUUUCAAGUCUACCGAGGACCACUACCAUUGAGAGAUGUGAAAGUAGUUUGAGAGUGACAUAAAUUAUUUUCCUGACAAUAAAAUGUAAUAUCUAAUAUAAAUUAAUUAAAUUAGAUAAUAAUAAAUCAAAACUAAUCAUGAAUUAUGAUAAUAAUUAAAUAAAUUAUAAUUAAAUUAUAUAAAUCAACUCCAAAUGAUACAAAUAACACUAAACCUUAGUUACUUUAUUGGUAAAAUAAAUAUAAUAUAAUAAUUAAAUUGAUGAAAAAUCAAAAUCAUCUAAUAAAUUCACAAAAAAUAUAUGAUCAUUAGUAUAUUAUAUCAGUAUCCACACACUUAUAUUUCAAAAUCUAUCCUACAAAAUUAUCAUCUCUGUAAACUAGCCACAAAAAAUAAAAAUUUAAAGAUAUUAGAUAUUUAGUUAUUUUCAUUAUAUAAUUUUUCCACACUAAAUAACAAAAUAUCUUUAUCAAAUUAUUAUUUAUGAAUUAAAUAUUCAAGUUAUAAUUCCAGCAUGCAGCGUAUAAAUAGAAGUGUGCAGUAUGAUAUCAGAUUCAUAACCCAGUUGAGGAGAAACAUGGCACACUCUGUGAAGCCUUCUCACCUUCUUCUCUUUGUUUUCUUUCUCUCAUCACUUGAAUCCAUUCUUGCAACAACACGAGAGGGAGAAGCUCUUGUGAAAUGGAAGAAUAGCCUAGCCCCUUCUUCUUUUCUCGACUCUUGGUCCCUCACCAAUCUCGAUAAUCUUUGUAACUGGACUGCCAUUACUUGUAACUCUGCAGGUUCAGUCUCUAAGAUUAACCUUUUUGAGAAACAACUUAAUGGAAUGCUGUCCGAGUUCGGUUUCACUUCAUUUCCAAAUCUCAACUAUCUCACACUCGCAGACAACUUCUUCUCGGGUCCGAUACCACCAGCCAUUGAGAAUUUAACACAGCUUCAAUAUCUUGAUUUAAGCAUGAAUAGUCUUAAUGGUCCCAUUCCGUUCCAGGUUAGCCAUCUUCAGAGCUUGCUCAUCUUGAACCUGUCACAGAAUGCAUUGCAAGCUCCAAAUUGGUCCCAUUUCUCUCCCAUGCCUUUCUUGCGCAUCCUCGACCUUAGUUUUAAUAAUCUUGUGUCGAAAUUCCCAGAAUUUAUAUCCAAUUCUCAUAGCCUGACUCACCUUAACCUUUCAAAUAACAAGUUUACUGGUCAUCUUGUGCAUAAAUUUACCAAUCUACAAAAUCUUGAAACCCUCUACCUUCAGAUCAAUUCUUUUGAGGGGCCGUUUCCACCAGAUAUAGUCCAGCUUUCCAAAUUAAAACGACUCUCCCUGUCAUGUAACAAAUUUUCAGGUUCAAUUCCCAAUGACGUAAGGUUGCUUUUUGGUCUUGAAUCCCUAAAUUUAGGCAACAAUUCCUUUGAAGGACCGCUUCCACCAGAUAUAUUCAAGCUUUCAAAGUUAAAACGACUUGUUCUUUGGAGUAAUAAGUUUUCAGGUUCUGUUUCCAAUGAUAUAGGUUUGCUUUCUAAUCUUGAACACCUCGAUCUUGACUCUAAUUUUUUUGAGGGGCCGUUUCCGUCAAAUAUAUUCAAGCUCAGAUUAAAAAUUCUAAACCUCUCAAACAAUAGAAAUUUAUUUCAAAGAAGUUUUCCUAUUGGACUGGAACUCUUGAGUAACCUCAGCUACUUAGGUCUACAUUCCAGUAAUCUCAGUGGCAAUAUUCCAUCUUACAUUGGAAACCUGAAGCUACUAGAAUUUCUUGAUCUCGGUUCUAAUCAAUUGACUGGACCGCUUUCCAAGAUCGUUUAUAAUCUCACAAAUCUUAUACUUCUUGAUGUAAGUUAUAAUAGUCUUCAUGGAAAUAUUCAGAGUGACUUGUGGCAAUAUAACGAUCAUCCAACUUUGGAAUACAUGAGUUUGAGUGGGAACUAUUUUACGGGUAUAGUUUUUCUCUAUAGAUCUUUUCUUUUGUCAUAUGUAACUAAGCUACUAAUCUGAUUAAUUGCAGUUUUACCAAAGUUUCAACAAUCUUGACAGGUGAGCUUCCAACAACAAUUUGCAAUGUCACUUCCCUUUCGGUUCUUGAUUUGUCAAAUAAUGAAUUAAGUGGUGCACUUCCAAACUGUUUCGGGAAUCUUGCUGAUAGAUUGCUUUUCAUUAAUCUUGCUAAUAAUCAGUUUCGAGGAACAAUACCAACUACUUUCUCCAGGAGUUGUCAGCUCAAAUAUCUAAACAUGGAUAAUAAUGAGUUUGAAGGAUUGUUGCCCCCGUCUUUGGAAAACUGUAAGCACUUGAGAAUUCUUGAUAUUGGCAAUAAUAAAAUAGGUGGUACAUUUCCGUCAUGGCUUUAUGUACUUGGAGAGCUAGAAGUCCUUCUCUUGCGAUCAAAUAAACUCUAUGGCACAAUAAGUGGAAGGAGCAUAGAAGAUCCCUUCCCCAAGUUGCGGAUUGUGGAUCUGUCCAACAAUCAAUUCACAGGCCAUUUGCCAAUUCAAUACUUUAAGAAUAUGAAAUCAACUGAUAAUUUGUAUCGUUUCCAGGAUGGCAAAGGAGUUUUUUGUUUCCGUUAUGAAGCAUCUGUCUCAUUAACUGUGAAGGGAACAGAGUAUGAAGUGAAAAAAAUCCUUCAUAUUUACACAACCAUUGAUCUGUCCUGCAACAAAUUUCAAGGAGAAAUUCCAGACGUUAUUGGAGAGCUUAGAUGGCUUGCAUUGCUCAACUUAUCUCAUAAUAGUCUAACAGGACCUAUCCCAUCAUUGCUGAGGAAUAUGAAAGAACUCCAAUCUUUAGAUUUGUCUUCAAAUCAACUGACAGGGGCUAUUCCACCUCAGUUAACUGCAUUGACAUAUCUAGAGGUCUUGAACCUCUCGGGAAACCAUCUUAGUGGAGAGAUUCCUCAGAAAGGACAGUUCAGCACAUUCAACAAUGAUUCUUAUCUUGGAAACUCCGCGUUAUGUGGAUCACCUUUGACGAAGAAAUGUGCAAACACAGCAUCACCUCCACAAGAAGUCGGAAAUGGUGAUGAAGAUGAUGCUGGUGAUGAAUUGACAUGGGAAGCAAUCGUGAUGGGAUAUGGAUGUGGACUGAUAUGUGGAUUGUCAUCUGCAUACAUUGUUCUCAAACUAGGAAAGCCUUGGUGGUUUGUGAGAUAUGUCGAAGUACUGCAACUGAAGUUGAUGAAAAGAUAUGCUUGAAGAAUGGUACUGGCCGAUCAAGACGAACUUGAAAGUUGUUGUCCUUGUGCAUUUCUGAACCAGUUGUGUACUAUUCUCUUUGUGGCUGCAUAAGUAUUUGGUAUUGUGUAAUAUUCUGUUUGGUCUUGAAUCAUAAUGAUUCUUCUUGCUCCAGGGUUAUUAAUAUAAACCUUGGUAUUGUGUGCUAGCUGUAAUAUUCUGUUUGAUCAAUGUUUAUACCAGUAAUUUUAUGCUCCGCAGUGCAUCAUGCAGCUCUCAUAUUAUCUCUAUGAUUAACCUGAAUUCAGUUUCAUUUUGUUUCCGAAUCUCAACUACUUCAACUUGAGCUACAAUAGCUUCACUGGUCUAAUACCCCCAGAUAUUGAAAAUUUAACAGAGCUGCAAUACCUUGAUUUUAGCUCUAAUAAACUCACUGGUGCAAUUCCGGACCAGGUAAGCCAUCUUCAAACAUUGCGAACCUUAAACCUGUUGGAUAAUCACUUGGAAGCUCCAAACUGGUCCGCUUUUUCCCCUCUGCCUUCUCUGACAAACCUCUGUCUCAAUAAUAAUAAUCUUUCGUCGAAAUUCCCAGACUUCAUAUCAAAUUACAUCUUUUAUACGAUAUAUUAUGAAAACACUAUAUUUUGUAAUGUUCAUCUUAUCCUACCAGCAAAAUUACAUCGCUAACAAAAUUAUAUCAAUUUUAUUUUAUAAACUCAAAUAAUUUAAUUUAUGAAACAACUCUAUGAGAUUCUUAUCAUGAGUUAGAAUUCAAAUAAAUAAAGAGUUCAUAUUGAUAAGUGGAAUUGAUGUGCAAGUAAGGGGUAUAAAAAAAUCUCAAAAUAACUCCAAAAAGCACAUGACAUGUUUGAUUUAAUAGAACUGGUACAUAAACAGGGGGACCAUUAUAUUUAUAAGCAAGUGACCAACAAUAGUUUACUACUGAUAUUUUGUGAUAUUUUUUGUGAUAUUUUUUGAGACCUUUAACAUUAUUCUGUGAAGUGGUAUACUACUGUUACUAGUUCUGAAACUUCAAACAAAGUAGGCGCAACAUUGUAAGAGUGAUUAAUAAAGUUGAGAAACAGUGUGUACAUUGAGCAGUAUGACAAUCAGGUUCAGCAUAUAAUACAAUCAGAUUCACAAUCAGGUUCACGAGAAACAUGCUGCAUUCCAAAAAGCCUUAUUAUCUUCUUCACUAAAUAACAAGGCAAAUACAGCAUAUAAAUACAAGUGUGCAGUGUGGUAUUAGAUUCAUAACCCAGUUGAGGAGAAACAUGGCACACUUUGUAAGGCCUUCUCACCUUCUUCUCUUUGUUUUCUUUCUCUCAUCACUUGAAUCCAUUCUUGCAACAAGACAAGAGGGGGAAGCUCUUGUGAAGUGGAAGAAUAGCCUAGCCCCUUCUUCUUUUCUCCACUCUUGGUCACUCACCAAUCUCGAAAAUCUUUGNNNNNNNNNNNNNNNNNNNNNNNNNNNNNNNNNNNNNNNNNNNNNNNNNNNNNNNNNNNNNNNNNNNNNNNNNNNNNNNNNNNNNNNNNNNNNNNNNNNNNNNNNNNNNNNNNNNNNNNNNNNNNNNNNNNNNNNNNNNNNNNNNNNNNNNNNNNNNNNNNNNNNNNNNNNNNNNNNNNNNNNNNNNNNNNNNNNNNNNNNNNNNNNNNNNNNNNNNNNNNNNNNNNNNNNNNNNNNNNNNNNNNNNNNNNNNNNNNNNNNNNNNNNNNNNNNNNNNNNNNNNNNNNNNNNNNNNNNNNNNNNNNNNNNNNNNNNNNNNNNNNNNNNNNNNNNNNNNNNNNNNNNNNNNNNNNNNNNNNNNNNNNNNNNNNNNNNNNNNNNNNNNNNNNNNNNNNNNNNNNNNNNNNNNNNNNNNNNNNNNNNNNNNNNNNNNNNNNNNNNNNNNNNNNNNNNNNNNNNNNNNNNNNNNNNNNNNNNNNNNNNNNNNNNNNNNNNNNNNNNNNNNNNNNNNNNNNNNNNNNNNNNNNNNNNNNNNNNNNNNNNNNNNNNNNNNNNNNNNNNNNNNNNNNNNNNNNNNNNNNNNNNNNNNNNNNNNNNNNNNNNNNNNNNNNNNNNNNNNNNNNNNNNNNNNNNNNNNNNNNNNNNNNNNNNNNNNNNNNNNNNNNNNNNNNNNNNNNNNNNNNNNNNNNNNNNNNNNNNNNNNNNNNNNNNNNNNNNNNNNNNNNNNNNNNNNNNNNNNNNNNNNNNNNNNNNNNNNNNNNNNNNNNNNNNNNNNNNNNNNNNNNNNNNNNNNNNNNNNNNNNNNNNNNNNNNNNNNNNNNNNNNNNNNNNNNNNNNNNNNNNNNNNNNNNNNNNNNNNNNNNNNNNNNNNNNNNNNNNNNNNNNNNNNNAUUAAAACGUCUUUUUCUUUGGAGUAAUAAGUUUUCAGGUUCUGUUUCCAAUGAUAUAGGUUUGCUUUCUGAGCUUGAAUUUCUCAAUCUUUACGAUAAUUUUUUUGAGGGGCCGCUUCCAUGCAUCAAAUAUAUUCAAGCUCUCCAAAUUAAGGGUUCUUUACCUUAACGGUAAUAAACUUCUAGGUUCUCUUUCCAAUGAUAUAGGUUUGCUUUCUGAGCUUGAAAGCCUCGAUCUUAACUCCAAUUUUUUUGAGGGGCCGCUUCCGCCAAAUGUAUUCAAGCUCUCCAAACUAAAGAUUCUUUCCCUUUAUGAGAAUAACUUUUCAGGUUUUAUUUCUAAGGAUAUAGGUUUGCUUUCUGGACUUGAAACCCUCUAUCUUGACUCUAAUUUUUUUGAGGGUCCGCUUCCCCCACAUAUAUUUAGGCUGUCCAAAUUAAGAGAUCUGGACCUCUCAUACAGUAGAAAUUUAUUUGAAGGAAGUAUUCCUAUUGGACUGGGACUCUUGACUAACCUCAGGUACUUAGAUCUAUAUUCCAAUAAUCUCAGUGGCUAUAUUCCAUCUGACAUUGGAAACCUGAAGCUACUAGAAGGUCUUAUUCUCGGUUCUAAUAAAUUGACUGGACCAGUUUCAAAGAUCAUUUCUAAUCUCACAAAUCUUAUAUAUCUUGAUGUAAGUGAUAAUAGUCUUAGUGGAAAUAUUCAGAGUGACUUGUGGAAAUAUAACGAUCAUCCAACUUUGGAAUACAUCAAUUUAAGUGGGAACCAUUUUACGGGUAUAGUUUUUCUCUAUAGAUCUUUUCCUUUUCUCAUAUGUAACUAAGCUGGUAAUCUGAUUAUUGCAGUUUUACCAAAGUUUCAACAAUCUUGACAGGUGAGCUUCCAACAACAAUUUGCAAUGUCACUUCCCUUUCGGUUCUUGAUUUGUCAAAUAAUGCGUUAAGUGGUGCACUUCCAAACUGUUUCGGGAAUCUUGCUGAUGGAUUGCUUUACAUUAAUCUUGCUCAUAAUCAGUUUCGAGGAACAAUACCAACUACUUUCUCCAGGAGUUGUCAGCUGACAUAUCUGAACAUGGAUGAUAAUGAGUUUGAAGGAUUGAUGCCCCCAUCUUUGGCGAACUGUAAGCACUUGAAAAUUUUUGAUAUUGGCAAUAAUAAAAUAGGUGGUACAUUUCCGUCAUGGCUUUAUGUACUUGGAGAGCUAGAAGUCCUUGUCUUGAAAUCAAAUAAACUCUAUGGUACAAUAAGUGGAAGGAGCAGUGAAGAUCCCUUCCCCAAGUUGCGGAUUGUGGAUCUGUCCAACAAUCAAUUCACAGGCCAUUUGCCAAUUCAAUACUUUAAGAAUAUGAAAUCAACUGAUAAUUUGUAUCGUUAUCAGAAUGACACAAGAGUUUUUUCUUUCCAUUAUGAAGCAGCAGUCUCAUUAACUGUGAAGGGAACAGAGUAUGAAGUGAAAAAAAUCCUUCAUAUUUACACAACCAUUGAUCUGUCCUGCAACAAAUUUCAAGGAGAAAUUCCAGACGUUAUUGGAGAGCUUAGAUGGCUUGCAUUGCUCAACUUAUCUCAUAAUAGUCUAACAGGACCUAUCCCAUCAUUGCUGAGGAAUAUGAAAGAACUCCAAUCUUUAGAUUUGUCUUCAAAUCAACUGACAGGGGCUAUUCCACCUCAGUUAACUGCAUUGACAUAUCUAGAGGUCUUGAACCUCUCGGGAAACCAUCUUAGUGGAGAGAUUCCUCAGAAAGGACAGUUCAGCACAUUCAACAAUGAUUCUUAUCUUGGAAACUCCGCGUUAUGUGGAUCACCUUUGACGAAGAAAUGUGCAAACACAGCAUCACCUCCACAAGAAGUCGGAAAUGGUGAUGAAGAUGAUGCUGGUGAUGAAUUGACAUGGGAAGCAAUCGUGAUGGGAUAUGGAUGUGGACUGAUAUGUGGAUUGUCAUCUGCAUACAUUGUUCUCAAACUAGGAAAGCCUUGGUGGUUUGUGAGAUAUGUCGAAGUACUGCAACUGAAGUUGAUGAAAAGAUAUGCUUGAAGAAUGGUACUGGCCGAUCAAGACGAACUUGAAAGUUGUUGUCCUUGUGCAUUUCUGAACCAGUUGUGUACUAUUCUCUUUGUGGCUGCAUAAGUAUUUGGUAUUGUGUAAUAUUCUGUUUGGUCUUGAAUCAUAAUGAUUCUUCUUGCUCCAGGGUUAUUAAUAUAAACCUUGGUAUUGUGUGCUAGCUGUAAUAUUCUGUUUGAUCAAUGUUUAUACCAGUAAUUUUAUGCUCCACAGUGCAUCAUGCAGCUCUCAUAUUAUCUCUAUGAUUAACCUGAAUUCAGUUUCAUUUUGUUUCCGAAUCUCAACUACUUCAACUUGAGCUACAAUAGCUUCACUGGUCUAAUACCCCCAGAUAUUGAAAAUUUAACAGAGCUGCAAUACCUUGAUUUUAGCUCUAAUAAACUCACUGGUGCAAUUCCGGACCAGGUAAGCCAUCUUCAAACAUUGCGAACCUUAAACCUGUUGGAUAAUCACUUGGAAGCUCCAAACUGGUCCGCUUUUUCCCCUAUGCCUUCUCUGACAAACCUCUGUCUCAAUAAUAAUAAUCUUUCGUCGAAAUUCCCAGACUUCAUAUCAAAUUGUCGAAACCUGACUUACCUUGAUCUUUCAUUAAACUUGUUAACAGGUGAUUUGGUUCUUGGUAAUACGGAAUCGCUCUAUCACAGAAGUAAUUCUUUUGAGGGGUCAUUUCCACCAAAUAUAUUAAAACUUUCAAAAUUAAGAGUUCUUUCCCUAUCNCUUUCCCUAUCAUAUAAUAGAUUUUCAGGUUCUAUUCCGCAUGAUAUAGGAAUGCUUCGUGUUUUGGAAUCCCUUUUUUUUAGUAGCAGUUCUUUUGAUGGCCUGCUUUCACCAAAUUUAUUUAAGCUUCCAAAAUUAAAAGUUCUUUCCAUGUCAUUUAAUAACUUUUCGGGUUAUAUUCCAAAUGAAAUAGGAUUGCUUCAUGAUUUAGAGUCCCUUUAUUUUAAUGGAAAUUCUUUUGAGGCCGUUUCCACCAAAUAUAUUCAACCUUUCCAAAUUAAAAGUUCUUUACCUCUCAAAUAAUAACUUUUCAGGUUCUAUUCCUAAUGAUAUAAGUGUGCUUCGUGAUCUUGAGAUACUUGAUUUGUCCUCUAAUUCUUUUGAAGGGAUUAUUCCAUUGGAGCUGGGGUUCUUGAAUAAGCUGAGCUAUUUAUAUCUUGAUUCCAAUCAAUUGACUGGACCGCUUUUGAAGAACAUGUAUAAUCUCAGUAAUCUUAUUGAGAUCAACUUUAGUGGAAACCGCUUAACAGGUUUGCUAUUCAUUCUUGUUUUCUUCUUUAUGUAACUUCUUUAUGUAACUUCUUCAAUGCUGAUGAAAUGAUCACGAACCACAAUUUCACCAAAGCUCCUUUAAUUUCAACAGGUGAGUUUUCGACAGCAAUUUACAGAGAGAGAAUUACGAUGUUAUUAGGGAAAUCUAAAGAGAAGGUGCAGAGACCUCGGCAUAAUGAUCCUCCAACCUCUCAUUAACAAUGUCCAGGUUUCUUUAAAAGUAUUAAAUGUUAUUAACAUAGUACUUAAUGGUGUUAUAAAGAGAGUCGUGAUGUAACACUAUAUUUUGUUUACGAGAUAUUUUAAGUGUAAGAAGGUCCAUGCUGAGUUGUGAACAAUUAUUCUCACGUAUAUUAUCAAUGGUGAACAUCUUUAUUAGUAAGAUUGUGCUUUUUAGUUGGAUUGUGGUCCUUCUGUUGCUCCUUGGUAAGAUUUUUCGUCCUAGGUGGGAUUGUUAGGCACAAUGCCAGUCUAAUCAAGUUUGCGAAGGAAGUGUUAAAUACUAGAAUUAUUAAACCUGUAUAUAAAUUUAGAUGUCUGCACAGCGUUGUUACAUUGUCGAGUAGACAACUAAUUUUAAUCUGGUGGCAGGAAAUAGGGAAUCAAGAAGAAGAUGCAGCCAACAAUGAGAAGCUAGAGAAGCAAUUGAACUACUCGAACAAGAGCAAAAGCGGAUAGAAGCAGAACCAGAUGUUAAACUAGAGGCAAAAAAGAGAGCCUCCAACAGGCUUAUUUUAAGGUAAAUUACAAGAAAAGAAAGUCUGCCAUCAAUGUUAGACAAAAAGAUAUGCCGAUGCUCACAGAUAAUAAUAGUAGCAGGCGUACUUACUCUCUCUACAUAUAAUACUGUAACAAAGGUUUUCAAUGAGCCAAUUUAUUCCAACUAAGCAGGCACUAAGCAGCCACGUCAGAUCCACCUUAGCAAUCACUUUGCAUUUGUGAUGAUGAUCACAAUUAAAUCUUUAUCCCAAUGAUUUUUCUAUUAAUCUUUUGUGGAAUUCUAUGUCUGCAGAGAGAGCAAUACGUGUUGGUCAUGGUUUCUAUAAGUGAAGGUGAGACAACAAUGGUGUUCUCUUUGCCUCAAUUACACCCCUAAUUGCUGGCUAUUUGAGCUGCUGAAAGUUUAAUAAUGGCAAUCGUUUGUAGCUCGAAGAGAAUGAUGUAAGAAUUUAAUCUCAAUAGGAAGCUGUAGAACACAACAAUAUUGCAUAUAGAAGCCAUCCAGCUGCACACCCUGAUCACGGAGUUUUUGAGUCUUUAGAAUGCAAAAAUACAAUGCACAUGGGUAUGCCUACAAGUGGAGAUAUUUAGAAAACUGCUUCUUGUGCACAGUUAGUUAAAUAUUUACUAAUAAUAUAUCUUCAAUAACAACAUUACAGCUACAGUUCAGCAAUGAAUGAUCAUCAAAUGGCUUCUGCAGCACCGACACAGAAUGCCAGUGGACUAGUGGAGUAAUUCCAGGGGAUGCUCUGAUCAUAAAUUCUCGCUGGUGAAUUGAAGAAUUGAGCUUGAGCUAAGAAGGUGAUCUGCAUAUAAUCUUUAACCAUUUUCUGAUGGUACAAAUGUUGCUAUUUAAAAAAAUAAAGAUCAAAUAAACAAAUAUUACUUUACUAAUAUUUUACAUAGCUGCUGCUGUCGAAAACUGGAAACUUGUUGUGUAUUAUAAAAAUAGCAAGGAACUGAACUAAAUAAGCGAGGCAGGUAACUAUUGGAACAAACUGGCAUAUACCUUCUCUUUUCUUAUACUUCUUGCUUGGGGGCAAUAAGUCGUCUCUACCAUAAUAAAGUAAAAAGUAGUCAAAUUACAACUCCCUUGGGUUUCCGUUUGAAUUAGGACAUGUGUGGUGCACCAUACUCUCUUGUCAAAUAUUUUGAAGUUUUGCAUAUUGCAGUUUCACUUUUCAAAGAAACCUCUCUGUCAUUGCUAUAUUAGUAUGCGACUGUUAUUUGGAUUAGUUAUGAUCUGUAUCUAAAAUUAAUGGCACAGAUCUUGAUUUCUAGAACACCAGGUAAUAUUCUCAGAAACAGUGAUAUUCUGUUACAAAGUGAUUGUUGUCGACCAUCUUUACACAUUUUUCUUAUUAUUAAAAAAUAAAUUUUAUAAAAUAGAUUUUUAAAAUAUAGAUACUAUUGAUAUGGUCUUUAUAAUAGAUAUUAGAUAUUAAAAUUUUUAUUUAUAAAAAUUUAUGGAUGAGUUAUUGUAAUAACUGAUUGUCGAGAUCCUAGGUUCCUGGCUAAAUAGGAGUCCAUAUAUUUUGUUAUAAUAUAAUCAAAUAUCAAAACAUUCCUAGGAGGUCUAUAAGUUUAUAACGGUCCGAUAAAGGAAACAUGAAUAAAAUUGAUCAAAAUAUUUUGACCAUUUCAGGUGAUAAUGAUCAUAUAAUUUUCAUAUGACAGAACAAUAAGCCGUAGAGUUUGCUUAGGGGAUUAUGUAGGUUGCAGCAAGAUUUUCAAAAUAAAGCUGAUUUAUCAUUCAUAUAUUUUUUUGGUCCUCUUGGUUUAUGAGUGCUCUUUGUAUCUCUUGCUCUUAGCAUGCAUCCCCUCCCUUUAGUAAAUCAGCUUUGUGCUCAAUUACCUAAUUAUAGAUGAUGUUUCCUAAAUGGAAUAUUUCAAUUAAAUAUAUUAAUUGCUAAGCAACAGCCAAUAUGUUGUGUUGGUUAUUAAAUUAUUGUAGGCAUUUAUUCUUACAGAUGGUUUGGAGAUAAUUUCGAGCAAUCUAUGAGUUUGAAUAAUAUGUCUUAACAGUAUAUAGGGCCAUGAGGAGCUUGGCGCUGCCAGCUUGCGCUUGCGGGAAGAUGAAGAUUUUACGAGAUUUAAAAAUAUUGCAACUAUAGAGCUAGGAAGAUAAGAGAUUGGAAGUUGGUAAUUCUCCCCUUUCCCAUCAGAAUUCAAUGACUCUUUGAAACUGUACUUUCGUGAAUUUUGUCUUAAUUUCAUCAGGCGACCAGAACAACUUCAGAGACAUAUGGUGAGUUGUUGUCGAGUAUUUUGAAGAGUAUCGUUCGCAGGGAAGGAUUGAUAUCAAUACCAAUUUCAAGUCUUUUAUCUCUUAUGAUUCAGAAGUGUGGAGAAGAAUUUGGUGGGAUUUUCUAUCAACUAAUUAAUGUAAUAAGUAAAUAAAUAUAAUAAAUAUGAGAGAAAACAACCCAAGAAUUAGAGUUCUUCAAUCGCUAUCAUGAAUGUCUAAUUUGUGUCUCUUGUUUGCUAAAAACAAUCCUUCUAAUAUUAAUAAACUCCUCUCCCAAGGUAGAUUAUAAUGCUUACAAUUAUCCAUUAAAAGCCACUCCCAUGGUCAAUCAAAGAACACUUGUAAACUAUUAAGAACCAAGGAUUUUAAGUCUCACAAUUCUCAUAUCAAUCUCCCGAUCUAAUACUCAAAUUGUGUCCAUCAUAUCAUGUACUAGAAUUAUAACUCCUCUCCCGAUUCGUUAUAACUCCUAGAGAUUCAAUCACAAGUUAGCUACUCCUGUAAUUGUAUAAAGAGCUCAAUGACAGAUUAACAAAUCAAGAGAAAACACAAUCCAACUAAACAAACAUAUUAAGCCAAAGAAUACUACCUAACUCUUGGAUCAAAGGAUUAGCUACUCAUGAUAAGAUGAAACAAAUAUAUAUUUAUACCACAAACCAUGAGCGUAAGAAUUUAAAUACGAAGAAUACAACUUGACGAAAGAGCUUGAAGUCCGGAUGAAUCCCUUCACUCCUUCUUCCAAUAUCUCUCACAAGUGCUUCUCUCCCUUUUCUCUCUAAAAAAGCUAUCUCUAUAUUAUUCUAUAUGAUACAAAGUUAGUUGUCUCUAAUCUCUAUCAAAACCCUAAUAUAUAUAAGAGUUUUCUUAAUUUACAAGAAAAUAAAAUAAUAUCCUAAAACUAGUUGGAUUCUGAUGCUGAAAUUCGUAGGCUUCUGUUCAGGCCUGAUUCUGGGCUGAUCCAGUUGGAUUUUGACAUCUGGACCACCUUAAACUUGUAGAAAAUUCCUAUAUCUUCGCGUGGGCUGUUGAAUCGCCCAAUUCUGACAUCCAGAACUCAAGUUACGGCCCAAACAAGAUUUGCUUCGCUGGCUAUAUAUAAAGUCCGAAUUUCCAUCUAAUUAAGCCCAAAUAAGCUUGAUUUAAUCCAACUUUAGGAAUAUUUAUUUUCCUGCCACUAAACACUUAAAAUCAAUUAGUAAUAACCCGAUUAUUUACAAAAUACUAAAAUUAUGGGAAUAAAAUCAUAUAAAAACAUAUAUAAAUAUAUGCUCUAUCAUGAGUUUUGUGUCCUGCUUCUCAUUUCACAUACAUUGCCUUUUAAGAAGGGUGUUCUUAUAUAAUUUUGGAAGUGCUAUUGCUAAUUUGUUUCAGGUAAUAGCUGCACCGCAUAUAUAAAAUAUACAAAAAAUGUUUUUCCCGGCCUUCUUAAAAGUUUGAAUAAUAUUCCCCCUGUCUUGUGAUUGCAAACAAUAAUUGUUUUUGUAUCCAAGUACUUAAGCUUUUCCAUUAACUUUUUGGAUUUUGAACCAUGAUUGCCAAUGAGCAUUGAUAAUAUAGCCUAGGCCUCGGUCAUUUGAAUUUUUUGGAUAUUGUCUAAAGGCUUUCAAUGUAGUGAUUCUGUGACAACGUUGGACAAUAAUGUGUACAAGCUGGAUUCAGCAGAUUUCUAACAUGUGUUGAUUAUUACUAAUUAUGGAUUUACUGGUAUAGCAAGAAAUUACAGGCCCGAGGUCUUAAAGUUUGGGUGUCAUCACUUUUCUGGUCUACUUGCAAUCUUUUCUUCUUACUACCUCUUCUAGCAGUGUGUAGUUCCACUUUGCUAUUAAAUGAGCAAGUUAAUGACUGUUUAGGGGAUUGAGAUCUGACAAGUCUUGCUACUUUUGAUGGGUUUGAUAGGUUUGAUGAGUGCUUAAGUGAUAUUAAUCACCAAACUUAUGUAUAUGCAUUUUGAUGUGUUGAUUAUUUAGCAUAGUUGCUGCAUAACAAAUAUUAGUUAAAGGAUGAGAUCUUCUAAAAGAAGUCAGAAAUGUAAAAGCCAAUGUCAAAGUGGAUUUGAUCAAAAAGAGAUUCGCAUGCUGAUUAUUACUUUUUUGUGCAGAAAAAAUGUGAUCUCAAACAUCCCCUGGCAAUGAGAUAUAUCGCAGGGCACAUUGUCAAUGUUUUAGAUAUGUUUACAUGUUUAGCUGAUCUGCAAAUUCCUUUACGUCUUGGUUUCUGUCUCAUGUGAUUAUAUUCUCAGCGUUUGGAACUUGGAAUUGCAUAGCUUACCGCCAACACAAUUAUACAACUUCUUUUACUCAGUGAAUGAUGCUACACUUGAGACUUUCAUUAUGAUAUUUAUCUUGAGACACAUGUUCCCCAGUUUUAUAACUGGUAUAUUUGGCCUUGCUUUGUAUUUUUAAAUAUUACUGUUCAAUGGACUUAUACUAAACCCUUGCUUAUAAACAAGUACUCUUCAUCUGUUUGUUUGUUUAACUAUAUGACAUUUUACAUGUUUUUAUAGGUAGAUGGGAAAAAGAAUAAGGUUUAUGGGCAGAAUCUUUGUUAUCUGGAAAAAUUGUUUCUUGAUUACAAAACACUAUAUUAUAACGUCGAUUCACAAUAACUUAAUUGAUCAGCGCUCGGAGUCUCCUUUCUAAUCAAGGCUGUGGAGUGUGGAGGCCUAGGGCCUGAGCAUAUAAGGAUAUUCACAAUAAUUUUUUUUUUUUAUGAAUUUAUUUUCAUAGAUAUUUGUGUGUAGUUCCUUAAAUUGGGAAUACGGCUCGAGAGGAUAAGGGAUUGUUUGGUUGUUUAGUGUGAUUGGUAUUUUACUAGAUCAGAGAGUUUAUUACCACAAGCAUCCUAUGCAUUAACACUUGUCAGCAGCUGAAUUCCUGACAUAACACAUGAAUUCAGAAGACAUGACACAUGAAUUCAGUAUUUGGAAUUUGAUUGAAAUUCUGAAUGAUUUAUUGUUUACCAGAGGUUAUAACCACUACUUGUAUAUGGUAUCGGGUGUGUCCAUCUCCGGAAGAUCUAAUUGGCGUUAUAUGUUAAAUUUUCAAUAAAUAUCUCCGGAAGAUCUAAUUGGCGUUAUAUGUUAAAUUUUCAAUAAAUAUCUCCGGAAGAUCUAAUUGGCGUUAUAUGUUAAAUUUUCAAUAAAUAUCUGGAUGUGUAUUUUUGAUUAUCGAAAGAGUUCCCAUAUUAUUAUGUCGUUUUAUUUUCCUUCACUUUUGGCAGCCCCAAGUGAAAGUGAUGACUAUUGGUACUUGAGUUUUUUUGGCUGAAAUCACUAAUAUAAUUGUUACACUACAACAAAACUGGCAUCAGACAACACUAGUCACACAACGGACGCUGGAAAAAGUGUUGGCCGAAACAAAGACACAACACUUUAUUUUCGUCCUCGAAAAACUAUUGUCUAACACCUACGACCUACAACGGUUAAAAAACUGUUGUCUAAUAAAUUUAAUCAGACAACGGUCUCUUAACUGUGGUAUUGUGUAAUGAUGCACGUUAGACAACUGUUUUUAGAGCCGAUGUGUGAAGAAACUUCAGACAAUAUUCCGAGAAACCGUUGUUGUAAUGAGACAAGUGUUUUAUUUGUUGUGUUGUUUACGAAAAGAUCAGACAAGGGUUCCAUAGAGUGUUGUGUGACUGGGAAGCUAACAUACAAGUGUUUUUGUUAGCAUCGUAUCAUGGCCUUAUAGACAAGCCUUUAGCUAGUAAAACGUUGUCUGACUGAAUGACUUAUAAGAAAAUAAAUGUACAUAAAAGAGUGCAAACAUUCAAAAGUCCUAACCAAAGUUACAAAUAUAUAUUCAUUUUCUUAGUAGUCAUAGGCUUUUCUAGCAUUAGAUCAAGUAUUGAUCAAGGAAAUGCGAAUUUUUAACUCAUAAAAAUGAAAGUUUAUUAUACAACGGUUUUCUUCCCAUAAAUCGUUGUGUCAUUUUCAAUGAUACAACUUAGAUGCUUAUAAAAACCGUUGUGUGUUAGACACUACGGGACAAAAAAUACCUUUUUAUAAUAAGACAAAAUUUACAAUUAACAAGUAAUGUUAAAAAAACAUACAAAAUGAAUAUAAAAAAUUUAGAUUUUUUUUAUACAUGACUAAUAUUGUUAGUUCUCGACAUCCGUACGGUUAGAUCAUCGAAAAAAAUAUUUAAAAAUUAAUAUUAUGCUCAUCUUAUACAUAACAAAGAUUNNNNNNNNNNNNNNNNNNNNNNNNNNNNNNNNNNNNNNNNNNNNNNNNNNNNNNNNNNNNNNNNNNNNNNNNNNNNNNNNNNNNNNNNNNNNNNNNNNNNNNNNNNNNNNNNNNNNNNNNNNNNNNNNNNNNNNNNNNNNNNNNNNNNNNNNNNNNNNNNNNNNNNNNNNNNNNNNNNNNNNNNNNNNNNNNNNNNNNNNNNNNNNNNNNNNNNNNNNNNNNNNNNNNNNNNNNNNNNNNNNNNNNNNNNNNNNNNNNNNNNNNNNNNNNNNNNNNNNNNNNNNNNNNNNNNNNNNNNNNNNNNNNNNNNNNNNNNNNNNNNNNNNNNNNNNNNNNNNNNNNNNNNNNNNNNNNNNNNNNNNNNNNNNNNNNNNNNNNNNNNNNNNNNNNNNNNNNNNNNNNNNNNNNNNNNNNNNNNNNNNNNNNNNNNNNNNNNNNNNNNNNNNNNNNNNNNNNNNNNNNNNNNNNNNNNNNNNNNNNNNNNNNNNNNNNNNNNNNNNNNNNNNNNNNNNNNNNNNNNNNNNNNNNNNNNNNNNNNNNNNNNNNNNNNNNNNNNNNNNNNNNNNNNNNNNNNNNNNNNNNNNNNNNNNNNNNNNNNNNNNNNNNNNNNNNNNNNNNNNNNNNNNNNNNNNNNNNNNNNNNNNNNNNNNNNNNNNNNNNNNNNNNNNNNNNNNNNNNNNNNNNNNNNNNNNNNNNNNNNNNNNNNNNNNNNNNNNNNNNNNNNNNNNNNNNNNNNNNNNNNNNNNNNNNNNNNNNNNNNNNNNNNNNNNNNNNNNNNNNNNNNNNNNNNNNNNNNNNNNNNNNNNNNNNNNNNNNNNNNNNNNNNNNNNNNNNNNNNNNNNNNNNNNNNNNNNNNNNNNNNNNNNNNNNNNNNNNNNNNNNNNNNNNUUUUUUUAUACGUGACUAAUAUUGUUAGUUCUUGACAUCCGUACGGUUAGAUCAUUGAAAUAAAUAUUUAUGAAUUAAUACACAACUAAUUGAAUACAUAACAAAGAUUAUAUCUACUACUUUUUAAAUUGUAAACAUAAAACACAUACUAAUACAUGCGUCCGAAGUACAAAAUUGUCUCGGUUUUACACAUGAACAAUACAUAUUUGCAUAUAUACAUAACAUAAAUAUAUUUUUUUAAUACAAAGAGUGCAAAAACAAGAAUUAAUCAAGGAAAUGCGAAUUUUUAACUCAUAAAAAUUACCUUUUUAUAAUAAGAAAAAUUUUANACGAUUGACUAGUGUUGUUAAAAACCGUUGUCUGAUGCUGUUUUUGUUGUAGUGUUAUAUUAAAUUCUUGUGCUAAAACUUGUAUGGUUUGCCCCGCCCGCGGCUUCAAACAGCCAACAAGGUAAGCUAUUAUACUCAGGGGACCGAAAAAGGUAACAAAUGCAUAAACGAUUAGCUUUUCUUCUUUGCUGCAUAGUUUUUUUUUUUUUGUCAGGUUCUUUGCUGCAUAGUUAAUAACAAAUAACAUGAUCUCAAAAAAAAAAAAGAGGCGCGUACUAUGAAUGUAAAAAUAACAAUUUCAAUACUCUUUUUCACUAUAGAAAAACAAAAUUAUUGUGCUAGAUCUUUGCCCGUGCCUUGCACGGGCUUUAAAGCUAGUUUUUUAUUAAUAUGUGAAACUCCAAUAUAUAUUAUUAUACGAUAUAUUAUGAAAACACUAUGUUUUGUAAUGUUCAUCUUAUCCUACCAGAAAAAUUACAUCGCUAACAAAAUUAUAUCAAUUUUAUUUUAUAAACUCAAAUAAUUUAAUUUAUGAAACAACUCUAUGAGAUUCUUAUCAUGAGUUAGAAUUCAAAUAAAUAAAGAGUUCAUAUUGAUAAGUGGAAUUGAUGUGCAAGUAAGGGGUAUAAAAAAAUCUCAAAAUAACUCCAAAAAGCACAUGACAUGUUUGAUUUGAUAGAACUGGUACAUAAACAGGGGGACCAUUAUAUUUAUAAGCAAGUGACCAACAAUAGUUUACUACUGAUAUUUUGUGAUAUUUUUUGUGAUAUUUUUUGAGACCUUUAACAUUAUUCUGUGAAGUGGUAUACUACUGUUACUAGUUCUGAAACUUCAAACAAAGUAGGCGCAACAUUGUAAGAGUGAUUAAUAAAGUUGAGAAACAGUGUGUACAUUGAGCAGUAUGACAAUCAGGUUCAGCAUAUAAUACAAUCAGAUUCACAAUCAGGUUCACGAGAAACAUGCUGCAUUCCAAAAAGCCUUAUUAUCUUCUUCACUAAAUAACAAGGCAAAUACAGCAUAUAAAUACAAGUUAUAAGUACAAGUGUGGUAUUAGAUUCAUAACCCAGUUGAGGAGAAACAUGGCACACUUUGUAAGGCCUUCUCACCUUCUUCUCUUUGUUUUCUUUCUCUCAUCACUCGAAUCCAUUCUUGCAACAAGACAAGAGGGGGAAGCUCUUGUGAAGUGGAAGAAUAGCCUAGCCCCUUCUUCUUUUCUCCACUCUUGGUCACUCACCAAUCUCGAAAAUCUUUGUAAAUGGACUGGCAUUACUUGUAACUCUGCAGGUUCAGUCUCUGAGAUUAACCUUUGUGAGAAACAACUUGAUGGAAUGCUGUCCGAGUUCGGUUUCACUUCAUUUCCAAAUCUCAAGAAUCUCACCCUGGCAGACAACUUCUUCUCAGGUCCAAUACCACCAGCCAUUGAGAAUUUAACACAGCUUCAAUAUCUUGAUUUAAGCAUGAAUAGUCUUAAUGGUCCCAUUCCGUUCCAGGUUAGCCAUCUUCAGAGCUUGCUCAUCUUGAACCUGUCACAGAAUGCAUUGCAAGCUCCAAAUUGGUCCCAUUUCUCUCCCAUGCCUUUCUUGCGCAUCCUCGACCUUAGUUUUAAUAAUCUUGUGUCGAAAUUCCCAGAAUUUAUAUCCAAUUCUCAUAGCCUGACUCACCUUAACCUUUCAAAUAACAAGUUUACUGGUCAUCUUGUGCAUAAAUUUACCAAUCUACAAAAUCUUGAAACCCUCUACCUUCAGAUCAAUUCUUUUGAGGGGCCGUUUCCACCAGAUAUAGUCCAGCUUUCCAAAUUAAAACGACUCUCCCUGUCAUGUAACAAAUUUUCAGGUUCAAUUCCCAAUGACGUAAGGUUGCUUUUUGGUCUUGAAUCCCUAAAUUUAGGCAACAAUUCCUUUGAAGGACCGCUUCCACCAGAUAUAUUCAAGCUUUCAAAGUUAAAACGACUUGUUCUUUGGAGUAAUAAGUUUUCAGGUUCUGUUUCCAAUGAUAUAGGUUUGCUUUCUGAGCUUGAAACCCUCCAUCUUUACUCUAAUUUUUUUGAGGGGCCACUUCCGCCAAAUUUAUUCAAGCUCUCCAAACUAAAAGAUCUCACCCUGUCAAGUAACAAAUUUUCAGGUUCAAUUCACAAUGAUAUAAGGUUACUUUGUGAUCUUGAAGACCUAUAUUUAGCUAACAAUUCCUUUGAAGGACCGCUUCCACCAGAUAUAUUCAAGCUUUCAAGAUUAAAACGUCUUUUUCUUUAGAGUAAUAAGUUUUCAGGUUCUGUUUCCAAUGAUAUAGGUUUGCUUUCUGAGCUUGAAAGCCUCGAUCUUAACUCCAAUUUUUUUGAGGGGCCGCUUCCGCCAAAUGUAUUCAAGCUCUCCAAACUAAAGAUUCUUUCCCUUUAUGAGAAUAACUUUUCAGGUUUUAUUUCUAAGGAUAUAGGUUUGCUUUCUGGACUUGAAACCCUCUAUCUUGACUCUAAUUUUUUUGAGGGUCCGCUUCCCCCACAUAUAUUUAGGCUGUCCAAAUUAAGAGAUCUGGACCUCUCAUACAGUAGAAAUUUAUUUGAAGGAAGUAUUCCUAUUGGACUGGGACUCUUGACUAACCUCAGGUACUUAGAUCUAUAUUCCAAUAAUCUCAGUGGCUAUAUUCCAUCUGACAUUGGAAACCUGAAGCUACUAGAAGGUCUUAUUCUCGGUUCUAAUAAAUUGACUGGACCAGUUUCAAAGAUCAUUUCUAAUCUCACAAAUCUUAUAUAUCUUGAUGUAAGUGAUAAUAGUCUUAGUGGAAAUAUUCAGAGUGACUUGUGGAAAUAUAACGAUCAUCCAACUUUGGAAUACAUCAAUUUAAGUGGGAACCAUUUUACGGGUAUAGUUUUUCUCUAUAGAUCUUUUCCUUUUCUCAUAUGUAACUAAGCUGGUAAUCUGAUUAUUGCAGUUUUACCAAAGUUUCAACAAUCUUGACAGGUGAGCUUCCAACAACAAUUUGCAAUGUCACUUCCCUUUCGGUUCUUGAUUUGUCAAAUAAUGCGUUAAGUGGUGCACUUCCAAACUGUUUCGGGAAUCUUGCUGAUGGAUUGCUUUACAUUAAUCUUGCUAAUAAUCAGUUUCGAGGAACAAUACCAACUACUUUCUCCAGGAGUUGUCAGCUGACAUAUCUAAACAUGGAUAAUAAUGAGUUUGAAGGAUUGGUGCCCCCAUCUUUGGCGAACUGCAAGCACUUGAAAAUUCUUGAUAUUGGCAAUAAUAAAAUAGGUGGUACAUUCCCGUCAUGGCUUUAUGUACUUGGAGAGCUAGAAGUCCUUGUCUUGCGAUCAAAUAAACUCUAUGGUACAAUAAGUGGAAGGAGCAUAGAAGAUCCCUUCCCCAAGUUGCGGAUUGUGGAUCUGUCCGAUAAUCAAUUCACAGGCCAUUUGCCAAUUCAAUACUUUAAGAAUAUGAAAUCAACUGAUAAUAUGUAUAAUUAUCUGAAUUCCACAGGAGGAAUAUAUUUCACUUAUGAAGCAGCAGUCUCAUUAACUGUGAAGGGAACAGAGUAUGAAGUGACAAAUAACCUUCAUAUUUACACAGCUAUUGAUCUGUCGUGCAACAAAUUUCAGGGUGAAAUUCCAAAAAUUAUUGGAGAGCUUAGAUGGCUUGCAUUGCUCAAUUUAUCGCAUAAUAGUCUGACAGGACAUAUCCCAUCAUUUCUGAGAAAUAUGAAAGAACUCCAAUCUUUAGAUUUGUCCUCAAAUCAACUGACAGGGGCCAUUCCACCUCAGUUAACUGCAUUGACAUUUCUAAAGGUCUUAAAUCUCUCGAAAAACCAUCUCAGUGGAGAGAUUCCUCAGGAAGGACAGUUCAGCACAUUCAACAAUGAUUCUUAUCUAGGAAACUCCGCGUUAUGUGGAUUACGUCUGACAAAGAAAUGUGCAAACACAGCAGGGAUUCCUCAGAAAGGACAGUUCAGCACAUUCAACAAUGAUUCUUAUAUAGGAAACUCCGCGUUAUGUGGAUCACCUUUGACGAAGAGAUGUGCAAACACAGCAUCACCUCCACAACAAGUCGGAAAUGGUGAUGAAGAUGAUGCGGGAGAUGAAUUGAGAUGGGAAGCAAUCGUGAUGGGAUAUGGAUGUGGACUGAUAUGUGGAUUGUCAUCUGCGUACAUUGUUCUCAAACUAGGAAGGCCUUGGUGGGUUGUGAGAUAUGUCGAAGUACUGCAACUGAAGUUGAUGAAAAGAUAUGCUUGAAGAAUGGAACUGGCCGAUCAAAACGAACUCGAAAGCAGUUGUCCUUGUGGACAUUUCUGAACCAGUAGUGUACUAGCUGCAUAAGUAUUUGGUAUUAUGUAAUAAUCCACAUAUUCAAUAUCACACUCUUCCUGUGAGGAAACAAAUAUGGAGAAACAUUUCUAUUUACAAAACUUUUACCAUUAUACACUCUUAUAGUACUGGUUAAUAGUUUGUUGUUCAGCCUAGUCCUAAACUGAAAUUAUCAGUUCUAUGUGAGUAUGCUUUCAAAUAAGAAUUAGGUGAUCUGCCUAGUCCAAAACUACUCUAAUACUAUAUCGCUGGUAGUCUUUCAGUUCAUCCUAUUGUAUACAAUAGUUUCUUCCUUUGACACAAAAAUGUCUGCAGUCAGUGUCACCACCACAGGAAGUCGAAAAUGGUGAUGAAGAUUGAUUUGCGGAUUGUCUUAUGGGUACAUUUUUUUCAAAAAAGGAAGGCCUUGGUGGUUUGUGAGAUACAUCGAAGUGCUGCAACUUAAGUUGAUGUUACCAAGAAUGAAAAAUAUUGUUCGACCAAGAUCAACAACUUGAAAAUGUGUUCUGAAUCUGUAAUAAUAUUAAAAUAUUAAAAUAUUAUUCAUUUAACAAUAUCGUCCAAUCAAUUUAAUUGAUUAUCAUUUAAUCAAUAUAUAUAGAUGGAUAUUAAUUGUCUUCCCUAGCUCCAACCAAUGAUGAAAUAACCUCCCUAUAAAUCUAUUGAGUCAAAAUUGCAAACAACACUUUCAAAACAUAGGUGCCGAAUAGUCCUUAUUUUAAAUUAAUCAGAAUUGAAUAUUUGAUGGCGCUAAAAAAAUCUGUUGAAAUUAGCAGUUUAUAAGGCAUAUAAAUAGAAGUGUGCGUUACUUUAAGGAUUCAUGAUCAAGUUGAGGAGAAAUAUGCACAGUAUAUAAAGCCUCAUCAUCUUUUUCUCUUUGUUUUCUUUCUCUCAUUACUCCCAUCCAUUCUUACAACACUAGCUGAAACAAGACGAGAGGGAGAAGCUCUUGUGAAAUGGAAGAAUAGCCUAGCCCCUUCUUCUUUUCUCGACUCUUGGUCCCUCACCAAUCUCGAUAAUCUUUGUAACUGGACUGGCAUUACUUGUAACUCUGCAGGUUCAGUCUCUAAGAUUAACCUUUUUGAGAAACAACUUGAUGGAAUGUUGUCCGAGUUUGGUUUCACCUCAUUUCCACAUCUCAACAAUCUCACCCUUGCAGACAACUACUUCUCGGGUCCGAUACCACCAGCCAUUGAGAAUUUAACACAGCUUCAAUUUCUUGAUUUGAGCAAUAAUUAUCUAGAUGGUCCCAUUCCUUUCCAGGUUAGCAAUCUUCAGAGGUUGCUCAUCUUAAACCUGUCACAGAAUGCAUUGCAAGCUCCAAAUUGGUCCCAUUUCUCUCCCAUGCCUUUUUUGCGCAUCCUCAACCUCAGUAGCAAUCCUCUAGCGUCGAAAUUCCCAAAUUUCAUAUCCAAUUCUCAUGGCCUGACUCACCUUAGCCUUAAUUAUAACGAGUUUACUGGUGAUUUAGUACGUGAAUCAAUAUUUGCCAAUCUGCAUAAUCUUGAAGUCCUCGGUCUUGUUGACAAUUCUUUUGAGGGGCCAUUUCCCCCGGAUAUAUUCAGGCUCUCCAAAUUAAAACGUCUCUCCCUGUCAGGUAACAAAUUUUCAGGUUCAGUUCCCAAUGACAUAAGGUUGCUUUGUGAUCUUCAAUCUCUAUAUUUAGCUAACAAUUCCUUUGAAGGACCGCUUCCACCAAAUAUAUUCAAGCUUGCAAAAUUAAAAGAUCUUGCUCUUUGGGGUAAUAAGUUUUCAGGUUCUGUUUCCAAUGAUAUAGGUUUGCUUUCUGUGCUUGAAAUUCUCAAUAUUCACUCUAAUUUUUUUGAGGGGCCCCUUCCGCCAAAUAUAUUCAAGCUCUCCAAAAUAAGGUUUCUUUACCUCGGGGGUAAUAACUUUUCUGGUUCCGUUUCCAAUGAGAUAGGUUUGCUUUCUGAGCUUGAAUCCCUAUAUCUUGGUUCUAAUGUUUUUGAGGGGCCGCUUCCACCAAAUAUAUUCAAGCUUUCCAAAUUAAAAUGGCUUGACCUCGCAGACAAUAGAAAUUUAUUUGAAGGAAGUAUUCCUAUUGGACUGGGACUCUUGACUAACCUCAGCUACUUAGAUCUAAGUUCCAGUAAUCUCAGUGGCUAUAUUCCAUCUGUCAUUGCAAACCUGAAGCUACUAGUAUUUCUUGAUCUCAGUUCUAAUCAAUUGACUGGACCACUUUCGAAGAUCGUUUCUAAUCUCACAAAUCUUAUACUUCUUGGUGUGGAUUAUAAUAGUCUUAGUGGAAAUAUUCAGAGUGAUUUGUGGAAGAACUCUAUAUCCUUACGUUACAUUGAUUUUGAAAAUAAUUAUUUUUCUGGAAACAUUCCUGAGGAAUAUAACGAUCAUCCAACUUUGGAAUACAUCAAUUUAAGUGGGAACUAUUUUACAGGUAUAUUUUCUUAAUAUAUCUUUUCCUUUUGUCAUAUAUAUGUAACUAAGCUAGUAAUCUGAUUAUUGCAGUUUUACCAAAGUUUCAACAAUCUUGACAGGUGAGCUUCCAACAACAAUUUGCAAUGUCACCUCCCUUUCGGUUCUUGUUUUGUCAAAUAAUAAAUUAAGUGGUGCACUUCCAAACUGUUUCGGGAAUCUUGCUGAUGGAUUGCUUUACAUUAAUCUUGCUAAUAAUCAGUUUCAAGGAACAAUACCAACUACUUUCUCCAGGAGUUGUCAGUUGACAUAUCUAAACAUGGUUAAUAAUGAGUUUGAAGGAUUGAUGCCCCCAUCUUUAGCGAACUGUAAGCACUUGAAAAUUCUUGAUAUAGGCAAUAAUAAAAUAGGUGGUACAUUUCCGUCAUGGCUUUAUGCACUUGGAGAGCUAGAAGUUCUUGUCUUGCGAUCAAAUAAACUCUAUGGUACAAUAAGUGGAAGGAGCAUAGAAGAUCCCUUCCCCAAGUUGCGGAUUGUGGAUCUGUCCAACAAUCAAUUCACAGGCCAUUUGCCAAUUCAAUACUUUAAGAAUAUGAAAUCAAAUGAUAAUUUGUAUCGUUAUCUGAAUUCCACAGGAGAAAUAUAUAUCUCUUAUGAAGCAGCAGUCUCAUUAACUGUGAAGGGAACAGAGUAUGAAGUAGCAAAGAACCUUCAUAUUUACACAGCCAUUGAUCUGUCGUGCAACAAAUUUCAGGGAGAAAUUCCAAAGGUUACCGGAGAGCUUAGAUGGCUUGCAUUGCUCAAUUUAUCUCAUAAUAGUCUAACAGGACCUAUCCCAUCAUUGCUGGGAAAUAUGAAAGAACUCCAAUCUUUAGAUUUGUCCUCAAAUCAACUGACAGGGGCUAUUCCACCUCAGCUAACUGCAUUGACAUUUCUAGAGGUCUUGAACCUCUCGGGAAACCAUCUUAGUGGAGAGAUUCCUCAGAAAGGACAGUUCAGCACAUUCAACAAUGAUUCUUAUCUAGGAAACUCCGCGUUAUGUGGAUCACCUUUGACGAAGAAAUGUGGAAACACUGUAUCACCUCCACAGGAAGUCGGAAAUGGUGAUGAAGAUGAUGCGGGUGAUGAAUGGACAUGGGAAGCAAUCGUGAUGGGAUAUGGAUGUGGACUGAUAUGUGGAUUGUCAUCUGCGUACAUUGUUCUCAAACUAGGAAAGCCUUGGUGGUUUGUGAGAUAUAUCGAAGUACUGCAACAGAAGUUGAUGAAAAGAUAUGCAUGAAGAAAGGUACUGGUAGAUCAAGAUGAAAAGAUAUGAAGAAGUAUUUGGUAUUAUGUAAUAAUCCGUUUGGUCGGGACUCAAAAUGAUUUCUCUUGCUUCAGGGGUAUUAAUAUUAACCUUGCUAUCUUGUUCAAUGUUAAUGCAAAUUAAAAAGAAUAUAAAAGCAAAAAAUUUGCAUCAAACACCUGUUGUACCAACAUGCAUCCAUUAAUUUGCUUUCAUCUAUUAAGUAACAAUUUAAGAGCGCUUCCACUCUGUUUAAGCAUGGAGAUUACACAAAGAAGGCAAGUCCAUGGAUUAACACGUAGUCCACAUCUAUGCUACGAACAAUUCACAUUGAUCUUAUAUCUGUUCAACAGUCUCCCGAAGAUAGGCCAUAAAUGUCAUCUGUGGCUCUUAUGUUUGUCAGUAAAGGAGAAUCUCUGAUGCCUAUAACCUGGUUUUCUUACAAGAUGCCCAGGUUAUCAUGGCCAUGCAGAAAAAUGCCCAAAAAUGAAUAGCUCAGGUCUCCCCAAGCCUUCCAGGACUCAUUCCAAGUCUUCGGAGGACCACUGCCUCCCCCUUUCAAAGAUGUGAUUGUAGCUCGAAAGUGAUAUAAAUUAUUUUCCCCACAUUAAAAAUAAAAAAUCAGAUUAAAUUAAUCAAUAAUAAAUUAAGGAUGAAAUCCAAAUUAAUCCUAAAUUUUGAUAAUAUAUAAAAAUUAUAAUUAUAAAUUAUAUAACCAAAUCAGAAUUGAAUUAACUUACUUGGCACUAGAAUUGCUAAAGACAGUAUAAUAAUUUAAUUGAUGAAAAGUCAAAGUCUUCUAAUAAAUCCAUAAAGAAUAUGAUAAUAUGAAAAUUAUAAUUGAAAAAUCAAAAUCAAUAGUGUAUUGGAAUAGUGUUCACACACUUAUAUAUCAAAAUUUGUGGUCCAAAAACUAUAGCACAAUAUCCUAAAUACAUCACAUUAAAUAAUAGCACAAAAAUAUUCAAUAAAUAAUUGAUUUCAUUCAUAAAUUUGUUAUUUUAAAAACUAAUAAUUUGGUUGAUGUUAACCUAUAUUUUAUAUAUAAUUUCGUCUUAUUUUAUUUUACUAGAAACAAUAUUUUUAUAAUAUUUAUUACAUUAAAUAUAUUAAAAGAUAUAAUUUUAUUAAAAAAAUUGAAUAAAAUUAAAAGGAUAAGUCUCGGCCUCUCCAAGUCUACAAGACUCAUUUCAAGUCCACCGAGGGCCUCAACCAUUGAGAGAUGUGAAAGUAGCUUGAGAGUGAUAUAAAUUAAUUAAAUUAGUUAAUAAUGAAUCAAGACUAAUCAUGAAUUAUGAUAAUAAUUAAAUAAAUUAUAAAAUUAAAUUAUACAAAUAACACUAAACCUUAGUUACUUUAUUGGUAAAAUAAAUAUAAUAUAAUAAUUAAAUUGAUGAAAAAUCAAAAUCAUCUAAUAAAUUCACAAAAAAUAUAUGAUCAUUAGUAUAUUAUAUUAGUAUCCACACACUUAUAUUUCAAAUCUAUCCUCCAAAAUUAUCAUCUCGAUAAACUAGCCGCAUAAAAUAAAAAUUUAACGAUAUUAGAUAUUUAGCUAUUUUCAUUAUAUAAUUUUUCCACACUAAAUAACAAAAUAUCUUUAUCAAAUUAUUAUUUAUGAAUUAAAUAUUCAAGUUAUAAUUCCAGCAUGCAGCGUAUAAAUAGAAGUGUGCAGUAUGAUAUCAGAUUCAUAACCCAGUUGAGGAGAAACAUGGCACACUCUGUAAAGCCUUCUCACCUUCUUCUCUUUGUUUUCUAUCUCUCUUAACUUGAAUACAUUCUUGCAACAACACAAGAGGGAGAAGCUCUUGUGAAAUGGAAGAAUAGCCUAGCCCCUUCUUCUUUUCUCGACUCUUGGUCACUCACCAAUCUCGAUGAUCUUUGUAACUGGACUGGCAUCACUUGUAACUCUGCAGGUUCAGUCUCUCAGAUCAACCUUUUCGAAAAACAACUUGAUGGAAUGCUGUCCGAGUUUGGUUUCACUUCAUUUCCGAAUCUCAACAAUCUCACCCUCGCAUACAACUUCUUCUCGGGUCCGAUACCACCGGCCAUUGAGAAUUUAACACAGCUUCGGUAUCUUGAUUUAAGCUUUAAUUCUCUCCAUGGUCCCAUUCCGUUCCAGGUUAGCCAUCUUCAGAGCUUGCUCAUCUUAAACCUGUCACAGAAUGCAUUGCAAGCUCCAAAUUGGUCCCAUUUCUCUCCCAUGCCUUUUUUGCGCAUCCUCAACCUCAUUAGCAAUCCUCUUGCGUCGAAAUUCCCAAAUUUUAUAUCCAACUCUCAUAGCCUGACUCACCUUAGCCUUAAUUUUAAUGAGUUUACUGGUGAUUUAGUACGUGAAUCAGUAUUUGCCAAUCUGCAUAAUCUUGAAUUGCUCAGUCUCGUUGAAAAUUCUUUUGAGGGGCCAUUUCCGCCGGAUAUAUUCAGGCUUUCCAAAUUAAAACAUCUUCACCUGUCAAGUAACAAAUUUUCAGGUUCAAUUUCCAAUGACAUAAGGUUGCUUUGUGAUCUUGAAUCCCUAUAUUUAGGCAACAAUUCCUUCGAAGGACCCCUUCCAUCAAAUAUAUUCAAGCUUUCAAAAUUAAAAAAUCUUGUUAUUGGGAGUAAUAAGUUUUCGGGUUCUGUUUCCAACGAUAUAGGUUUGCUUUCUGAGCUUGAAAGCCUCUAUCUUGACUCCAAUUUUUUUGAGGGGCCGCUUCCGUCAAAUAUAUUCAAGCUCUCCAAAUUAAGGAUUCUUUCCCUUUGGCAUAAUAACUUUUCAGGUUCUAUUUCUAAGGAUAUAGGUUUGCUUUCUGGACUUGAAACCCUCUUUCUUGACUCUAAUUUUUUUGAGGGUCCGCUUCCCCCGCAUAUAUUUAGGCUCUCCAAAUUAAGAGAUCUGGGUCUCUCAGACAAUAGAAAUUUAUUUGAAGGGAGUAUUCCUAUUGGACUGGGACUCUUGACUAACCUCAGGUACUUAGAUCUAUAUUCCAAUAAUCUCGGUGGUUAUAUUCCAUCUGACAUUGGAAACCUGAAGCUACUAGAAGUUCUUGAUCUCAGUUCUAAUCAAUUGACUGGACCGCUUUUAAAGAUUGUUUCUAAUCUCACAAAUCUUAUGUUUCUUGAUGUAAGACAAAAUAGUCUUAGUGGAAAUAUUCAGAGUGACUUGUGGAAAUAUAACGAUCAUCCAACUUUGGAAUUCAUCAAUUUAAGUGGGAACCAUUUUACGGGUAUAGUUUUUCUCUAUAAAUCUUUUCUUUUGUCAUAUGUAACUAAGCUAGUAAUCUGAUUAAUUGCAGUUUUACCAAAGUUUCAACAAUCUUGACAGGUGAGCUUCCAACAACAAUUUGCAAUGUCACUUCCCUUUCAAUUCUUGAUUUGUCAAAUAAUGGAUUAAGUGGUGCACUUCCAAACUGUUUCGGGAAUCUUGCAGAUAGAUUGCUUUUCAUUAAUCUUGCUAAUAAUCAGUUUCGAGGAACAAUACCAACUACUUUAUCCAAAAGUUGUCAGCUGACAUGUCUAAACAUGGAUAAUAAUGAGUUUGAAGGAUUGUUACCCCCAUCUUUGGCGAACUGUAAGCACUUGAGAAUUCUUGAUAUUGGCAACAAUAAAAUAGGUGGCACAUUUCCGUCAUUGCUUUAUGUACUUGGAGAGCUAGAAGUCCUUGUCUUGCGAUCAAAUAAACUCUGCGGUACAAUAAGUGCAAGGAGCAUAGAAGAUCCCUUCCCCAAGUUGCGGAUUGUGGAUCUGUCCAACAAUCAGUUCACAGGCCAUUUGCCAAUUCAAUACUUCAAGAAUAUGAAAUCAACUGAUAAUUUGUAUUGGUAUCGUAUUUCCACAGGAGAAUUAUUUUUCCAAUAUGAAGCAGCAGUCUCAUUAACUGUGAAGGGAAGAGAGUAUGAAGUAGCAAAUAACCUUCAUAUUUACACAGCCAUUGAUCUGUCGUGCAACAAAUUUCAGGGAGAAAUUCCAACGGUUACUGGAGAGCUUAGAUGGCUUGCAUUGCUCAAUUUAUCUCAUAAUAGUCUAACAGGACCUAUCCCAUCAUUGCUGAGAAAUAUGAAAGAACUCCAAUCUUUAGAUUUGUCCUCGAAUCAACUGACAGGGGCUAUUCCACCUCAGUUAUCUGCAUUGACAUUUCUAGAGGUCUUGAACCUCUCGAAAAACCAUCUUAGUGGAGAGAUUCCUCAGAAAGGACAGUUCAGCACAUUCAACAAUGAUUCUUAUCUAGGAAACUCCGCGUUAUGUGGAUCACCUUUGACGAAGAAAUGUGCAAACACAGCAUCACCUCCACAAGAAGUCGGAAAUGGUGAUGAAGAUGAUGCUGGAGAUGAAUUGACAUGGGAAGCAAUCGUGAUGGGAUAUGGAUGUGGACUGAUAUGUGGUUUGUGAGAUAUAUCGAAGUACUGCAACAGAAGUUGAUGAAAAGAUAUGCAUGAAGAAUGAUACUGGCCGAUCAAGACGAACUUGAAAGUUUGUUGUCCUUGUGGACAUUUCAGCUGAACCAGUAGUGUACUAUUCUCUUUGUGACUGCAUAAGUAUUUUGUAUUGUGUAAUGUUCUGUUUGGGCUUAAAUCAUAAUGAUUUUUCUUGCUUCAGGGGUAUUAAUAUAAAACCGUUUGGUCGGGACUCAUAAUGAUUUCUCUUGCUUCAGGGGUAUUAAUAUCAUCCUUGCUAUCUUGAACAAUGAUAAUGCAAAUUAAAAAGAAUGAAAAAACAAAAAUAUUGCAUCAAACACCUGUUGUACCAAGAUCCAUUAAUUUGCUUUCAUCUCUUACGCAACAAUUUAACAGCACUUCCACACUGUUUGAAAGAUUAUCAUAAAUUCGAGUUUUCCUCUCCAGCACCAAAUCCAAAUUAAUAUACAAUGCCACACAUUCCAGUCUCAGCUUCAGCUCCCAGGGUAGCAUUCAUUUAGCCAAGCACGACAGUGGCCGCUUACGUGCCUAACAAUAACAGUUGGGGAUUUGAGUGAACUUGCCUUGGUCCUGCCUUCAAAUGUCUGACAAUAACAGUUGGAUAUGUCGACAAAAAAAUUGUUCCUCACAGAGGAGCUAAUAGCAAUUGACUUCGAAUAAAUCCGACAGUUCUUUUCAUCCAGUUAUUAUUUCAGCAAUAUGUCUAGCAAAUAUGUAGUGCACUGGACACCAUACUACCAACACAAGUAGUAAAAGGAGAGACCAUUGUUUCGAAUGCUCGGAAAUUUGAACAGGGUUUUUUCCACCUGCCCCCUGACUUUUUACACAAACAGGUCAAGAAAAACAGAAGCCGGCUUCUGGAAAAAUGAAGCACUACUUUAUGAGUGACCAUUGUUUUGAAUGCUCGGAGAUGUGAAGUGGAUUUUUUCAGCCUGCCCCCAGACUUCUUUUUGUAAAACUAGAUUUCUUUAGCUCCGGUGUCUUAGUAUUGGAGAUUAUGAGUGACUGUAGAAAAGACUUUAAUAUGAGUGUGAGAUAUACCCCGGUGGAAACAGGACCUUGAUCCAAAGGGUCACGGGUUCAAACCUCACCUGAUCGGGUUCCACUCCACGCUCGGUCCACAUCUAUGCUGGAUUCAUAUUAAAAUGAUAAUGGAACACGGGCGUCCAUGGUUGGGGAUAUCAUAUUAAAAAGAUUAGCUGGGCACAGAUGAAUAUUUAUAUGGAUUUUAAAAACAAACUAUGACUUAAUAUAAGAAAAAUCAUUAUUUUUUAUUUUUCCGACUAAACAUUUGUUAGCCUUCUCUGGUGCCCAUCCAAAUCAUUCAGCGGGUUCUACUUUCAGCUCAUCACAAGAACAUCAUUCUGCAGGUACUUUCUUAUAUUGUUUGCCAGCGGUGACCGAGCCAGAAACUUUUUCGAGGAGGGGCCGGAAUAGAAAUAUUAUUUAAAUUUGAAAAUAUUAUAUAUCAUAUUGAAAAUAGUAUUAGUAACAAAAAUCCAUUUAUUUUAGGUUUCUAUGAGAAAACUCAGUCGUUUCAUUAAGAAAAUUUAAUUACUUAAUUACCAAACGGUUGAGGAUGAAGAUUUGAAAGAACGAGUUGCAACGGGGAGACUCAUAGACGCGACAGAAAAAAAUAGAAAAAGAUAUUGUUCAACAACCGAGUCUAUAUUAUUAAAAUUUAUGAUAAAUGAGAUAAUUUUAUUUUAUAAACUAACUAAAUACAUAUAAUAUAGUAUUAUAUGUAAUGCUACGUAAAAUUGGAUACAAGAUUUUGCACAAAAUGAUAUGAUAACUAAAGUGAAAUAUUUUAAUUGGUGCUAUUAAUGUAUAUAUACAUUUAUUACAAUUAAAACUUAACACAUAUUAUUAAUUUUGUGAAUAAAAUAUUUUUCUUAAUAAUAUAUAAGUAAAAAAAAUAAAAAUCUAGGAGGGGCUCAGGCCCCCUCUGGACCCCUCUAGCUCCGUCUGUAUACACCUAUCAUAUUAUUGACAGGUGGCUCUCUCAUAUUGCUCACAGGCGAACUCCUGCAUAUACUUUGUGAACCAAUCAUGACAAAAAUAUCAUCAUCCAAUCAAUUCGAUUAAUUAUUCUUUAAAUCAGUACAAAUAUUGUUAAAUAUAUGGAUGAUUAUCGUGUUUCCGCGAACCAAUCAUGAAAUGAAAUUACCUCUGUAUAAAUCCAUCGGAAAUAAGACAAUUAAUGGGGCCGUUUGGGCAAGCUUAAAAGAAGUGACUUCUUGCUUAAACUAGAGAAGUGGAGCAGAAGUGAGAAGUAAAUAAGUUAUUAAAGUGUUUGGAAAAGAAGCAGAAGCUGUGAGACAAAAGCUAGCAUUCUCAGCUUUUUAAAAGUGACUUCUUUACACAAACGGGUAAAAAAAGCAGAAGCCAGAAGCAGCUUCUGCUUCCGUUAAACAAACAGGCCCAAUAUCUCAAUCGAAUACACCCCGUGAGUUGUCAAACUCCUCGAAACGUAUUAAUCACUUUAGAAAUUUGUUCCACUGGCGCCAUUCAGUUCCAGAGUUGGUGGUAGGGGCCGUGCUUCUUGUGUUUCUUCUUUUCAUUAUUGACAUUGUCAUCUAGGUCCUUGCUUCUGGGCUUUGGAGAAGUAAACAAUGGAUCUAUUAGUCUUCCAUAUCGCUGAUACGCGCUAACGCGCAUUAUAGUGGAUUGAUCUUUAUUAGUGAUUUCUGUGGAGAUGCAUAAUCAUUAUAAGCUCCAAUAUAAAAUAAACCUAAUUUAAAGUUAGUAUGGGCAUUUGUGUUGAUAAUUUACGCAAUGUUAACAGGGAUUGCUCCCAAGUCUUGGACGGAUUCUUUCCAAGUCUUCUGAGGACCUAUUUGCACACUAAUUUGUCGCCAACUAAAAAUUCAACGAUAUUGCUAGCUCCCUCUACUAAUUUUUUGCGGGACGUUUUUUACUUUUAACACAUAUCUUUAGAUAGAAUUAGUAUUGUAAAAAGCGGGAAUCAGACUUAAUCGGUGAAGUCACAGAACAACGAUUAAUCGAUGAUUAAUUGGAUUGAUUGGGUAUCAAUCGGAUGAUUAAUGAAAUAAUCGGAUAUUUAAUCCGUUCGACGAGUUACGGAACAGGGAUUAAUCGUGAUUAAUCACCGACUUUUAGAACAGAGGAUAGGAUAAUAAAAUUAUUAUUUUUGAUUAUUUUUUUUGUGAAUAAAAAUUUUGAUUAUAUAUUUUUAUUAAAAAAGAAUUUAAAAUAAUAUUUUUAACUAACCGGUCCAAACAGCUAAAAGUGUGUGCCCAAGCGUCAUAUAAAAACGGAGGGAGCGAGCAUGUGCUGACUAACGGUUCAACUAACAGUUUACAAGUACUCCAUCUGUCCCAUUUAGUCCUAUUUAAUUAUAUACGUUUUUUUUUAACUGUUUGACACGCACUUCAAUGCUCUUCUAAAAUAUGGUUCUAUAACUUAUUUUUAAAAUUUUCUUUUUCUGAAUAAAAAUAUAACAUUCAAACUUUUAUUCAGAAAAAAAUAUCGUAAAAAUAAGUUAUAGAAUUAUAUUUUAUAAGAGCAUUAAAGUCCAUGUCGCGUCCCCGUCUUCUGAUGUAUAAAUUUGCGCAAUGUUAACGGGGAUUGCUCAUUUGCUCUCAAGUCUUGGACGGACCAAGUCUUCUAGGACCCAUCUGCACACUAAUUUGUCUGCCAACUAAAAAAUCAACGAUAUUGCUGCCUCUGCUAUUUUUUACCAGGACGUUUUUUACUUUUAACACAUGUUUAGAUAGGAUAAUAAAUAUUAUUAUUAUUGAUUAAUUUUUUUGUGAAUAAAAAUUUUGAAUAUAUAUUUUUAUCAAAAAAAGAAAAUUUUAAAAAUAAUAUUUUUAAGGGAAAUUAUUAAUGGUACUAUUGUGCUACUGGCUUUUCUAAAUGGUACUAUUUUGGUGUUUUCGACUUACAUGCAUUAUCACUUCCAUUAACGAUACUACCAUUCCGUCCCUCAAAACGUUAAAACCAUUAGUUGACCGUAUUUAUUUUGUAUUUUCCUUGUAAAAAAAACAAAAGAAUACAACUAAUAUUUGUAUUUUUUGUUUGUGUUCAAAUCGUCGAGAUAUGGAAGAGGUUAUCAGAAUUUUAGAAUUGAUUCGAUGUCCUUCAGAAAGUCAGGGGGAAACGGAAUGAGAUACGAGUUUUGAACAAGAAUCCAGUUUAGUUGUUGUUUAUCUUGAAAAACAGAUUUGGAAGUCAUAUAUUUUCAGCCUUUGGCUUCAUGUAUUUCUGUCUCAUCAUUCCCAGAUACUUGCUGAGGUUUAUAGUCACUGUUUAUUAAAUGUUGUCGUACAUUUUCCUGUAUUAUGCACCCAUGUGGCGCCUGUGUUUUGCAUGUCAUGCACAAUUUGCUCAACUACAUACAGGUCACAGGAUGAGUGCAUGUGCCAAAGGGAUUAGUGCAUUGAUCUGUGUAGUGUGAGGACACUGUGAUACAAGGCACAAUUUCUCAGAUUUCUUCUGUCAACACCACUCCCAUCCAUAGCUCCCACCUUUUCUCUCUCAAUCUCAUGUUUCUCUCUUUCUCUCGCAGCUCCGCCGCCACCACUACAUCAGUCUUCAAGAACUCAAGAAAAAAUAUGGAUAUCAGUUAUAUUUUUUGUGUUUUUUAAAGAAGUAUAUGAAAUAAAUAUAGUCAACUAAUGUUUUUAACGUUUUGAUGGACCGAAUGGUAGUAUCAUUAACGGAUCAUAAACUGAGUGGUACCACUUGUAAGUAAAAACCAGUGUUGUAAAAAGCGGGAAUCGGAUUUAAUCGGUGAAGUCACGGAACAAAGAUUAAUCGGAGAUUAAUCGGACUAAUCGGUGAUUAAUCGGAUAUUUAAUCAGUUCGGCGAGCUACGGAACAGGGAUUAAUCGGUCGUGAUUAAUCACCGACUUUUAGAACAGAGGUAAAAACACGAAAUGGUAUUAUUCAUAAAAGCCAAUACCACGAUGGUACCAUUAAUAAUUUCCCUAUUUUUAAUUACCGAGUCCAAAUAUUUAAACGUGUGUGCCCAAAAUUAAAGCCGCAUAUAAAAAAACGGAGGGAGCAUGUACUAACCGUUUCCAUAACAGUUUACAAGUAUAAGUUAUACUCCCUCUCAAUUUUUUUAUUUUUUUAUAUGACGUUUUGAUCUUGGGCACACAUUAUUAAGUGUUUUGACCGGAUAGUUAAAAAUAUUAUUAUUUAAAUUUUCUUUUCUGAAUAAAAAUAUAUAACCAAAAAUUUUAUUCACAAAAAUUUUUAGUGAUUUUUUCGUGAAUACCUAAGGCCAAUUUUUCAAAUAUUUUGUAAAAAUACCAAUUUUUUGAAAAUAUUUGCAAAGAUAAUGUAUUCAACCACAUGCAACCAUACUUAUAACCAGAUGUAACCAUAAUUGCAACCUCUGCGGGACCAAUUAACUGAAUUUGUAUUUGGUUGCACUAGUUAGUAUUUUCUUAAAGUUAGUAUUUUUGUAAAUAUUUUUAAAAAAAAGUAAAAUCGCAAAAAAAAAAAUCGAAAAAAUGGUUUGAUAAAUUUCUAAAUAUUUAAUCACAGAACAAUAACUUUUACAAUCCGAUCAACUCAUUUAAAAAUGUGUGUCAAAAGUAAAAAUGUCAUAUAUAUAUAUAUCAUAUAAAUGUCAUAUAAAUUUAAAACAAAGGGAUNCAUAUAAAUGUCAUAUAAAUUUAAAACAAAGGGAUAUAUAUUUUUUAAUAAAAUAUACUCCCUCUAUCCCAAAUAAGUGUCAGUGACAUUUUGCAAAAAUAGCUUGGGACAAUAGAUUUUUUUGCCACUCAACUUAAUGUGUUUUUAGAAAUUCGCCACCCAACUAAUUUUUUUUUCCUUUUACUCACUAAUGUUAGGUUUGGAUUUUUUUUAGCCACCAACUUAGGUUCGGAUUUGAUUACUAGUAUUAUGAUAAUUUUAUUUAUCACUAAACUUACUGCGUCUUUAGGAAUUAACCACUGAACUAUAAUUUUUUUAUUUUACUCACUAAUGUUAGGUUCAUUUUUUUUGUCACUGAAGUUAGGUUCGGAUUUGAUUAUUAGCAUUAUAUUAAUUAUGUGUAACAUUAUUAAAAUAUAGUGGUCUAUAAUAUUUUGAUGAUUUGGUAUAUGUCUGUAUCUUUAUAUAUAGUACUUUUUAUGUCUCCAAUGUCGUUUAACUUGAGUGGUAAGAAUUUUACACGCAUUUUAUGGCUUUUAAAAGAUGUAGUUUCAUAAAUAAUUUUAUUUUUUUCUUCCGAAUAAAAAUUCAGCGUUUUACACACAAAAAAAUAACAAAAAAAAGUUAUGAAGCUAUGUUUUAUAAGAGUCUUAAAAUACGUGCUAAGCAGUAGAAAAAACUGUAAACUAAUGAGAGGGACAUGUAGUAAUAAUAAUAAAAUGAUGCAUUAUAGAGGACAAUCAUCGAAAAUUAAGUUAACCUCUCUAUUUAUUUAUCUUGAAAAUUGUAGUAAAAUAAAGUUAUUAAAAUUUAUGAAGAUAAAUUUGAGAGAGAUCUUGGACUGAGCUAGUCAAUUGAAACUUUAAUAGCGAAAGAUGAUGCAUCAUAUCAAUCAAUUACACUUUAUCUUCUUAUCAUCAGGGAGGGUGAAUUGUUUGAAGUCAUUGAUUUCAUAUUCAUGAUUUAUUGAAUUUUAGAAUUCUAAUUACGAUUUUUCCUGGUUUUAAUUUUUCAUCGGCUCAUUUUAUAUUAUUUUUGUUAUAUAUAAGGAUAUAAACAUACGACACAUCAUCAAAAUAUUACAUACUAUCACUAUGUAUAAAUGAUGCGACAAAAAUUAUCAUAAUGCUAGUAAUUAAAUCCGAACCUGAGUAGUGGCUAAAAAAAAAUCCAAACCUAAUAUUAAUGGUAAAAGGAAAAAAAAAAUAGUUAGGUGGCAAGUUUCUAAAAACACUAUAAAUUGAGUGGCAAAAAAAAUCUAUUUUCCAAACAUAGCUUGGGGUAAUAACAAAACCUUAAUCAACGCAAGCACAGCAGACCGCAGGCAUAAGGCUUAUAAAUAGAAGUGCAGUAUUGUGUUGAUGGUCAAGUUGAGUGGAAAUAUGGUACACUUUGUAAAGCCUUGUUAUCCUCUUCUCUUUGUUUUCUUUCUCUCAUUACUUCAAUCCAUUCUAACAACACUACCUGAAUCCAGACGAGAGGGAGAAGCUCUUGUGAAAUGGAAGAAUAGCCUAGCCCCGUCUUCUUUUCUCGACUCUUGGUCACUCACUGAUCUCGAUAAUCUUUGUAACUGGACUGGCAUUACUUGUAACUCUGCAGGUUCAGUCUCGGAGAUUAACCUUUGUGAGAAACAACUUGAUGGAAUGCUGUCCGAGUUUGGUUUCACUUCAUUUCCAGAUCUCAACUAUCUCACCCUCGCAGACAACUUCUUCUCGGGUCCGAUACCAUCAGCCAUUGAGAAUCUAACACAGCUUCAAUAUCUUGAUUUAAGCAUGAAUAGUCUCAAUGGUCCCAUUCCUUUCCAGGUUAGCCAUAUUCAGAGCUUGCUCAUCUUAAACCUGUCACACAAUGCAUUGCAAUCUCCAAAUUGGUCCCAUUGCUCUCCCAUGCCUGUCUUGCGCAUCCUCGACCUUAGUUUUAAUAAUCUUGUGUCGAAAUUCCCAGAAUUUAUAUCCAAUUCUCAUAGCCUGACUCACCUUAACCUUUCAGAUAACAAGUUUACUGGUGAUCUUGUGCGUGAAUUUACCAAUCUACAAAAUCUUGAAACCCUCUACCUUCAAGAUAAUUCUUUUGAGGGGCCGUUUCCGCCUGAUAUAGUCCAGCUUUCCAAAUUAAAACGUCUCGCCCUGUUAGGUAACAAAUUUUCAGGUUCAAUUCCCAAUGACAUAAGGUUGCUUUGUGUUCUUGAAUACCUAUAUUUAGGCAACAAUUCCUUUGAAGGACCACUUCCACCAAAUAUAUUCACGCUUUCAAAAUUAAAAUUACUUGUUCUUUGGGGUAAUAAGUUUUCAGGUUCUAUUUCCAAUGAUAUAGGUUUGCUUUCUGAGCUUGAAACCCUCGUUCUUGACUCUAAUUAUUUUGAGGGGCCACUUCCGCCAAAUAUAUUCAAGCUCUCUAAAUUAAAGGUUUUUUCCCUUGUGUACAAUAACUUUUCAGGUUCUGUUUCCAAUGAUAUAGGUUUGCUUUCUGAGCUUGAAUAUCUCCGUAUUGGCUGCAAUUCUUUCGAGGGACCGUUGCCAACAAAUAUAUUCAAGCUUUCCAAAUUAAGUAAACUUGACCUAUCAAAUAAUAGUAAUUUUUUUGAAGGAAGUAUUCUUAUUGGAUUGGGACUCUUGACUAACCUCAGCUACUUAGAUCUAGAUUCCAAUAAUCUCAGUGGCUAUAUUCCAUCUGAGAUUGGAAACCUGAAGCUACUAGUAUUUCUCGAUCUUAGUUCUAAUCAAUUGACUGGAUCGCUUUCAAAGAUCUUUUCUAAUCUCACAAAUCUUAUAUAUCUUCAUGUAUAUGAUAAUAGUCUUAGUGGAAAUAUUCAGAGUGACUUGUGGAAAAACUCUGUAUCCUUGCGUUUCGUUGAUCUUGCAAAUAAUUAUUUGUCUGGAAACAUCCCUAAGGAAUAUAACGAUCAUCCAACUUUGGAAUACAUUAAUUUAAGUUGGAACCAUUUUACAGGUAUAUUUUCUCUAUAUAUCUUUUCCUUUUCUNCUCAUAUGUAACUAAGCUUGAUUAUUGCAAUUUUACCUAAGUUUCAACAAUCUUGACAGGUGAGCUUCCAACAACAAUUUGCAAUGUCACUUCCCUCUCGGUUCUUGUUUUGUCAAAGAAUGGAUUAAGUGGUCCACUUCCAAAUUGUUUCGGAAAUCUUGCUGAUAGAUUGCUUUCCAUUAAUCUUGCUAAUAAUCAGUUCCGAGGAACAAUACCAACUACUUUCUCCAGCAGUUGUCAGCUGACAUAUCUAAACAUGGAUGAUAAUGAGUUUGAAGGAAUGUUGCCUCAAUCUUUGGCGAAAUGUAAGCACUUGAAAAUUCUUGAUAUUGGCAAUAACAAAAUAGGUGGUAUAUUUCCGUCAUGGCUUUAUGUACUUGGAGAGCUAGAAGUCCUUGUCUUGCGAUCAAAUAAACUCUAUGGUACAAUAAGUGGAAGGAGCAUAGAAGAUCCGUUCCCCAAGUUGCGGAUUGUGGAUCUGUCCAACAAUCAAUUCACCGGCCAGUUGCCAAUUCAAUACUUUAAGAAUAUGAAAUCAACUGAUAAUUUGUAUCGUUAUCGGAAUUCCACAGGACCAUUAUCUUUCUCUUAUGAAGCAGCAGUCUCAUUAACUGUGAAGGGAACAGAGUACGAGGUAGCAAAGAACCUUCAUAUUUACACAGCCAUUGACCUGUCAUGCAACAAAUUUCAGGGAGAAAUUCCAAAGGUUACUGGAGAGCUUAGAUGGCUUGCAUUGCUGAAUUUAUCUCAUAAUAGUCUGACAGGACCUAUCCCAUCCUUGCUGAAAAAUAUGAAAGAACUCCAAUCUUUAGAUUUGUCCUCAAAUCAACUGACAGGGGCUAUUCCACCUCAGUUAACUGCAUUGACAUUUCUGGAGGUCUUCAACCUCUCGGGAAACCAUCUUAGUGGAGAGAUUCCUCAGAAAGGACAGUUCAGCACAUUUAACAAUGAUUCUUAUCUAGGAAACUCCGCGUUAUGUGGAUCACCUUUGACAAAGAAAUGUGCAAACACAGCAUCACCUCCACAAGAAGUCGGAAAUGGUGAUGAAGAUGAUGCUGGUGAUGAAUGGACAUGGGAAGCAAUCGUGAUGGGAUAUGGAUGUGGACUGAUAUGUGGAUUGUCAUCUGCGUACAUUGUUCUCAAACUAGGAAAGCCUUGGUGGUUUGUGAGAUAUAUCGAAGUGCUGCAACUGAAGUUGAUGAAAAGAUAUGCUUGAAAAAUGGUACUGGCCGAUCAAGACGAACUUGAAAGUUGUUGUCCUUGUGGACAUUUCUGAACCAGUAGUGUACUAGCUGCAUAAGUAUUUGGUAUUAUGUAAUAAUCCGUUUGGUCAGGACUCAUAAUGAUUUCUCUUGCUUCAGGGGUA
rnacentral:lncRNA from 1 species